AGGCAGGCUGUACUACCGCUCUCGGCAACAACCAAGAACAAACCGACGACGAGGAAGGAAGGAAACGGAGGUCUCAGCAGCCCCGAGAAUCUCUCCGCGGCCGACGACGGCAACCGAUUCCGCCUGCUCUGCCGGGGCAAGGAAGGAGUUUGCCGGGUCCGGGCAAGACCAGGAGGCGCGAUCCUCUCCUCGCUGCGGCUGAAUUGGGGAAGGAGGAAUCGGGGGAGGGAGGAGGCAGAGAGGUUGGUGGGAGGUGGGGGGUGGGAGAGCACAGCGCAGCACAGGUGGGGAGGAGACUAUACAGCUCAGGGACAGGGCGGCAGCGGAAUAUUUAUACUGAGCCUCUCAGAGGAGAGGAGGCGUGCGUGGGAGUGAGCGAGCGAGGGAGAGCAUGUGGAUUCUGGAGUAAGAAACAGGGCAAGCAAGUGGGUAAAACAUCCGGCGGUGCAGCCGCAGCCGACGGCCGGCCGGCCGGCCGGCGCGUCCCUUCCUUCCCGGCAACCGGCGUGUACUGUACUACUCGGGAACAUAUUCUCUGCAUGCUCUUUCCCGUGACACAAAGAAAAAAGUGGCGCGGCACGCCGUUGGCGUGGGGGGCGGAAGCGGCAGUGCGGUGAGGCGUGGACGCCUCGCCACUGUUGCUUUUUUACCCAWUGUUUUUUUGCCCUGUUUUUUGCUGUGUCCGUGUCGUGCGGUGCCAUCCGAACCCGGCGACGGCUUGGACGGAAGAGGAAAGCGGGCUCCGCCGCCGGCGUCGCCGGUGGCUUGGUCGGGACGGCUGGGCGUUGGCGUCGGCGUUGGCAUCCUUGCUAGGCCUUAGCCUCCAAGCAACCGUGGCGUCCCUUCCCGGCCAAACAUGCCACUUAGUCGCGUGCCGAUUGGCACAACAACCUCGCUUUUUGCCUCGCUUUCUUCCUCCUUCUACCUGCCCUGCUCUUGUUCUUUUCGCCCUUUUCCAUCGCCCCGACGUACGUGUCGCCGGGAGUAGACGAGCAGCAGCGGUGAUCAUCGGGGAUUUGACGAGCUUUUGGCGGUAGUUGUACUGUACUACUGUGGCUUUGCCCCCAACGCGUUGCCGACUUGGGUAAUAAUCGUGGAAGUGACAGCGUGCGAUCAUGCUACUGCUACUACAAUGAAUCGUGCAUGCACCGUCAUGCGCCGACGUAUAAGCCGGGAAAGGGUAGGGGAGGGGCUAGGCUAGGCCUGUUUUUGGUAUGGCACGCGGCGGUGCUCUGCUUCGCUCGCUCCAUCGGUGGCUACGGCUACGGCUAGCGGCGACACCACCCUGGGGCUGGGAGUGCAUGUAGACAUGCACUAGUACACUUUUACCGUACCGAAUACCUCGAGCCGUAUCUGCCAACAGCCGCGGUGCCCCAAUGAGGCGAAGCUGCGGCUCGACAAAGCGAAUGGCCGCAUGCAUGACAGAAUGGAUGAGGCAUCAGCUGGUGCAGUAGCUCCUGAUGGCCUCGUGCACCGGCCGGCGAGCGCAAGCAAAAAAGAAGGUUCUGGUCGUGCGGACACGCGGUGCACCUAACAUUGACCUGGUCAGACGGGUAAAUAGUGUGAACUGUUCGAUCGGUGACUGGACCUGCUCUCUCGAGCAGCGACACCGACAUGCUCCAGAGCUCAGUAGUUGAGUUCAUACUCAGGUCUUUCGUUUCACUNNNNNNNNNNNNNNNNNNNNNNNNNNNNNNNNNNNNNNNNNNNNNNNNNNNNNNNNNNNNNNNNNNNNNNNNNNNNNNNNNNNNNNNNNNNNNNNNNNNNGUCUCACCCCCUUUAUUUACGCAUGACUGUUCGGUGUAUGACAUACACAUUUGCACGCCUUCUUCCUAGGCACCUUUGUCGAUCACGGUUCACGGUCGUCGGUCACGCCGCCAGCAUGGCGCAACACUAAAGACGCUGGAUAAAUCAUCGGUAUCUUCAUACCUAGUUCAAUCUCGUUAUCGACAAGUCUCCUUACUCGUUCCAUAAUACAAGAUCACGUGGCUAACUCUUUAGUCACAUUGCUUGCAAGCUUGUUGUGAUGUUGUAUUACUGAGUGGGCCCUGAGAUACCUCUCUGUCACACGGAGUGACCAAUCCCAGUAUUGAUCCCUGUCAACUCAACAGACACCCUUGGAGAUACCUAUAGAGCACCUUUAUAGUCACCCAGUUAAGUUGCGACGUUUGAUACACACAAGGUACUACUCCGGUGUCAAUGAGUUGCACGAUCUCAUGGUCAUAGGAAUAGAUACUUGAUAUGCAGAAAAAAUAGCAAUAAACUGACACGAUCAUAUGCUACGUUCAUAGGUUGGUUCUUGUCCAUCAUAUCAUUCUCCUAAUGAUGUGAUCCCGUUAUCAAAUGACAACUCAUGUCUAUGAUUUUCCCACAAUAUCUUCUGUAUUUUCCAUUACAUGAUUUUAAGGAUCCACAUUACAAAUAAAGAGAUACAAAGAUGAUCAGACAUAUUAUUACCUCCCACAUGGUAUUUGUUUUUCUUAUGUAUUCGUGUUAUUUUCUAUUUACCAAUUAUAUUAUUUACUUUAAAUUUAUUUUGUUUUUAGCUAGUAGUANNNNNNNNNNNNNNNNNNNNNNNNNNNNNNNNNNNNNNNNNNNNNNNNNNNNNNNNNNNNNNNNNNNNNNNNNNNNNNNNNNNNNNNNNNNNNNNNNNNNAACUAAAGUUGGAGAAACCGUCACUUGCCAGUCAUCUUUGAGCAAAGGGGGUUACUCGUAACGAUGAAACCAGUCUCUCGUAAGCGUACGAGUAAUGUCGGUCCAAGCCGCUUCAAUCCAACAAUACCGCGGAAUCAAGAAAAGACUAAGGAGGGCAGCAAAACGCACAUCACCGCCCACAAAACCUUUUGUGUUCUACUCGAGAAGACAUCUACGCAUGAACCUAGCUCAUGAUGCCACUGUUGGGGAACGACGCAUGGGAAACAAAAAUUUCCUAGCGCACGAAGACCUAUCAUGGUGAUGUCCAUCUACGAGAGGGGAUGAGUGAUCUAUGUACCCUUGUAGAUCGCACAGCAGAAGCGUUAGAGAACGCGGUUGAUGUAGUGGAACGUCCUCACGUCCCUCGAUCCGCCCCGCGAACAAUCCCGCGAUCAGUCCCACGAUCUAGUACCGAACGGACGGCACCUCCGCGUUCAGCACACGUACAGCUCGACGAUGAUCUCGGCCUUCUUGAUCCAGCAAGAGAGACGGAGAGGUAGAAGAGUUCUCCGGCAGCGUGACGGCGCUCCGGAGGUUGGUGAUGAUCUCGUCUCAGCAGGGCCUCCGCCCGAGCUCCGCAGAAACGCGAUCUAAGGAAGGAAAACUGUGGAGGUAUGUGGUCGGGCAGCCGGUAGGAAGGUAAAGUUCGUACUACAAAUCACGUACCCCUWAAAMCGUCCGUAAUAGUAGUAGGGUAGGGGAGGGGAGGGGAGGAGGNNNNNNNNNNNNNNNNNNNNNNNNNNNNNNNNNNNNNNNNNNNNNNNNNNNNNNNNNNNNNNNNNNNNNNNNNNNNNNNNNNNNNNNNNNNNNNNNNNNNGCCUUGCCUUGAUCGAUCCCUUGGACGCUCGAAGGGAGCUAGGGUUCUUCACCCUAGAUCUGAUAGGGUUUUGUGGAGAACCCUAGCUCCCUUCGAGCAUCCAAGGGAUCGAUCAAGUCAAGGUGAAGAUCCAGGGAUCGUCGUGUUAGAACAAAUUUUGAAGAUUAGGAACAUUUUUUGAAAUUUUGAACAUUUUUUUGCAAAUUUGGAACAAAAAAAUUCCAAACAUUAAUUUUGAAAACAGAAACCUAAUUUUAAACCACAAAGAAUUUAUGAAAUUCUAGAAAAAAUGAAAGCAAGAACAUUUUUUAAAUUCAGAUUUUAGAAAGAAAAAAAGUACAAUCAAAUUCAACCAAAACAUUCCAAACAUUUUUAAAAAAACAAGAAGAAAGUAAAACACCAAAAUAAAGGAGUGGAUUUUUCGUAUGUCUCGCUUGUUGUGAGGAACAGUGAUGCGUCACUCAUCCCUAGGGGGUGUGUGGAUCUUUCCCCGCAACGGACCCCUCUAGCGAUCGAUUACUCCACCCCCCCCCCAAGGCCUUGUUUGAUACUAGGGUUUUUCAGGAGAUUGGUGGGGAUAACUCCCCACAGGGAUUGGGUGAAACCCCAUCCUUCACCCAAUCCCCUACAAACUCCCCAUUUACUCCCCAAUACACUAGGUAGGSGUAUGUAUUGAGUAUUGAGAAAAUACACUAAAUUUAGAGAAUUGGUAGGGGAAAUGGUAGGGGAAUAAACAUGUACAAAUACACUAGAACCAAUGGCGUUAUGGGAUAGUGGUGGGGAUUUAGGGAUUUGGACCGGGUAUAACGUCCCUAACUUAANNNNNNNNNNNNNNNNNNNNNNNNNNNNNNNNNNNNNNNNNNNNNNNNNNNNNNNNNNNNNNNNNNNNNNNNNNNNNNNNNNNNNNNNNNNNNNNNNNNNAAUGGUUCUGCUCAACUUCGGCCUCGUGGCGGCGGAGAAUCCACGAAAAAGCUCCACCCUGAUUUUUUCUCGGACGAAACCCUUCAUAUAGCAAAAGAGGGGGGCCAGUGGUCCGCCAUGGUGCCCACAAGCCCUGUAGCCGCCGCCAGGGGGGUAGGUGGCGGCUACCGGGCUUGUGGGCUCCUGGUAGCUCCCCUCUCGUACUCCUUUCGCCCAGUAUUUUUUAUAUAUUCCCAAAAAAUACCAUGUUGAUUUUCAGGGCAUUUGGAUUUGCGUAGAAUAGAGGACUCGGACUUUCUCCUUUUCCAGUCCAGAAUUCCAGCUGCCGGUAUUCUCUCUCUUCAAAUAAACCUUGCAAAAUAAGAGAGAAAAGGCAUAAGUAUGGUACCACAAAGUAAUAUAACAAUCCAUAAAGCGAUAAAUAUCAACAUGAAAGCAUGAUGCAAAAUGGACGUAUCAAGGCACACAGGGGAUAGGUUAUGUUCUUACUUCACACAUGAUUUGAGUAGAUAUUAGUAUAUUUACUUGAUGAAACACAAGUCUGAAUUAUUGAAAUAUUCAAGUGAUUUCAGAGUGAAGUUGAAGAUCAUCGUGACAAGAAGAUAAUAUGUCUACGAUGUGAUCAUGGAGGUAAAGUAUAUAAUCUGAGUUGCGUAGUUUGGUAUACAUUUAAGACAAUGUGAAAAUUGUUUCACAACUCAUGACCAACCUUGGAACACCAUAGUGUCGAUGGCGUGUACCGAAACGUCAAUAAGGUCGUGCCCUAUUACGGACUAUGGCGCAUACCUAUGAUGUCUAUUUGGUACUUACCACUAUUCGUUUUGGGUAGUAUUAGAGUAAAAGCAUUACACUUUAAAUAGGGNNNNNNNNNNNNNNNNNNNNNNNNNNNNNNNNNNNNNNNNNNNNNNNNNNNNNNNNNNNNNNNNNNNNNNNNNNNNNNNNNNNNNNNNNNNNNNNNNNNNAACUUUACGGUCCGAACCCUUAACGGUUUCGUAGGUCGUGCCGUCCUCCCCUCCCCUCCCAMCCUACUAUAUACGGAGGUUUUAGGGUACGUGAUUUGWGACGACUUCUCUCACGGCCUGCCCGACCACCAUACCUCCACUAGUUUUYCYUCUAGAUCGCGUUUCUGCGGAGCUCGGGCGGAGCCCUGCUGAGACGAGAUCAUCACCAACCUCCCGGAGCGCCGUCACGCUGCCGGAGAACUCUUCUACCUCUCCGUCUCUCUUGCUGGAUCAAGAAGGCCGAGAUCAUCGUCGAGCUGUACGUGUGCUGAACGCGGAGGUGCCGUCCGUUCGGUACUAGAUCGUGGACUGAUCGCGGAUUGUUCGCGGGCGGAUCGAGGGACGUGAGGACGUUCCACUACAUCAACCGCGUUCACUAACGCUUCUGCUGUAUGAUCUACAAGGGUACGUAGAUCACUCAUCCCCUCUCGUAGAUGGACAUCACCAUGAUAGGUCUUCGUGCRCGUAGGAAAWUUUUGUUUCCCAUGCGWCGUUCCCCCAACACAAAUAAGUUCAAAAAAAUGAAAUCCCUUUGCAACAGACGAGUUUCCGUAUGAAACCCUGAUACUUCGAAAGAGAUUUGUCCGUUUUGUACACAAAGUGCAUCCUAGUUUUUGUCCGUAACCCUCUCAACUUUCUCGCACAUGCUAUGGUGGGUAGAAAUGAUGACUACCAUGACCCUAACGUUCGGUAACCUUUUCAGUAGUUCUAUUUACUAAAUGUUCNNNNNNNNNNNNNNNNNNNNNNNNNNNNNNNNNNNNNNNNNNNNNNNNNNNNNNNNNNNNNNNNNNNNNNNNNNNNNNNNNNNNNNNNNNNNNNNNNNNNGUGCUGCACCUUGACCUCGCCGUCGGCGGCGAUGGCGUCGAGCUUGACCAGCUCCGUCAUAAGCGCCUCGGUGAGGGCGACCACGUCGGCCUCCACCACCUUCCCGCCCUUGCCCACGAUGGUCUGCAGCGCAGACACCUGCAGUGCACCGCCACCCAAAUUCGAUCAGCACAGCGCCCUCCCAAAGUCGAUCGGCGGACGGCGAAAGUGAACAAGGGAAGGAGCACGAGCAGAGUGGUCGUACCUUGGUGGCGAGCUUGUCGACGUCGAGGCUGAUGCGGGAGAUGGACUUGGCGGCGCGCUGGGCCUUGUCGGAGCGGCGCUGCUCGAUGAGGCGCUUGGCCUGCGCGUCGGGUCCUCGAGCAGCAGCAGCUUGGAGCGGUCCUUGACGCCGGACAUGUCGAGGAAGGCCUUGGAGUCCAUCUCCUUGCUCUUGUAGAGCACCUUCUGGUCCUCGUGGUGCAGGCCGGUCUUGUCCGACAUCAUCUUCUUCAGCUCGCCUGCACCACCAAUCACCGUCACGCCCACAAUCAGCAGCUAGCUCGAGUCGAGUCAGAUCAAAUCAAAAAAUCCAGCGGGCGAAGCAAGGCAAAGCAAUUGAUUUGAUUUGAUUCGCGUGCAUUACCGAAGGAUGCCUGGGAGUUGAUGUAGAUCUCGUGGGAGACGCCGUUGAACUUGACCUUGAGGCGCACGGUGGGCACGGGCGCGCCGGCGGGGGCGUCCGAGUCCGGGCCCCGCUUCUGCACCAGCAUCCCGCCGGGCCGCACCUCCCACUCGUCCUCCUUGAGCGCCUCCUUGGCCGCGGCCGCGGCGGGAGAGACGGUCUCCUUCAUGGCGUCCAAGAAUGUAGCUUUGCCCUUGGCGCGCAUCAUCUUCUCAUGGCACGUACUUAUAUGCCUCCCGCUACAAACAAAGAAUCAGCCGAGCAACCCUAGCAGGCAGGCUGUACUACCGCUCUCGGACAACAACCAAGAACAACCGACGACGAGGAAGGAAGGAACGGAGGUCUCAGCGACGCCCGAGACUCUCGUCCGCGGCCGACGACGGCAACCGNUCCGCUGCUCGUCGGCCGGGACGAAGGGNNNNNNNNNNNNNNNNNNNNNNNNNNNNNNNNNNNNNNNNNNNNNNNNNNNNNNNNNNNNNNNNNNNNNNNNNNNNNNNNNNNNNNNNNNNNNNNNNNNNGAAACAAUUCCACAUUGUUUUAAGUGAGUACCAAACUCGAAACUCAAAUAUUCACCCCCACGAUCAGACCGUAGGAACUUGAUCUUCUUGUUACGAUGAUUUUCCACUUCACUCUGAAAUUGCUUGAACUUUUCAAAUGUUUCAGACUUGUGUUUCAUCAAGUAGACAUAACCAUAUCUACUCAAAUCGUCAGUGAAGGUGAGAAAUAACGAUAUCCGCCGCGUGCCUCCACGCUCAUCGGACCACACACAUUGGUAUGUAUGAUUUCCAACCAGUCACUUGCACGCUCCAUUGUUCCGGAGAACGGUAGUCUUUAGUCAUCUUGCCCAUGAGGCAUGGUUCGCACGUGUCAAGUGAAUCAAAGUCAAGUGACUCCAAAAGUCCAUCAGCAUGGAGUUUCUUCCAUGCGCUUUACACCAAUAUGACCUAAGCGGACAGUGCCANAAAAUNUGGCGCUAUCCAUUGUUACCCAUAUUUCCAACAGUCUCCCACUUGCACUAGAGUCAAUAUCUAGUUCANNNNNNNNNNNNNNNNNNNNNNNNNNNNNNNNNNNNNNNNNNNNNNNNNNNNNNNNNNNNNNNNNNNNNNNNNNNNNNNNNNNNNNNNNNNNNNNNNNNNUUGGGUCCGGCCGACGUUAACGGGUCCCGUUUUCGGGGUCCGUCGUCCCAACCCACGCCCACCUAACGGGCGUCGAUGCGCCACCCUUACGUCGGCCUACGUCGGGCGUUCCCCGGGGUCGGGUUCGGCCCCCCGGUCGAACCUACCCGGAACCCACUUCGUCACUUCCCGGUACACUUCCCGGUAACUACCGAAAACCUUACCGGUAAUACAAAUGAGGUCAUCGUAUAUAUCAAUCUUCGUUUCCGGACCAUUCCAGAAACCCUCGUGACGCCCGUGAUCUCAUCCGGGACUCCGAACAACAUUCGGUAACCAACCAUAUAACUCAAAUACGCAUAAAACAACGUCGAACCUUAAGUGUGCAGACCCUGCGGGUUCGAGAACUAUGUAGACAUGACCCGAGAGACUCCUCGGUCAAUAUCAAAUAGUGGGACCUGGAUGCCCAUAUUGGAUCCUACAUAUUCUACGAAGAUCUUAUCGUUUGAACCUCAGUGCCAAGGAUUCAUAUAAUCCUGUAUGUCAUUCCCUUUGUCCUUCGGUAUGUUACUUGCCCGAGAUUCGAGCGUCAGUAUCCGCAUACCUAUUUCAAUCUCGUUUAUCGGCAAGUCUCUUUACUCGUUUCGUAAUACAAGAUCCCGCAACUUACACUAAGUCACAUUGCUUGCAAGGCUUGUGUGUGAUGUUGUAUUACCGAGUGGGCCCCGAGAUACCUCCCGUCCGUACACGACGGUAGUACGAACUAACCUACCCGUAGUUCGUACGUACCUACCUAACUUAACCUUAACCUAACCUAAACCUAACCCGUACCGGUUACGGAAGNNNNNNNNNNNNNNNNNNNNNNNNNNNNNNNNNNNNNNNNNNNNNNNNNNNNNNNNNNNNNNNNNNNNNNNNNNNNNNNNNNNNNNNNNNNNNNNNNNNNAAAAGUGCAUUUCCCCACAGGAAGGACUACAGAUCUUGCACAAGAUCCACUCGGGAACCUAUGGACAUCAUGCGUCCCCUCGGACCAUGGUGGCCAAGGCCUUCCGAGCAGGUUUUUAUUGGCCUCGAGACAACGAGGGAGCAAAAUACUUGGUCGAUCUGUGCGUUGGAUGCGAGUUCUACAAGAAUCAGUCGCACAAGCCUGCAUCCAUGCUGAAAAUGAUUCCACUCACUUGGCCAUUCACCGUGUGGGGUAUUGACUUGGUCGGCCCUUUGUGCACCAGGACCAGUGGAUUUAGCCACCUGCUAGUUGUAGUGGAUAAGUUCACCACGUGGGUCGAAGCUAAACCCAACAAAAGCAUGGACGGGCGACUACCGUCAGCUUCAUUCGACAGAUCAUCUUCAAAUUUGGAGUCCCUCACGACAUCAUCACCGACAAUGGAACCAACUUCGACUCGGAGGAAUUCCGCGAGUUCUGUCACUCCCAAGGCACACAGGGGAUAGGNNNNNNNNNNNNNNNNNNNNNNNNNNNNNNNNNNNNNNNNNNNNNNNNNNNNNNNNNNNNNNNNNNNNNNNNNNNNNNNNNNNNNNNNNNNNNNNNNNNNUAAAUAGAACAAUAAGAAAAGAAACAAUAGGAAGUUAGAAAGGGUUAUAAAUUGAUGAUGUGGCUUUGAAUGGUGUCAUUUUGAACAACAAAAACUAUGGAGUWCAAAUAAGUUCAAAAAUGAAAUCCCUUUGUAACAGACGAGUUUCCGUAUGAAACCCUSAUACUUCGAAAGAGAUUGUGUGUUUGUACACGAAGUGCAUCCAGUUUUGCCGUAACCCUCUCAACUUUCUUGCACAUGCUAUGUGGGUGAAAUGAUGAUACCAUGCCAACUUGGAACCUUUUCCCGUAAAGUUUCCCCUAAGUUUUCGUAAAGUCCGUCGUUUUCAAAGUUUACCACUACGGUACGUUAUAACUCAGUAAAUAAAUCAAUAAAAUGCAUGAAAAGUAACAAAUGAAGUCAGAAAGGGUUGUMAAUUGAUGAUGUGGCUUUGAAUGGUGCAUUUUGAACACAGAAAAACUAUGGAGUUCAAAUAAGUUCAAAAAAAAUAGAAAUCCCUUUGUAACAAACGAGUUUCCGUAUGAAACCCUGAUACUUCGAAAGAGAUUGUCCGUUUUGUACACGAAGUGCAUCCAGUUUUUGCCGUAACCCUCUCAACUUUCUCGCACAUGCUAUGUGGGUGAAAUGAUGAUACCAUGCCAACUUGGAACCUUUUCAGAGUUCAUUUCAAAUGCUUUUCAAUUUCAUGGUCUUAUAGCUCAAUAAUAAUCAAGUAAAUGCAUAGAAAAAUAAUAAAUAGAAGUCAAGUAAAGGGUACUUAGUAAAUUGAUGAUAGUGUUGGUACUUUGGAAGUGGUGUUNNNNNNNNNNNNNNNNNNNNNNNNNNNNNNNNNNNNNNNNNNNNNNNNNNNNNNNNNNNNNNNNNNNNNNNNNNNNNNNNNNNNNNNNNNNNNNNNNNNNGUGCGUAACCCUCUCAACUUUCUCGCACAUGCUAUGUGGGUGAAAUGAUGAUACCAUGCCAACUUGGAACCUUUUCAGAGUUCAUUUCAAAUGCUUUUCAAUUUCAUGGUCUUAUAGCUCAUAAUAAUCAGUAAAUGCAUGAAAAAUAAUAAAUGAAGUCAUAAAGGGCUGUAAAUUGAUGAUGUGGCUUUGAAUGGUGCAUUUUGAACACAGAAAAACUAUGGAGUUCAAAUAAGUUCAAAAAAAUAAAAUCCCUUUGUAACAGACGAGUUUCUGUAUGAAACCCUGAUACUUCGAAAGAGAUUGUCCGUUUUGUACACGAAGUGCAUCCAGUUUUUGCCGUAACCCUCUCAACUUUCUCGCACAUGCUAUGUGGGUGAAAUGAUGAUACGAUGCCAACUUGGAACCUUUCCAGAGUUCAUUUGAAAUGCUUUUCAAUUUCAUGGUCUUAUAGCUCAAAAUAAUCAGUAAAUGCAUGAAAAAUAACAAAUGAAGUCAGAAAGGGUUGUAAAUUGAUGAUGUGGCUUUGAAUGGUGCAUUUUGAACACACAGAAAAACUAUGGAGUUCAAAUAAAGUUSAAAACAWAUUGAAAAUCCCUUUAGUAACUAGACGUAGUUUACCUGUNNNNNNNNNNNNNNNNNNNNNNNNNNNNNNNNNNNNNNNNNNNNNNNNNNNNNNNNNNNNNNNNNNNNNNNNNNNNNNNNNNNNNNNNNNNNNNNNNNNNCCGUACGACGAACCGGUACCCAAAUGGCUUUUGCUAUAUAAGCUAGCAGUUGUGAAAAUUUCGUCAGUUUUCUUUGAUUCCUCCGACGACGCCGCCAGGCUGCCCCGAGCUCGCCGUCGUCGCCCCUGCCCCCCGACACGCCGUCGUUGCCCCGGCCCGACCACGCCGUCGUAGCCCCUUGCCCCCCCGACAUCGCCGCGCGCCCCUGUCGUGCCCUCUACCGCGCCCCCUACCCGCCCCGUGACGCCGUCGCCGCCCUUUGCCCCCGUUGAUCGCCAUUCGCCCCCCGUCCCGACACGUCCGUUGUCGGCCCCCUUGCCCCGACCACGCCGUCGCCGUUCGCCCUCUACACCGACGUCGGCGCCGUGCCUCUCCUUGGCCAGGCCUAGCGCCGCCCACCCUGUCCUCUCCUUUGUUCAUAUAAAUGAUGAUUUUUUUUUGCUAUUUUAUAAAAUGUAUAUAUGUAUGUAUGUUCUCUAUGCAGUAUAAAAGUUAUUAUUUUUAGUACUAGUUUGGGUACUAGUUUUAGGUUAGUUUAUNNNNNNNNNNNNNNNNNNNNNNNNNNNNNNNNNNNNNNNNNNNNNNNNNNNNNNNNNNNNNNNNNNNNNNNNNNNNNNNNNNNNNNNNNNNNNNNNNNNNGUUGGUCGACCUUUCGGUAGGUACAAAACCGGGACCGAACUACUCUUCGUAGUUAGUCGUAGGGUUACUAUACGGAAAACUCGUUUGUUCUAAAGGGAAGUUUCUUAUUUUUUUGAACUUAUUUGAACUCCUAUAGUUUUYYUGUAGUUCAAAWYGCACCAUUCAAAGCCACAUCAUCAAUUGUACAACCCUUCUGACUUUAUUUGUUAUUUUUCAUGCAUUUACUGAUUAUUUUGAGCUAUAAGACCAUGAAAUUGAAAAGCAUUUGAAAUGAACUCUAGAAAAGGUUCCRAGUUGGCAUGGUAUCAUCUAUUUCCACCCCACAUAGUAUGUGCGACAAAGUUAGAGAGGGUUACGACAAAACUAGGAUGCACUUCGUGUACAAAACGGACAAUCUCUUUCGAAGUAUCACGGUUUCAUACGAACGAACUCGUCUGUUACAAAGGGAUUUCUAUUUUUGUUUAGUAACUUUAUUUGUACGGUCCGACGUAGUUUUCUGGUAGAACUUACCUNNNNNNNNNNNNNNNNNNNNNNNNNNNNNNNNNNNNNNNNNNNNNNNNNNNNNNNNNNNNNNNNNNNNNNNNNNNNNNNNNNNNNNNNNNNNNNNNNNNNUCUUUGAUCAACGAGCUAGUCAACUAGAGGCUUACUAGGGACAGUGUUUUGUCUAUGUAUCCACACAAGUAUUGUGUUUCCAAUCAAUACAAUUAUAGCAUGGAUAAUAAACGAUUAUCAUGAACUAAGAAAUAUAAUAAUAACUAAUUUAUUAUUGCCUCUAGGGCAUAUUUCCAACAGUCUCCCACUUGCACUAGAGUCAAUAAUCUAGUUCACAUCACCAUGUGAUUCCAACGAAUCCAACACCCAUAUAGUUAUGGGGUCUGAUCAUGUCUUGCUUGUGAGAGAGGUUUUAGUCAACGGUUCUGAAACUUUCAGAUCCGUGCGUUCUUUACAAAUUCUUUAUGUCAUCUUAUAGAUGCUGCUACUACGUGCUAUUCGGAAAUGCUACCAAAUAUCCACUCUACUAUAUGAAUCCGUUUCACUACUCUAUAGUUAAUUUCCAGAUUAACGUGUCAAAGCUUGCAUCGACGUAACCCUUUACGACGAACUCUUUAACCACCUCCAUAAUCGAGAAAAUUCCUUAGUCCAUUUGUUACUAAGGAUAAAUUUGACCGCUGCUAGUGAUUCAAUCAUGGAUCACUCUCUGUACCCUCAACAGACUUUGAGUCAAGGUCACACUACGGAGGUAGGCGGUACACAGCAUGGCAUACUUAGAUUCUACGCUAAGGCAUAGAGACGACCUCGUCUAUUCUUCUUACUUNUGUCCGGUGGUUCCGGGUUUGUAGUCUUACUCUAAANNNNNNNNNNNNNNNNNNNNNNNNNNNNNNNNNNNNNNNNNNNNNNNNNNNNNNNNNNNNNNNNNNNNNNNNNNNNNNNNNNNNNNNNNNNNNNNNNNNNACGCAUGUGACUAGCAUCAACUACAAAGAGUAAUCAACACUACUAGCAACCUUACAAGUACCAAUUGGAGUCGCGAGAUGGAGAUUGGUUACAAGAGAUGAACUAGGGUUUGGAGAGGAGAUGGUGCUGAUGAAGAUGUUGAUGGAGAUGACUCCCCUCCGACGAGAGGAGUGUUGGUGAUGACGAUGGCGAUGAUUUCCCCCUCAGGGAGGGAAGUUUCCCCGGCAGGAUCGUCCUGCGGGAGCUCUAGAAUGGUUCUGCUCAACUUCGGCCUCGUGGCGGCGGAGAAUCCACGAAAAGCUCCACCCUGGAUUUUUYSUCGGACGAAACCCUUCAUAUAGCAAAAGAGGGGGCCAGUGGUCCGCCAUGGUGCCCACAAGCCCUGUAGCCGCCGCCAGGGGGUAGGUGGCGGCUACCGGGCUUGUGGGCUCCUGGUAGCUCCCCUCUCGUACUCCUUUCGCCCAGUAUUUUUUAUAUAUUCCCAAAAAUACCAUGUUGAUUUUCAGGGCAUUUGGAUUUGCGUAGAAUAGAGGACUCGGACUUUCUCCUUUUCCAGUCCAGAAUUCCAGCUGCCGGUAUUCUCUCUCUUCAAAUAAACCUUGCAAAAUAAGAGAGAAAAGGCAUAAGUAUGGUACCACAAAGUAAUAUAACAAUCCAUAAAGCGAUAAAUAUCAACAUGAAAGCAUGAUGCAAAAUGGACGUAUCAAGGCACACAGGGGAUAGGCAUNNNNNNNNNNNNNNNNNNNNNNNNNNNNNNNNNNNNNNNNNNNNNNNNNNNNNNNNNNNNNNNNNNNNNNNNNNNNNNNNNNNNNNNNNNNNNNNNNNNNAAAGAGGGGCCAGUGGUCCGCCAUGGUGCCCACAAGCCCUGUAGCCGCCGCCAGGGGGGGUAGGUGGCGGCUACCGGGCUUGUGGGCUCCUCGGUAGCUCCCCUCUCGUACUCCUUUCGUCCCAGUAUUUUUUAUAUAUUCCCAAAAAAUACCAUGUUGAUUUUCAGGGCAUUUGGAUUUGCGUAGAAUAGAGGACUCGGACUUUCUCCUUUUCCAGUCCAGAAUUCCAGCUGCCGGUAUUCUCUCUCUUCAAAUAAACCUUGCAAAAUAAGAGAGAAAAGGCAUAAGUAUGGUACCACAAAGUAAUAUAACAAUCCAUAAAGCGAUAAAUAUCAACAUGAAAGCAUGAUGCAAAAUGGACGUAUCAAGGCACACAGGGGAUAGGUUAUGUUCUUACUUCACACAUGAUUUGAGUAGAUAUUAGUAUAUUUACUUGAUGAAACACAAGUCUGAAUUAUUGAAAUAUUCAAGUGAUUUCAGAGUGAAGUUGAAGAUCAUCGUGACAAGAAGAUAAUAUGUCUACGAUGUGAUCAUGGAGGUAAAUAUAUAUCUGAGUUGCGAGUUUGGUAUACAUUUAAGACAAUGUGAAAAUUGUUUCACAACUCAUGCCACCUGGAACACCAUAGUGUGAUGGCGUGUCCGAACGUCAUAGUCGUGCCCUAUUGGAUAUGGCGCAUACUAUNNNNNNNNNNNNNNNNNNNNNNNNNNNNNNNNNNNNNNNNNNNNNNNNNNNNNNNNNNNNNNNNNNNNNNNNNNNNNNNNNNNNNNNNNNNNNNNNNNNNGAAGAGUGUUACAGGAGUCAGUCAAAAGUGCAUUUCCCCACAGGAAGGACUACAGAUCUUGCACAAGAUCCACUCGGGAACCUAUGGACAUCAUGCGUCCCCUCGGACCAUGGUGGCCAAGGCCUUCCGAGCAGGUUUUWWUGGCCUCGAGACAACGAGGGAGCAAAAUACUUGGUCGAUCUGUGCGUUGGAUGCGAGUUCUACAAGAAUCAGUCGCACAAGCCUGCAUCCAUGCURRAAAUGAUUCCACUCACUUGGCCAUUCACCGUGUGGGGUAUUGACUUGGUCGGCCCUUUGUGCACCAGGACCAGUGGAUUUAGCCACCUGCUAGUUGUAGUGGAUAAGUUCACCACGUGGGUCGAAGCUAAACCCAACAAAAGCAUGGACGGGGCGACUACCGUCAGCUUCAUUCGACAGAUCAUCUUCAAAUUUGGAGUCCCUCACGACAUCAUCACCGACAAUGGAACCAACUUCGACUCGGAGGAAUUCCGCGAGUUCUGUCACUCCCAAGGCACACAGGGGAUAGGNNNNNNNNNNNNNNNNNNNNNNNNNNNNNNNNNNNNNNNNNNNNNNNNNNNNNNNNNNNNNNNNNNNNNNNNNNNNNNNNNNNNNNNNNNNNNNNNNNNNGUUUUGUCUUAGUAACGACGGUAGCAUUAUGAGGUGAGUCUCUCACUAAAAUUUACUAAGACGAAAUUAGUGUUCUCCCCGACCUGUGCACCGUUGCGACAGUUCUUCGUUUCGUAGACACCACGUGAUGAUCGGGUGUGAUAGACUCAACGUUCACAUACAACGGGUGCAAAACAGUUGCACACGCAGAACACUCGGGUUAAGCUUGACGAGCCUAGCAUGUGCAGACAUGGCCUCGGAACACGUGAGACCGAAAGGUCGAGCAUGAAUCGUAUAGUUGAUAUGAUUAGCAUAGGGAUGCUUACCACUGAAACUAUUCUCGACUCACGUGAUGAUCGGACUUGAGAUAGUGGAUUUGGAUCAUGUACCACUCAAAUGACUAGAGAGAUGUACUUUUUGAGUGGGAGUUCUUAAGUAAUAUGAUUAAUUGAACUAAUUUUCAUGAACAUAGUCUAAUGGUCUUUGCGAAUUACGAUGUAGCUUGCGCUAUAGCUCUACUGUUUUUUUAUGUUCCUAGAGAAAAUUUAGUUGAAAAUUGAUAGUAGCAACCUUUGCAGACUGAGUCUGUAAAACCGAGGAUUGUCCUCGUUGCUGCGCAGAAGGCUUAUGUCCUUAAUGCACCACUCGGUGUGCUGCACCUCGAGCGUCGUCUGUGGAUGCUGUGAACAUCCGACAUACACGUUUCUGAUGACUACACGAUAGUUCAGUGCAAAGUACUUAAUGGCUUAGAAGCAAGGCACACGAGGGGAUAGGNNNNNNNNNNNNNNNNNNNNNNNNNNNNNNNNNNNNNNNNNNNNNNNNNNNNNNNNNNNNNNNNNNNNNNNNNNNNNNNNNNNNNNNNNNNNNNNNNNNNCUUUGAUUAUAUCUUCGAGAAGUUCUUCCUCUUCGAGGUUCCUGAUAUGUGGAUCCCUAGUUCUGCAAAAAACGGACAUUUGAUUAACUAAUAAACUAACAAACUAUAUAAGAGGGGUUGGAAACUUCGAAGUGUCGUUUUAUAUAGGAGGACCUUUAGUCCCGGGUCUUGGCUAGAACCUAAACUUCGAAGUUCUAUUAAUUUUCUUGCUAAAAAUAAACUAUUAACACUUAAGCAUAUACAAUAGCAAAAUUAAACUAUUAACACUUCAGCAUAUACAAUAGCAAAAUUAAGCAAUAAUCUAAGAAACACUAUUAACACUUAAGCAUAUACACUAUACAAUAGCAAAAUUAAAUGACAAAAAAUAUAUUUCUUCUUCUUGUAACCCUAAACUAAUUUUUCCUCUUCUUCUAUUUCUCCUCUUCUUCUAUUUCUUAUUCUACUUCUACUUCUCCUCUUCUUCUACUACUUCUCCUCUUCUCUUCUUCUACUUCUCCUCUCCUCCUCUUCUAAUUUUUCUCUUCUUCUACUUCUCCUCUUCUUCUUAUUUUCCUCUUCUUCUCCUCUCCUCCUCUUCUUAUUCUCCUUUUCUUCUUUUCUUCUCCUCCUCUUUUAUUUUCCUUUUCUAAUUCUACAUUAUUACUAACCUAAUAAUCUAGCACAAACCUAAUAACAAKDGASGUAMRUUAAAUAGAAAACUAAAAAAAAUUUACUUUUUUCUUUCCUUUUUCCCUUUUCCCUUUUUUCCCUUUCCCCUUUUCCUUUCCUUUCCCUUUUUUCCUUUCCCUUUUCCUUUCCUUUCCCUUUUUUCCUUUCCCUUUUUCCCUUUUCCCUUUUUUAUUUUACUUUUUCCUUUCCUUUCCCUUUUUUACUUUUACUUUUUCCUUUCCCUUUCCCCUUUUUCCCCUUUUUUCCUUUCCCNNNNNNNNNNNNNNNNNNNNNNNNNNNNNNNNNNNNNNNNNNNNNNNNNNNNNNNNNNNNNNNNNNNNNNNNNNNNNNNNNNNNNNNNNNNNNNNNNNNNAAACUUUAAUAGCAAAAAGAAUUAUCAUAAAAUAAAAUUAAUAAGUAAUUAUAAACAAAACAAAAUAAAAUAAAUAAGUAUUUUGUUGUAAGUAGAAACAAAACAAAAUAAGCUAGCUAGCACUUUGAAUUUAAGUAGAAACAAAACAAAAUAAACAAAAGAAAAAAUAAAAGAAAAAUAAUCAAUAAAUGCAACUAAAAUUAUCAAAGUAUUUUCUGUUAAAAAUCAUUAAAAGGAAAAGAAUUUUCAUAAAGAACUUUUUUUGUUAGAAACUUUAAUGGACAAAAAUAAUUAUCAUGAAAUAAAAUAAAUAAGUAAUUAGAAAACAAAAAAAUAAAAUAAUAAGUAUUUUGUUGUAAGGAGAAACAAAACAAAAUAAGCUAAACUAAAAAAAUAAACAAAACUAAAAUAAAAGAAAAAACAAAACUAAAAUUAAAUAGGAAAAAAAUUAAAAAAUAAGAUGUUCUCUCCACGUUGCAGCCGCGGCGGAGCUUAUAAACNGGCUCGGAAGUCCUUCGCUUGACACNNNNNNNNNNNNNNNNNNNNNNNNNNNNNNNNNNNNNNNNNNNNNNNNNNNNNNNNNNNNNNNNNNNNNNNNNNNNNNNNNNNNNNNNNNNNNNNNNNNNGGUCCGUUCUUGGCAACAAAGGUUUUACCUUCGGAUCUAAGAUAGAAGGUAUACCCAAUAGUUUCCUUAGGGUAUCCUAUGAAUACGCAUUUCUCCGCUUUGGGUUCGAGCUUUUUUUGGUUGAAGUUUCUUCACAUAAGCAUCGCAGCCCCAAACUUUAAGAAACGACAACUUAGGUUUCUUGCCGAACCAUAGUUCAUACGGUGUCAUCUCAACGGAUUUAGACGGUGCCCUAUUUAAAGUGAAUGCUGCAGUUUCUAAUGCGUAUCCCCAAAAUGAUAGCGGUAAGUCGGUAAGAGACAUCAUAGAUCGUACCAUAUCUAAUAAAGUGCGAUUACGAUGUUCAGACACUCAGUUGCGUUGCGGUGUGCCAAGCGGUGUCAGUUGUGAAACGAUUCCACACUUCCUUAGGUGUGUGCAAAACUCGUGACUCAAAUAUUCUCCUCAUGAUGAGAUCGUAGACACUUUAUUUUUCUGUCACGUUGAUUCNCGACCUCACUCUGAAAUUCCUUGUAACUUUUCAAAUGUCUCAGUAUUUGUGCUUCAUACAAGUAGAUACUACCCAUACCUACUNNNNNNNNNNNNNNNNNNNNNNNNNNNNNNNNNNNNNNNNNNNNNNNNNNNNNNNNNNNNNNNNNNNNNNNNNNNNNNNNNNNNNNNNNNNNNNNNNNNNAGUCCUCAUUCUACGCAAAUCCAAAUGCCCUGAAAAUCAACAUGGUAUUUUUUGGGAAUAUAUAAAAAAUACUGGGCGAAAGGAGUACGAGAGGGGAGCUACCAGGAGCCCACAAGCCCGGUAGCCGCCACCUACCCCCCUGGCGGCGGCUACAGGGCUUGUGGGCACCAUGGCGGACCACUGGCCCCCCUCUUUUGCUAUAUGAAGGGUUUCGUCCGAGAAAAAAUCAGGGUGGAGCUUUUUCGUGGAUUCUCCGCCGCCACGAGGCCGAAGUUGAGCAGAACCAUUCUAGAGCUCCCGCAGGACGAUCCUGCCGGGGAAACUUCCCUCCCUGAGGGGGAAAUCAUCGCCAUCGUCAUCACCAACACUCCUCUCGUCGGAGGGAGUCAUCUCCAUCAACAUCUUCAUCAGCACCAUCUCCUCUCCAAACCCUGUUCAUCUCUUGUAACCAAUCUACNUCUCGCACUCCAAUUGGUACUUGUAAGGUUGCUAGUAGUGUUGAUUACUNUUUGUAGUUGAUGCNNNNNNNNNNNNNNNNNNNNNNNNNNNNNNNNNNNNNNNNNNNNNNNNNNNNNNNNNNNNNNNNNNNNNNNNNNNNNNNNNNNNNNNNNNNNNNNNNNNNCGGGUACACCACUACUACUUAAGUUAGGGAAAGUAACUACUAUUGGAUAGGUCGGUAAUAACCGAAACCCCUAAAACUUAAAGUAACGGUAACGUACGACUAGUUUGGUUAGUACGUCGGUUCGUACUUUAGUUUUUGGUUGUACUACGUUUUCGUUUUACGUCGGUCGGUUCGUAACGUAAGUUUAAUUUUACCUUACCUUGUCCGACCUAGUAGAAGUACCAUAUAACYCACUGACACCGGAGGAAUGCUUUGUGUGUAUCAAACGUCGCAACGUAACUGGGUGACUAUAAAGAUGCUCUACAGGUAUCUCCGAAGGUGUUAGUUGAGUUAGUAUGGAUCAAGACUGGGAUUUGUCACUCCGUGUGACGGAGAGGUAUCUCGGGGCCCACUCGGUAAUACAACAUCACACACAAGCCUUGCAAGCAAUGUAACUUAGUGUAAGUUGCGGGAUCUUGUAUUACGGAAUGAGUAAAGAGACUUGCCGGUAACGAGAUUGAAAUAGGUAUGCGGAUACUAACGAUCGAAUCUCGGGCAAGUAACAUACCGAAGGACAAAGGGAAUGACAUACGGGAUUAUAUGAAUCCUUGGCACUGAGGUUCAAACGAUAAGAUCUUCGUAGAAUAUGUAGGAUCCAAUCGUGGGCAUCCAGGUCCCGCUGUUGGAUAUUGACCGAGGAGUCUCUCGGGUCAUGUCUACAUAGUUCUCGAACCCGCAGGGUCUGCACACUNNNNNNNNNNNNNNNNNNNNNNNNNNNNNNNNNNNNNNNNNNNNNNNNNNNNNNNNNNNNNNNNNNNNNNNNNNNNNNNNNNNNNNNNNNNNNNNNNNNNCUCGUUACCGGCAAGUCUCUUUACUCAUUCCGUAAUACAAGAUCCCGCAACUUACACUAAGUUACAUUGCUUGCAAGGCUUGUGGGUGAUGUUGUAUUACCGAGUGGGCCCCGAGAUACCUCUCCGUCACACGGAGUGACAAAUCCCAGUCUUGAUCCAUACUAACUCAACUAACACCUUCGGAGAUACCUGUAGAGCAUCUUUAUAGUCACCCAGUUACGUUGCGACGUUUGAUACACACAAAGCAUUCCUCCGGUGUCAGUGAGUUAUAUGAUCUCAUGGUCAUAGGAAUAAAUACUUGACACGCAGAAAACAGUAGCAAMMAAAUGACACGAUCAACAUGCUACGUCUAUUAGUUUGGGUCUAGUCCAUCACAUGAUUCUCCUAAUGAUGUGAUCCCGUUAUCAAGUGACAACACUUGUCUAUGGCCAGGAAACCUUGACCAUCUUUGAUCAACGAGCUAGUCAACUAGAGGCUUACGUAGGGACUAGGUUGUUUUGUCUAUGUACUCCNNNNNNNNNNNNNNNNNNNNNNNNNNNNNNNNNNNNNNNNNNNNNNNNNNNNNNNNNNNNNNNNNNNNNNNNNNNNNNNNNNNNNNNNNNNNNNNNNNNNAAAUUUGAUGAACUCUUUUAAAAUUCAAUAAACUUUCUUUCAAAAUCGGUGAACUUUUUUCUAAAAUCGGUGAACUUUUUUCAAAAUUGGUGAAUUUUUUUCAAAAUUCAAUAUUUUAUUUUCAAAAUCAUGAUCUUUUAUUAAAAUCGAUAGACUUUUUCAAAUUUGAUGAACUUUUUUCAAAAUUGAUGUUUCCAUAUUAGAUAUUUAUUUUGAAAUAUACUGAACAUUUUCAAAUUUAACGACUCUUUUGCAAAUUCAAUGAACUUUUCUUUUUCAAAUUUGAUGAUUUUUCUCAAAAUCGAUGAACUUUUUUUACAUUCAAUUGUUUUUCAAAUUACAUUAUUUUUUUCAAUUUCAAUGAACUUUUUUCAAACUUGAUUAACUUUUUUUCAAAAUUAUUGAACUUUUUAACAUUUUGAUGAACCUAUUUUAUAAAUUGAUGAACUCUUUUUAAAAUGCGAUGAACUUUUUUCAAUUCGAUGAAUAUCAUAUUUUCAAAUUGAAUGAUUUUUUUCAAUUUGAUGAACAAAUUUCAAGUCCUAUAAUUUUUUUCAAAUUUAUGAACUUUUUUCAUAUUUGUGAAAGAAAUAUACAAAAUCGAUAUUUUUUUUAGAAUUAAUCUAUGAACUUUUCUAACAAAAGUAUUCAAAAUUGAAAAAAAGGCGGUCAAUCUUUUUUCCGAACCACAAUGGCAGCACAGCCGAAGAACUAAUCCAGCGAGGCGAGUUAGUUUCUUUUCAGCGGUCGAGCGAACCGACAAGGAGCCAUGUUUUUAAUGGGCCCCGUUUUUGGAAGCUUUCCGGCCUGGGUAUGAAGCUUCGAGAACCUUCCGGUCGGUUUGUUUUUUGGUUUUUGAAAACUUGGCUUUGUUUUUUUGUGUGCUUUUUUAAUUUGCUUUUUUAAUGCUUGAACUUCAUAGGAAACUGAAAACUUUUACAAAUUUGUGAUUUGGUUUUGAAUUUUAUGAGCUUUUCCUAAUCCGCAAAAAAAUUCAGUUCCGCUAUUUCGAGUGAUCUUUUUCUUGAUUUAAUGAACUUUUUUCAGUUUUUGCUAACCUUUUAGUGAAGCUCUAAAAUUUUUACAAACUUUUAAGUAACCUGAUUAUAUUUAUAUAAAAUGUUCCUCUAUCAGAAGAUAGUUAAUGUGUUUGAAAAGAAUAGUAUAUAAAAAGAUCAUCAUGUUUGGAGAAAGUCGUACGACCUUUUAUGUGUGAAUAGAGAUUGUCGUACAUUAUCUUCAUAAAUUUUGAAAGAAAAUCAUGCACACCACUUCUUAAAAAAAUUCAUGUACUUGACCCCUUACGGAUUGUACAUUAGGGAUAGGCCUAUAAACCUUUUCCCCAAGACCCACCUAAGGCCCCAUACGAACAUCAAUGUCCUACAAGUCACCGGUGCAGUUUCGACCUCAUUCGAUACAACGUGUCCUCAGUCGGCUUACAUGAAGUCAUUCGGAUCACCUUGUGUCAGUGGGACGCACCAUGGUACUCGAACCACAGCAAGACGAUGACACCGAAUAGGCUACAACGACUAAGGACUUCAACUAUCACAUGAAGUGCAGUGAAGACCCGCGUUACAUGUAACGCUAGGAGUUAUAACUCUCGUUUCUAGUAACUCCCUUAUUUAUUAGCAUUAAUUCACCUUGUAGUGAAGCUUAGCCGGUCAUGGCAUACUCUAUAUAGGCCACUCCCGGGCUCGAGUUCAAGGGUUCAGCACCUUGUAAUCUCACAUACCCCAUAAGAAAACAUGAGCCUCAAGGCUCGAGACGUAGGGUUGUUACCACUUCCGAAUGGGGCCCAAACUCGUACAUCCGAGUGUAUUCAUAGGGCUUAGUUAGGCUUCGCCCCUCCGUUCGUACCCCCACUACUAUUAUCAGGGUCAUUUCCAGACACUUGGCGCACACCGUGGGGCUGCGUGUCUAGCAAAUCCAACAUGAUGACACUCGGCGGAGAGAUCCUCUUCGGUUCCCUCACCUUCGUUGUCGUGGGAAUGAUCCUGACAAUAGUACGAGGGGUACGAACUAAGGGGCGAAGUCUAGCUAGGCGCAGUGGAUACACUUGGAUGUACAAGUUCGGGCCCCACUGGGAAGUGGUAAAGACCCUACAUCUCAAGCCGUGAGGCUCGUGAUUUCUUAUGGGGUAUCUGAAAGUACAAAAUGCUUAACCCUUGAGGGGGAGCCCAGGAGUGGCUUAUAUAGAGUGUGCCACGACCGACCGAGCACCGUCACUAGGGUAUUUAAUGCUAAUAACUACGUGAUUUACUAAAAACGGUGGCUUUAAUUACAACGUUACACGUAACAUGGGUCUUCACGCAGGUGUUUAAGUCCUUGGCAAUUGUGAUGGGGAACGUUGCAUGGAAAACAAAAAAUUUCGUACGCAAACGCAAUACCUAUCCAUGGUGAUGAUCAUCUACGAGAGGGGAGAGUAAAUAUACAUACCCUUGUAGAUCGCUAAGCGGAAGCGUCUAUAACGCGAUUGAUGUAGUGGAACAUCUUCGCGAUCCAAAUCACAGCCCUUCCUGCGAUCUCAUCACGAUCCAUCCCGAUCUAGUGCCGAACGGAUGGCACCUCCGCGUUCAGCACACGUACAACUCGAUGACAAUCCCCGUCUCCUUGAUCUAGCAAGAGGGGCGGAGAGGUAGAUGCAUUGUCCAACACGACGGCGUGGUGGUGGUGGUGGUGGAAAAUCUAGCAGGGCUUCGCCAAGAGGUGCGAAACUAAUCUAGAGAAGAAAACGAUCUAGAGAGAGAGACGACAUCACGUGGCUAAUUAGGGACUCCUUCCUAAUUUGGAAACUCUUUCCACCUUUUGGCUUUUUGCUUUAUCCCUCCACUCGAGCCGCAUGGGCCCUUAGGGGAGGCUUCGGCCAGCCCACCAGGGGCUGGUCUGCCUCCUCUCACAGCCCAUGAAACCCUUGGGUCAUCACACCCAUCCCGGUGGUCCCUCGGUACCCUCCCGGUACUCCUGGUAUACUACCGAUGAGUCCAAAACUUUUUCGGAGACCAAAACAGGACUUCCUAUAUAUCAAUCUUUACCUUCGGACCAUUCCGGAGCUCCUCGUGACGUCCAGGAUCUCAUUUGAGAUUCCAAACAACCUUUGGUCACCAACACCUAUAACUCAACUAUACCGAAACGUCAUCGAACCUUAAGUGUGCACACCCUGCGGGUUUGAGAACUAUGUAGACAUGACCCGAGACAUUCUCCGGCCAAUAACCAAUAGCGUGACCUGGAUGCCCAUAUUGUCUCCCACAUAUUAUACAAAGAUAUUUAUCGGUUGAACCUCUAUGUCAAGGAUUCAAUUAAUCCCAUAUGUUGUUCCCUUUGUCCUUCGGUAUGUUACUUGCUCGAGAUUCAAUCAUCGGUAUCUCUAUACCUAGUUCAAUCUCGUUACCGGCAAGUCUCUUUACUCAUUCCGUAAUACAAGAUCCCGCGACUAACUCCUUAGUCACAUUGCUUGCAAGGAUUGUUGUGAUGUUGUAUUACCGAGUGGGCCCCGAGAUACCUCUCCGUCACACNNNNNNNNNNGUCAACCAAACAUACACCUUGUGUGAUCGUGUCAGUUUAUUGGUACUGUUUUCUGCAUGUCAAUGUAUUUGUUCCUAUGACCAUGAGAUCAUGCAACUCCCGGACACCGGAGGAAUACCUUGUGUGUAUCAAUCGUCAGAACGUAACUGGGUGACUAUAAAGGUGCUCUACAGGUAUCUCCGAAGGUGUCUGUUGGGUUGGUAUGGAUCAAGACUGGGAUUUGUCACUCCGUGUGAUGGAGAGGUAUCUCAGUGCCGACUCGGUAAUACAACAUCACAACAAGCCUUGCAAGCAAUGUGACUAAGGAGUUAGUCACAGGAUCUUGUAAUACGGAAUGAGUAAAGAGACUUGCCGGUAACGAGAUUGAACUAGGUAUAGAGAUACCGACGAUCGAAUCUCGGGCAAGUAACAUACCGAAGGACAAAGGGAACAACAUACGGGAUUAAUUGAAUCCUUGACAUAGAGGUUCAACCAAUAAAGAUCUUCGUAGAAUAUGUAUGAACCAAUAUGGUCAUCCAAGUCCUGCUAUUGGUUAUUGACCGUAGAAGUGUCUCGGUCAUGUCUGCAUAGUUCUCGAACCCACAGGGUCUGCACACUUAACGUUCGGUGACGCUAGAGUAGUAUUGGGAUAUGUAUGUUGGUGAAUGAAUGUUGUUCGUAGUCCCGGAUGAGCUCCUGGAUGUCACGAGGAGCUCCGGAAUGGUUCGGAGGUAAAGAUUUAUAUAUGGGAAGUCCUAUUUUGGCUACCGGAAAAGUUCCAGGUUUUAUCGCUAUUGUACCAGGAAGCUUCUGGAAGUUCCACAGGGUUCUAGAGGGUUCCGGAGGAGUCCGGAAGGUUCCCUCCAGCCCCUAGGACGUGCAUGGGCUUAAGGAGGUGUCCAAGCCUUGUUGGGCGAGCCCCCAAGGGCCCAUACGGUUGGGAGGAAAGAGUCCCUAAAGGGGAAGGCACCUCCUAGGUGCCAUGAGGAGGGAGGAAACCUCCCUAGGCCCACGCCCCCUCCUUGGAGGAGGGGCUAGGUAUGCGACCCAACCCUCCUCCUUGCCUCCCAUAUAUAGUGCGGGAGAGGGAGGGUCUGAACACACCAAUUCCCACACCACGGUGGCAGCCCUACCUCUCCCAUAACUCCGUUUUCUCCUCAGAUCAGUUCUGGCAGCGCUUUGCGAAGCCGUGCUGGCACUGCUCCACCAUCAUCUCCACCAUGCCGUCGUGUUGGUUGAGAUCCCAUAUACUUCUCCUUCCUCUCUUGCUGGAUCAAGAAGGAGGAGACGUCAUCGAGCCGUACGUGUGCUGAACGCAGAGGUGUCGUCCGUUCGGCACUAGAUCGGGACGGAUCGUGAUGGGAUCGUGGGACGGAUCAUAAUGAGAUCGCAGGACAGGCUGCGAUUUGGAUCGCGAAGAUGUUCCACUAUAUCAACCGCGUUAUAUAUAUGCUUCCACUUAGCGAUCUACAAGGGUAUGUAGAUGCACUCUCUCCUCUCGUAGAUGGUCAUCACCAUGGAUAGAUCUUGUGUGCGCGUAGGAAUUUUUUUAUUUCCCAUGCAACGUUCCCCAACAUGGAGGACUACCAAGUGGCCGUCCAGAUAGGUGGCGGCGACGACUACAUCACAAUGAAGCAUAUGCCCCUCAUGUUAGAAGGGUUGGCGAGGGCGUGGCUCAAUCAGCUUCCCUCCAGCAACAUCCAUAGCUGUGUUUACCUCACCUGAGUGUUCGUCAAGACCUUCGAGGGCACUUACAAGCGUCCAAGCGGCCUGACCGAGCUGCAACACUAUGUCGAGAAGAGCAAGGAGACUCUCACAGAGUACAGCCAGCGGUGGACCACACUGCACAACACGGUGGAGAAUGUCACCGAGCAUCAGGCCGUGUGCACUUCCAAAGAAGGCACUCAUCCUCAAGUUUGGCCGAUCAAGGGAUGUGUCCCUUAGUUGGGCCAUAGAAGUCGCUAAUCGGUAUGCGAAUGGCGAAGAAGAAGACUACCUCCGCAGCGGCAAAGGCCGAGCCAGCAAAGCCCCUUAGUCGGACAAUGCUGGGAAGAAGCACAAGCAAAAGGGCGACCCAUCGGGCAAAGCCGAAGUAGCUAUUGUCCCGGGGCAAAGCCAAAACAAGUCCAAGAAGAAGAAAAAAUAUUGGGUAGGCAAGAAGAAGGCCAAGUCCAAGAGCAACCUUUUGGAUCAGCCGUAUCCAAUUCAUGCUAGGAACGACAAAGAUGAGGAGACCAUCCCUGCCAAGCACACGACUCGAGAUUGCCGCUUCCUCCAGAAGGAGAUGAGCGGAGAACCCUCCGGGGACAAAGAGUAUGAGGAUGACCCAGAGGAUGCCUCCGGGUACCCGAAUAUCGAGGGGACCCUCAUGAUCUUUAAUAAUGUCGAGAGCAAGAGCCAAUUGAAAGUUAUCAACCGGGAAGUGAACAUGGCAGCCCCGGCUAUCAUGAAAUACCUCGACUGGGCGAAGACGCCCGUCACAUUUGACCAAUCGGAUCACCCGACCAACAUUGCCACCCCUGGGAGGUAGGCGUUGGUGCUUGAUCCAGCGGUCAAUGGGUACCGACUGUGGAAAGCCCCCAUGGACGGUGGCAGUGGCCUUAACAUCAUAUACAUCGACACUCCAAAGCUAUGGACAUUCCGUUGUCCCGGUUGAGCAAGAGUGACAUGCAAUUUCAUGGGGUCAUCCCCGGAAAGAAGACCGAAUCACUUGGGCAGAUCACCCUGAAUGUCGUAUUCGGCAGCGAGAAGAAUUACCGAAAGGAGAGGUGGACCUUUGAAGUGGUCGACUUUCAAAGUGCCUAUCACGCCAUCCUGGGUAGGCCCACUAACGCUCGUUUCAUGGCCUGUCCAUGUUACGUGUGUCUUAAGCUUAAGAUGCCAGGGACAAAAGACGUGAUCACGGUGACUGUCAAUCGAAAGGUCGUUGAAGAGUGCCUCCAGCAAGGUUCAAGGAUCGCCAACGAGCAGGUCCUCGCUGUCGAGAUCGAUGGGUACAAGAAGGAAGUGGAUACCGCAAACCUUCUCAAGUCAAAACGGCCGGCUACUGAGUCCUCCUUUCACUCGGCUGGUGAGAAGAACCAGGUCCACGUCCAUCCAACCGAUCCGAGUGUUUCCGCGACAAACAUCUCCACUUCACUCGGAGAAAAUAGGAAGCCCAACUCAUCAAGUUCCUCUGUGAGAACUAGGAUAUCUUCACAUGGAAGCCAUCUCACAUGCGGGGGUUCCCAGGGAACUAGCUGAGCACCGCCUCCGAGUGGAAUCAAAGGUCAAGCCCGUCAAGGAACACCUGCGCCGCUCCUCCAUGGAGAAGCAUAGGGCGAUUGGCGAGGAGACCGCUUGGCUCCUAGAUGUCGAGUUCAUCCACGAGGUUUACCACUCUGAGUGGUUGGCGAACGUGGUCAUGGUGCCAAAGAAGAACAGUUCACUACGAAUGUGUAUUGACUUCAAGCAUCUCAAUCGGCCUUCCCGAAGGACCACUUCCCUCUACCUCGCAUAGAUGAAAUCAUAGAUUCAACUACCGGAUUUGAACGAUUGUCGUUCCUGGAUGCGUACUCUCGGUACCACGAGAUCCGAAUGUAUGAAACUGAUGAAAUAAAAAAACCUUCAUGACCCCGUUCAGGUGUUUUUCCUACAUCACGAUGCCAUUCGGCCUCAAGAAUGCCGGAGCCACUUUCCAGUGCAUGAUCCAAAAGUGCUUACAAGAACUAUUCAGUCGGAACAUUGAAGAAUACAUGGACGACAUCGUGGUUAAGUCCAGGAAAGGUUUCGACCUUCUGGCCGACCUCGCCGAAACCUUUGCGAACCUUUGAUGCUUCGGGAUUAAGCUCAGUCCAGCCAAAUGCACCUUCUGUGUUGCGGCUAGAAAGCUACUCGGUUUCCUCGUUUCCGAACGAGGCAUCGAUGCCAAUCCCGACCAGAUCGGUGCCAUCGUCCAGAUGAGACGUCCAGAGCGCAUCCAUGACGUGCAAAGGCUUAUGGGUUGCCUUGCAGCCCUGAGCUGCUUCAUCUUGAGACUCGAUGAGAAGGCUGUGCCUCUUUACUGAUUGAUGAAGAAAUCCAACAUAUUCGAGUGGACCAACGAGGCACAGGUCGCAUUCGACCAACUCAAAUCUCUCCUUUCCACCCAACCGGUGUUAGCUGCUCCAAGCAGCCAGGAGCCCUUUCUCCUGUACAUUAUUGCCACUAGCCAACUGGUUAGCACCAUACUCAGUGUAGAGCUUGAGAAAGCGGGCAAUGCGUACAAGGUACAAAGGCCCAUUUACUACAUCUCUGAGGUACUAACCCCCUCAAAGCAAAGAUAUCCACACUACGAGAAGCUGGUUUAUGGGAUCUACCUGAUAGUAAAGGAGUUAGUCCACUAUUUCCAAGAUCACUCGGUCACUGUCAUCAGUGACGCCCCCUGGAGGAAAUCCUACACAAUCGGGACGCUACCGGCACAGUGGCCAAAUGGGUGAUUGAGCUCCUCCCGCUGGAGAUCAAAUUCAAAGCCAAGAAGGCGAUCAAGUCUCAUGCCUUGGUGGACUUCCUGGACGAAUGGAUAGAGCAAGAAGAACCGGCUCGUAGCAUCCCUGAGCAUUGGACCAUGCUCUCCGAUGGAUCCAAAAUGCUCCAUGGCUCGGGGGCUGGAGUGAUUAUCGUUUCCCCCAGGGGAGCCCGACUCAACUAUGUGCUCCAAAUCCACUUCGAUUCAUCCAACAACGAGGUCGAGUACGAGCCCUCUUGUAUGGGCUCCGCAUGGCUAUCUCACUUUGCAUUCGACAUUUGAUGGUCUAUGGCGACUUGGAUCUCGUUGUCAAUCAAGUAAUGAAGGAAUGGGACAUUCGAAGUCCAGCAAUGACAGUCUACUGCAACACAGUCAAGAAACAGGAGAAAAACUUCGAAGGGUUGGAACUACACCACGUGCACCGAGCCAAGAAUCAAGCGACCGAUGACUUGACAAAGAUCGGAUCCACUCGGAAGGUCAUUCCAAAGGGCGUGUUCCUCAAACAUUUACGCACUCCCUCGGUCAAGGAAGAUCCCUUCACAGAAGAGCCCCCACAAGCAAUCAGUCCAUCUAAUCCGAUUGAGAUCGACGUCCCGACGGUGGUCGACCUCGUCCAUAAGAUGUUGGUCAUCACACCCGAACAGACAUAGCCUUAUCUGGCUUACUUGCUCCGACAAGAGCUCCAUGAAGACAAAGAGGAAGCCCACCAAAUCGUUCGGCGGUCUAAAGCUUUCGAAGUACUCGGAGACAAGCUGUACAAGAAGAGUGUUACAGGAGUCAGUCAAAAGUGCAUUUCCCCACAGGAAGGACUACAGAUCUUGCACAAGAUCCACUCGGGAACCUAUGGACAUCAUGCGUCCCCUCGGACCAUGGUGGCCAAGGCCUUCCGAGCAGGUUUUUAUUGGCCUCGAGACAACGAGGGAGCAAAAUACUUGGUCGAUCUGUGCGUUGGAUGCGAGUUCUACAAGAAUCAGUCGCACAAGCCUGCAUCCAUGCUGAAAAUGAUUCCACUCACUUGGCCAUUCACCGUGUGGGGUAUUGACUUGGUCGGCCCUUUGUGCACCAGGACCAGUGGAUUUAGCCACCUGCUAGUUGUAGUGGAUAAGUUCACCACGUGGGUCGAAGCUAAACCCAACAAAAGCAUGGACGGGGCGACUACCGUCAGCUUCAUUCGACAGAUCAUCUUCAAAUUUGGAGUCCCUCACGACAUCAUCACCGACAAUGGAACCAACUUCGACUCGGAGGAAUUCCGCGAGUUCUGUCACUCCCAAGGCACUCGAGUUAAUUACGCCUCUGUGGCGCACCCGCAGUCGAAUGGGUAGGUAGAAUGGGUGAAUGGUAUGAUACUUCAGGGAUUGAAACCUCGACUGAUGAGAGAUCUCAAAUAUGCCUCACGAGCAUGGGUAGAAGAAUUACCAUCCGUCUUGUGGGAUAUGCGAAUGACUCUGAAUCGUUCAACCAAGUGUACUAUUUCUUCAUGGUGUAUGGGUCGGUAGCCAUUCUGCCAAGUGACUUACGUCACAACUCCCCCUGAGUGGAGCAGUACAACGAAGCUGAAGCCGAAGCAGCACACCAAGACAAUUUGGAUCUUCUGGAGAAAGAGAGAGAGAUGGACCUCAUUCGGUCCACAUUGUACCAGUAAGACCUAUGGCUCCACCAUGACAAUCAAGUCAUGGGCCGAGCAUUUCAAGAGGGCGACUUGGUCCUCCGACUGGACCAACAGAAACCCCACAAGCUGGCACCUCCGUGGCAAGGGCCAUNNNNNNNNNNNNNNNNNNNNNNNNNNNNNNNNNNNNNNNNNNNNNNNNNNNNNNNNNNNNNNNNNNNNNNNNNNNNNNNNNNNNNNNNNNNNNNNNNNNNUGUGAAGUUGAGUCUAUCACACCCGAUCAUCACGUGGUGUCUCAAAAUGACGAACUGUAGCAACGGUGCACAGUCGGGGAGAACACAAUUUCGUCUUGAAAUUUUAGUGAGAGAUCACCUCAUAAUGCUACCGUCAUUCUAAGCAAAAUAAGGUGCAUAAAAGGAUUAACAUCACAUGCAAUUCAUAAGUGACAUGAUAUGGCCAUCAUCACGUGCUUCUUGAUCUCCAUCACCAAAACACCGGCAUGAUCUUCUUGUCACCGGCGCCACACCAUGAUCUCCAUCAACGUGUUGCCAUCGGGGUUGUCGUGCUACUCAUGCUAUCACUACUAAAGCUACAUCCUAGCAAAAUAGUAAACGCAUCUGCAAGCACAAACGUUAGUAUAAAGACAACCCUAUGGCUCCUGCCGGUUGCCGUACCAUCGACGUGCAAGUCGAUAUUUCUAUUACAACAUGAUCAUCUCAUACAUCCAAUAUAUCACAUCACAUCAUUGGCCAUAUCACAUCACAAUCAUACCCUGCAAAAACAAGUUAGACGUCCUCUAAUUUUGUUGUUGCAUAUUUUACGUGGUGACCAAGGGUAUCUAGUAGGAUCGCAUCUUACUUACGCAAACACCACAACGGAGAUAUAUGAAUUGCUAUUUAACCUCAUCCAAGGACCUCCUCGGUCAAAUCCGAUUCAACUAAAGUUGGAGAAACCGUCACUUGCCAGUCAUCUUUGAGCAAAGGGGGUUACUCGUAACGAUGAAACCAGUCUCUCGUAAGCGUACGAGUAAUGUCGGUCCAAGCCGCUUCAAUCCAACAAUACCGCGGAAUCAAGAAAAGACUAAGGAGGGCAGCAAAACGCACAUCACCGCCCACAAAACCUUUUGUGUUCUACUCGAGAAGACAUCUACGCAUGAACCUAGCUCAUGAUGCCACUGUUGGGGAACGACGCAUGGGAAACAAAAAUUUCCUACGCGCACGAAGACCUAUCAUGGUGAUGUCCAUCUACGAGAGGGGAUGAGUGAUCUACGUACCCUUGUAGAUCGUACAGCAGAAGCAUUAGCGAACGCGGUUGAUGUAGUGGAACGUCCUCANNNNNNNNNNGUGAUUAUUUUGAGCUAUAAGACCAUGAAAUUGAAAAGCAUUUCGAAUAAACUCUGAAAAGGUUCCAAGUUGGCAUGGUAUCAUCAUUUCACCCACAUAGCAUGUGCGAGAAAGUUGAGAGGGUUACGACAAAAACUGGAUGCACUUUGUGUACAAAACGGACAAAUCUCUUUCGAAGUAUCAGGGUUUCAUACGGAAACUCGUCUGUUGCAAAGGGAUUUCAUUUUUUUGAACUUAUUUGUGUUGGGGAACGACGCAUGGGAAACAAAAAUUUCCUACGCGCACGAAGNNNNNNNNNNNNNNNNNNNNNNNNNNNNNNNNNNNNNNNNNNNNNNNNNNNNNNNNNNNNNNNNNNNNNNNNNNNNNNNNNNNNNNNNNNNNNNNNNNAAUCCCGCGAUCAGUCCCACGAUCUAGUACCGAACGGACGGCACCUCCGCGUUCAGCACACGUACAGCUCGACGAUGAUCUCGGCCUUCUUGAUCCAGCAAGAGAGACGAAGAGGUAGAUGAGUUCUCCGGCAGCGUCACGGCGCUCCGGAGGUUGGUGGUGAUCUAAUCUCAGCAGGGCUCCGCCCGAGCUCCGCAGAAACGCGAUCUAGAGGAAAAACCGUGGAGGUAUGUGGUCGGGCUGCCGUGAAAAAGUCGUCUCAAAUCAGCCCUAAAACCUCCGUAUAUAUAGGUGGGAGAGGGGGGGCCUUGCCUUGGGGCUCAAGGAGCCCCAAGGGGGUCGGCCGAGUCNNNNNNNNNNNNNNNNNNNNNNNNNNNNNNNNNNNNNNNNNNNNNNNNNNNNNNNNNNNNNNNNNNNNNNNNNNNNNNNNNNNNNNNNNNNNNNNNNNNNGGAUUAUAUGAAUCCUUGGCACUGAGGUUCAAACGAUAAGAUCUUCGUAGAAUAUGUUGGAUCCAAUAUGGGCAUCCAGGUCCCGCUAUUGGAUAUUGACCGAGGAGUCACUCGCGUCAUGUCUACAUAGUUCUCGAACCCGCAGGGUCUGCACACUUAAGGUNNNNNNNNNNNNNNNNNNNNNNNNNNNNNNNNNNNNNNNNNNNNNNNNNNNNNNNNNNNNNNNNNNNNNNNNNNNNNNNNNNNNNNNNNNNNNNNNNNNNNNNNNNNNNNNNNNNNNNNNNNNNNNNNNNNNNNNNNNNNNNNNNNNNNNNNNNNNNAUGUCACGAGGGUUUCCGGAAUGGUCCGGAAACGAAGAUUGAUAUAUAGGAUGACCUCAUUUGAUUACCGAAAGGUUUUCGGAGUUACCGGGAAUGUACCGGGAAUGACGAAUGGGUUCCGGGUGUUCACCGGAGGGGGGCAACCCACCCCGGGGAAGCCCAUAGGCCUUGGGGGUGGCGCACCAGCCCUUAGUGGGCUGGUGGGACAGCCCAAGAAGGCCCUAUGCGCCAUAGGAAGAAAAUCAAAGAGAAAAGAAAAAAAAGGAGGAGGUGGGAAAGGGAAGAAGGACUCCACCCACCAAACCAAGUUGGACUCGGUUUGGGGGGGGAGACCUUCCCCCCUUUGGCUCNNNNNNNNNNNNNNNNNNNNNNNNNNNNNNNNNNNNNNNNNNNNNNNNNNNNNNNNNNNNNNNNNNNNNNNNNNNNNNNNNNNNNNNNNNNNNNNNNNNNUAAAUGAAGUCAUAAAGGGCUGUAAAUUGAUGAUGUGGCUUUGAAUGGUGCAUUUUGAACACAGAAAAACUAUGGAGUUCAAAUAAGUUCAAAAAAAUAAAAUCCCUUUGUAACAGACGAGUUUCUGUAUGAAACCCUGAUACUUCGAAAGAGAUUGUCCGUUUUGUACACGAAGUGCAUCCAGUUUUUGCCGUAACCCUCUCAACUUUCUCGCACAUGCUAUGUGGGUGAAAUGAUGAUACGAUGCCAACUUGGAACCUUUCCAGAGUUCAUUUGAAAUGCUUUUCAAUUUCAUGGUCUUAUAGCUCAAAAUAAUCAGUAAAUGCAUGAAAAAUAACAAAUGAAGUCAGAAAGGGUUGUAAAUUGAUGAUGUGGCUUUGAAUGGUGCAUUUUGAACACAGAAAAACUAUGGAGUUCAAAUAAGUUCAAAAAAUGAAAUCCCUUGUAACAGACGAGUUUCCGUAUGAAACCCUCAUACUUCGAAAGAGAUUGUGUGUUUUGUACACGAAGUGCAUCCAGUUUUGCCGUAACCCUCUCAACUUUCUUGCACAUGCUAUGUGGGUGAAAUGAUGAUACCAUGCCAACUUGGAACCUUAUCGAAGUUCAUUUCAAAUGCUUUUCAAUUUCAUGGUCUUAUAACUCAUAAUAAUCAAUAAAUGCAUGAAAAGUAACAAAUGAAGUCAGAAAGGGUUGUAAAUUGAUGAUGUGGCUUUGAAUGGUGCAUUUUGAACACACAAAAACUAUGGAGUUCAAAUUGUUGGAAAUAUGCCCUAGAGGCAAUAAUAAAUUAGUUAUUAUUAUAUNNNNNNNNNNACCAAGGUUACCUGGCCAUAGGCAAGUGUUGUUACUUGAUAACAGGAUCACAUCAUUAGGAGAAUCAUGUGAUGGACUAGACCCAAACUAAUNNNNNNNNNNUUCUUUGUUCAUAAUAACCGUUUAUUAUCCAUGCUAUAAUUGUAUUGAUUGGAAACACAAUACUUGUGUGGAUACAUAGACAAAACACUGUCCCUAGUAAGCCUCUAGUUGACUAGCUCGUUGAUCAAAGAUGGUCAAGGUUUCCUGGCCAUAGACAAGUGUUGUCACUUGAUAACGGGAUCACAUCAUUAGGAGAAUCAUGUGAUGGACUAGACCCAAACUAAUNNNNNNNNNNUGCUAUAAUUGUAUUGAAUGAAGACUCAUUUACAUGUGUGGAUACAUAGACAAAACACCGUCCCUAGCAAGCCUCUAGUUGGCUAGCCAAUUGAUCAAAGGUAGUCAGUGUCUUCUGAUUAAGAACAAGAUGUUGUUGCUUGAUAACUGGAUCACGUCAUUAGGAGAAUCACGUGAUGGACUAGACCCAAACUAAUAGACGUAGCAUGUUGAUCGUGUCAUUUUGUUGCUACUGUUUUCUGCGUGUCAAGUAUUUGUUCCUAUGACCAUGAGAUCAUAUAACUCACUGACACCGGAGGAAUGCUUUGUGUGUAUCAAACGUCGCAACGUAACUGGGNNNNNNNNNNAGUGUGUCAAGUAUUUAUUCCUAUGACCAUGAGAUCAUAUAACUCACUAACACCGGAGGAAUGCUUUGUGUGUAUCAAACGUCGCAACGUAACUGGGUGACUAUAAAGAUUCUCUACAGGUAUCUCCGAAGGUGUUAGUUGAGUUAGUAUGGAUCAAGACUGGGAUUUGUCACUCCGUGUGACGGAGAGGUAUCUCGGGGCCCACUCCGUAAUACAACAUCACACACAAGCCUUGCAAGCAAUGUGACUUAGUGUAAGUUGCGGGAUCUUGUAUUACGAAACGAGUAAAGAGACUUGCCGAUAAACGAGAUUGAAAUAGGUAUGCGGAUACUGACGCUCGAAUCUCGGGCAAGUAACAUACCGAAGGACAAAGGGAAUGACAUACAGGAUUAUAUGAAUCCUUGGCACUGAGGUUCAAACGAUAAGAUCUUCGUNNNNNNNNNNAGUAAAGAGACUUGCCGAUAAACGAGAGUGAAAUAGGUAUGCGGAUACUGACGAUCGAAUCUCGGGCAAGUAACAUACCGAAGGACAAAGGGAAUGACAUACGGGAUUAUAUGAAUCCUUGGCACUGAGGUUCAAACGAUAAGAUCUUCGUAGAAUAUGUAGGAUCCAAUAUGGGCAUCCAGGUCCCACUAUUUGAUAUUGACCGAGGAGUCUCUCGGGUCAUGUCUACAUAGUUCUCGAACCCGCAGGGUCUGCACACUUAAGGUUCGACGUUGUUUUAUGCGUAUUUGAGUUAUAUGGUUGGUUACCGAAUGUUGUUCGGAGUCCCGGAUGAGAUCACGGGCGUCACGAGGGUUUCUGGAAUGGUCCGGAAACGAAGAUUGAUAUAUACGAUGACCUCAUUUGAUUACCGGAAGGUUUUCGGAGUUACCGGGAAUGUACCGGGAAUGACGAAUGGGUUCNNNNNNNNNNAGUUCACCGGGGGGGCAACCCACCCCGGGGAAGCCCAUAGGCCAUAAGGGUGGCGCAUCAGCCCUUAGUGGGCUGGUGGGACAGCCCAAAAGGGCCCUAUGCGCCAUACAAAGAAAAAUCAAGGAGAAAGAAAAAAAAAAGGGAGGUGGGAAGGAAGGGAAGGACUCCCACCCACCAAACCAAGUCCAACUCGGUUUGGGGGGGAGCCUUCCCCCCUUGGACUCGGCCGACCCCCUUGGGGCUCCUUGAGCCCCAAGGCAAGGUCCCCUCCCUCCCACCUAUAUAUACGGAGGUUUUGGGGCUGAUUUGAGACGACUUUUCCACGGCAGCCCGACCACAUACCUCCACGGUUUUUCCUCUAGAUCGCGUUUCUGCGGAGCUCGGGCGGAGCCCUGCUGGGACAAGGUCAUCACCAACCUCCGGAGUGCCGUCACGCUGCCGGAGAACUCUUCUACCUCUCCGUCUCUCUUGUUGGAUCAAGAAGGCCGAGAUCAUCGUCGAGUUGUACGUGUGCUGAACGCGGAGGUGCCGUCCGUUCGGUACUAGAUCGUNNNNNNNNNNNNNNNNNNNNNNNNNNNNNNNNNNNNNNNNNNNNNNNNNNNNNNNNNNNNNNNNNNNNNNNNNNNNNNNNNNNNNNNNNNNNNNNNNNNNGGUCUGCUACAUUCAGAUCCGUGUGCACUUUACAAAUCUUUAUGUCAUCUUAUAGAUGCUGCUACUACGUGCUAUUCGGAAAUGCUCCAAAUAUCCACUCUACUAUAUGAAUCCGUUUCACUACUCAUAGUUAUUCAGAUUAGUGUCAAAGCUUGCAUCGACGUAACCCUUUACGACGAACUCUUUAACCACCUCCAUAAUCGAGAAAAAUUCCUUAGUCCAUUUGUUACUAAGGAUAAAUUUUGACCGCUGCUAGUGAUUCAAUCAUGGAUCACUCUCUGUACCCUCAACAGACUUUGAGUCAAGGUACACAUCAGGUGCGGUACACAGCAUGGCAUACUUUAGAUUCUACGGCUAAGGCAUAGAAGACGACCUUCGUCUAUUCUCUUUAUUCUGCCGUGGUCGGGUUUUGAGUCUUACUCAAAUUCACACCUCACAACGCAACCAAGAACUCCUUCUUUGCUGGUCUAUUUUGAACUCUUUCAAAAAACUUGUCAAGGCAUGCAUCUUGUUGAAACUUCUAUUAAGCGCUUUCGAUCUAUCUCCAUAGAUCUUUGAUGCUCAACGUUCANNNNNNNNNNNNNNNNNNNNNNNNNNNNNNNNNNNNNNNNNNNNNNNNNNNNNNNNNNNNNNNNNNNNNNNNNNNNNNNNNNNNNNNNNNNNNNNNNNNNCGAAUAGAUUACUCACGAACGAUGAAGAGCUUCAUGGAAUUGGAGAGGGAAGAAAGUUGAUGAUGACGAUGGCAACGAUCUCCUUGAUCCGGAGCCCAAAACGGACUCCAGAUCUGCCAUCCAGGGUAAGAACGGGAUGUGGCGGCGCCUGUGGAUCGAAAACGCGAUGAAAUCUUCUCUCUUGAUUUUUUUCCGGGACGAAAGGGAAUAAAUAGCGCUGGAAUUGGGGGCGGCAGAGCCACGUGGGCCCCACAAGCUUAGUAGCCGCGGCUAGGAGGGGAGGCCGCGGCUAUAGGUCUUGUGGCACACUGGCCCGUCCCCUCGAGUGGAUCUUUGCGCAGGUAUUUUUCAUAUUUUCCAUAAAUAUUCUCCGUAAAUUUUCAGGACGUUCCGAGAACUUUCAUUUCUGCACAAAAAUAACACCAUGGCAAUUCUGCUGAAAACAGCGUCAGUCCGGGUUAGUUCCAUUCAAAUCAUGCAAAUUAGAGUCCAAAACAAGGGCAAAAGAGUUUGGAAAAGUAGAUACGAUGGAGACGUAUCACCAGAAAAAACCCACAACUCGAAGAGAAUUACAAAGAUAUGAAAUCAUGCAUAAGAGAGAUCAGAAGAAACUCAAAUAAGAUUCAUAGAUAAUCUGAUCAUAAAUCCACAAUUCAUCGGAUCUCGACAAACACACCGCAAAAGAAGAUUACAUCAGAUAGAUCUCCAUGAAGAUCAUGGAGAACUUUGUAUUGAAGAUCCAAGAGAGAGAAGAAGCCAUCUAAUUACUAGCUAUGGACCCGUAGGUCUAUGGUGAACUACUCACGCAUCAUCGGAGAGGUCAUGGUGUUGAUGAAGAAGCCCUCCGUGUCCAAAUCCCCCCUCCGGCAGGGCACCAGAACGUGCCCCAGAUGGGAUCUUGCGGAGACAGAAGCUUGCGGUGGCGGAAAAGUACUUUCGAUGAUCUCCUGAUUAUUUUGAGAUUUUUAGGGAAUAUAUAGGCGCAACCCCUAGGUCAGGGGACGCUCAGGGGGCCCACAAGCCUGGAUGGCGCGGCCUCCCCCCUCGUCGCGGGGUGAGGGCUUGUGGGGCCCCUAGGGUUCCGCUGCCUUGGCUCGCAAACUCCCCGAUCUUCUUCCGUUCCAGAGAAAAUCUUUCCGGGGAUUUUCUUCCGUUUGGACUCCGUUUCAAAAUCUCCUCUGAAAGGGGUCAAAAACAUGGAAAAAACAGGAACUGACACUUGGCACUGAGUUAAUAAGUUAGUCCCAAAAAAUAAAUAAAAGGCAUGCAAAACAUCCAAAGUUUGACAAGAUAAUAGCAUGAAACCACCAAAAAUUAUAGAUACGUUGGAGACGUAUCAGCGUGUACGAAUUUUUUUGUUUCCCAUGUGACGUUCCCCAACAGCGCGCUGAGCGCACCCACUAGGUAUAGUCCCCGAGGCUGUCAUCGACUGAAGCAGUCGGCGGUAGUCUCAGUUUCCUUGUUUGUUCAAUAAAGGCUCGUAGGGUGUGGACCCCUUUUCUUUCCUCUAUCCCUCCUGUGGGGGGCGCUGAGCGCACCCACUUGGUGUAGUCCCCGAGGCUAUCGUCGACCGAAACAGUCGGUAGUAGUCUUACAGUUGCGAUAUUGUAUUUUGCUUUACUUGUGUUUGUUGAUGGCAGACUGCUUUUGUGCCCGGGGGCCAUGAUGAUGCCAUGGAGAAAGAGUUUCAGGGACUCCGACUCAGCCUUGACGCAGAAAAAGCCAAGAACAAGCGAGUGGAGAAGGAGAAACGGACAACUGAAGGUAAGCUUUUGUUGUCCAAUUGAUUCCCGCUUUGGUUGUCUUUCCUAUCCGAUUGAGUUUGUCUUGUGAGGUCGCCUUUCUGAGAGGCUGAAGAAUUACAUUUCUCUAGUUACCAUGGAGGACGCUCUCGAGAAGAGGGAUGAAGAGCUCGCGCUGGCUUGGAAGGAGGACAAGUUGAAGACCCAGGCGGUCGAAGCCAAGCUUAAAACGGUUGGAAUGCUUGAAGAAGAUAAUCGGCUUCUAAAGGCCGGUGCGAAGAAAACUGAUGCAGAGCUUGCCGAGCUGAAGAGGCAUUAUGCCGAGUGGGAGGCCAAAUUUGAGAAAGUCACCGCCAAGAAAGAUGAGCUGGAGAAGGUCAUUGAGGACUUCAGCGUGGAACACUACGAGAAGCUUAAAGGUAUGUUAAGUGUCGGAAUGCUUUCCUAUUGCCACUUUGCAAUUUCCGAGUGACGUUCUCUCAUCCUUUUGUUUUCUCACUAAAUUCAGCCUUCUCCGCUGAUGUCGAAGAAGAGACGAUGCGAAUAGAGAAAGAGCUUGAUCCCAAGAGAUGGCUUCUGAAGGAUAGCGCUGCAUUGGCUCUCCUCAGGCUGGAGGCUUGCGUCGAUUAUGUAUUGGGAUGUUUCAAAUGGCUCCAGCUGGCCGUUGGGGAUAUAGAACAGGAGAAAACCCUUGAUGAUGUAUCCCUGAAGGACACCUAGACCAUCGUGAACCGUGUGAAGGCCAUCCCCAAUGAACUCAAGUCUUGGAAGAAGUCAUCGUCAAGGGCCGGAGCCGACAUCGCCCUUUCGCUCGUUUGCAUCCAUUGUAAAGGGGUGGAUGAAGAGAAGUUGAAGAGUCUCCGGGUUGUUAACCGGAAAAGAGCCAGGUUCGAAGACUUCAUGGAGAUGUUUAUGGCAUCCGCCACUCGGAUUGCGAAAGGAAUCGAUCUUCACACCUUCAUGGAAGCAGCGGGAUCUACGGCUCGGAGUGAUGCUCGGAGGAAAAACAUUUAAGUUUCAAUUCUCCUCGGGAUGCCGAGUGGUUUUAUGUAACCCCAAACUUUGAGUGGGCCUUGGGCUCUCUCUUAUGUGCACUUUUUGCUGAACUUCAUUCCAUUUACCCAUAUUCGAGUUUUGAUCUUAUUUGCUUUAUCGUCCUUAUUUGGGGUCACUUUUACUCGACCGAAAGCCGGUUCGCAUCCGAGUCCCCGAGUGUGGAAGUUAUCCUCACUCGAGAUCGUUUUUGACUUAGGCGAAAGCUGGUUCACAGUUAAGCCCCCGAGUGUGGAAGUUGUCCUCACUCGGGAUUGUUUUUUGACUUAGGUGAAAGUUGGUUCGCAGCUAAGCCUCUGAGUGUGGAAGUUGUCCUCACUCGGGAUCAUUUUGGACUUAGGCGAAAGCUGGUUCGCAGCUAAGCCCCCGAGUGUGGAAAUUGUUCUCACCCGGGACCGUUUCUUGACUUAGGCGAAAGCCGGUUCACAGCUAAGCCCCCCGAGUGUGGAAGUUGUCCUCACUCAGGAUCAUUUUUGACUUAGGGAAAGCUGGUUCGCAGCUAAGCCCCCGAGUGUCGAAGUUGUCCUCACUCGGGAUCAUUUUUGACUUAGGCGAAAGCUGGUUCAUAGCUAAGCCCCCGAGUGUGGAAGUUGUCUUCACUCGGGAUCAUUUUUGACUUAGGCGAAAGCUGGUUCAUAGCUAAGCCCCCGAGUGUGGAAGUUGUCUUCACUCGGGAUCGUUUUGGACUUAGGCAAAAGGUGGUUCGCAGCUAAACCCCCGAGUGUGGAAGUUGUCCUCACUCGGUUGACUUAGGCGAAAGGUGGUUCAUAGCUAAGCCCCCCGAGUGUAGAACUUGUCCUCAAACGGGAUCGUUCUUGACUUAGGCGAAAGCUGGUUCAUAGCUAAGCCCCCGAGUGUGGAAGUUGUCCUCACUCGGGAUUGUUUUUGACUGAGGAGAAAGCUGGUUCGCAACUAAGCCCGCGAGUGUGGACGUUUUGCUCACUCAGGAUCAUUUUUGACUUAGGCGAAAGCUGGUUUGUAGCUAAGCCCCCAAGUGUGGAAGUUGUCCUCACUCGAGGCAAGUUUUACCCUAAGCGAAAGCGGAUCCUCUGCUAAGGGACGAUUGUUCUAUUCAUCUUGGCGUCCGAAUGAAGGUCUUGUCUUCAUUCGGAACCGAUUUAACUUAGGCGAAAGCUAGUUCGCAGCUAAGCCCCCGAGCAUGGAGCUUGUCCCCACUCGGGGAAGGAUUUACCUUAGGCGAAACAGGUUUGCUACCAAGAAAUGAUUGUUGUGUUCAUCUUGGCGUUCGAAUGAAGAUCUUGCCUUCAUUUGGAACCACUUUAACUUAGGCGAAAGCUGGUUCGCAGCUAAGCCCCCGAGUGUGGAGUUUGUCCCCACUCGGGAAGGGUUUACCUUAGGAGAAACAGGUUCGCUACAAAGAUUAAACGAUAGUUCUUGUGAACAUGUUGAUGGUCCUUCCCAUGUCGAUAUCUAAAUGACGAUCAUGUCUCCAUUCUGAACUGUUUUAACUUAGCCGAAAGCUGGUUCGCAACUAAGCUCACGCGCGUGGAGGUUGUCCGCACUCGGGGAAGGUUUCAUCUUAAGCGAAAGCAGAUUCGCUCAUACACCCACUGGCGGCGUGUUUCACCGAAGUGAAGUAUUUGUGAAUAGUUGAAGAAAGUAAGCCCUUUAUUCUUCUAAUCAUUAGUAUUCAUUGGAGGGAUGAAAAGGGUAAGUUCUACGUGUAGAACUUGCGGAGCAGGUCCGCGUUCCAGGUCCUCGGCUCUUCCACCUCGUCAUCUAGGUUGUACAACCGAUAAGCUCCGUUGUGCAGGACUUUGGAGAUGGUGUAUGUGUUGGAAAUAUGCCCUAGAGGCAAUAACAAAAUGGUUAUUAUCAUAUUUCCUUGUUCAUGAUAAUCGUCUAUUGUUCAUGCUAUAAUUGUAUUAACUGGAAACAGUAAUACAUGUGUGAAUAAAUAGAUCACAAUGUGUCCCUAGCAAGCCUCUAGUUGGCUAGCUCGUUAGUCAAUAGAUGAUCAUGGUUUCCUGGUCAUGGGCAUUAGAUGUCAUUGAUAACGGGAUCACAUCAUUGGGAGAAUGAUGUGAUGGACAAGACCCAAUCCUAAGCGUAGCACUAGAUCGUAUUGUUCGUAUGCUAAAGCUUUUCUAAUGUCAAGUGUGUUUUCCUUCGACCGUGAGAUUGUGCAACUCCCGGAUACCAUAGGAGUGCUUUCGGUGUAUCAAACGUCACAACGUAACUGGGUGACUAUAAAGGUGCACUACAGGUAUCUCUGAAAGUGUCUGUUGGGUUGGUACGAAUCAAGAUCGGGAUUUGUCACUCCGCGUGACGGAGAGGUAUCUCUGGCCCACUCGGUAGAACAUCAUCAUCAGCUCAAUGUGACUAAGGAGUUAGUCACACGAUGACGUGCUACGGAACGAGUAAAGAGACUUACCGGUAACGAGAUUGAACAAGGUAUAGGUAUACCGACGAUCGAAUCUCGGGCAAGUUCUAUACUAACAGNNNNNNNNNNNNNNNNNNNNNNNNNNNNNNNNNNNNNNNNNNNNNNNNNNNNNNNNNNNNNNNNNNNNNNNNNNNNNNNNNNNNNNNNNNNNNNNNNNNNUAAAGGUGCACUACGGGUACCUCUGAAAGUGUCUGUUGGGUUGGUACAAAUCGAGAUCGGGAUUUGUCACUCCGCGUGACGGAGAGGUAUCUCUGGGCCCACUCGGUAGAACAUCAUCAUGAGCUCAAUGUGACUAAGGAGUUAGUCACACGAUGAUGUGCUACGAAACGAGUAAAGAGACUUACCGGUAACGAGAUUGAACAAGGUAUAGGUAUACCGACGAUCGAAUCUCGGGCAAGUUCUAUACUAACAGACAAAGGGAAUUGUAUACGGGAUUGAUUGAAUCCUUGACAUCAUAGUUCAUCUGAUGAGAUCAUCGUGGAGCAAGUAGGAGCCACCAUGGGUAUCCAGACCCCGCUGAUGGUUAUUGGCCAGAGAGGUGUCUCGGCCAUGUCUGCCUGUCUCCCGAACCCGUAGGGUCUACACACUUAAGGUUCGAUGACGCUACACUAGUGGGGACGGGGCCUUUAGCCCCGGCCCGUAAGGGGCUUUAGUCCCGGUUCACCAACCGGGACUAAAGGGGCGGGACUAAAGGCCUAACCUUUAGUCCCGGCCCUGUUACAAGCCGAGACUAAAGGUGCUCCACGUGGGCGCCUCGUAGCGCCCCAGGGGCAGGCCCUUUAGUCCCGGUUCGUUACGCGGACUGGGACUAAAGAGUUUCAGGGUUUAGGGUUUUUUUGAAUGAAAUUAUUUUAGGGUUUUAGGGUUUCAGAUGCCUCGUUUGGUGUUCGGGAAUUAGUUUUCAUAUAAUUUAAAUAGAAAUAAUUAUGCAUAUAUAUAUAAGAUUAACUUAUCUUACAAGCGAGCAUAUAUAUACAAUUAUAUGGAGAUCUGAAUUAUCGGGACUAGAGCCCGUCUAUUCGAUUACAUGGACGAACAUCAGUAAUGGCCCCUAGCUACACUAAAUCGUCCUUUGUCAUCUAUAGCUUCCGUCCUCAGAAAGGUCGCAAGCUCCUCUGCAACAGCAAUCACGCGUUGCUCUGGUAGGACCUUCGUCCUCAUGGUCGUGUACUAUAUAAGAAGAGGAGAUGAAUAUGAAUAUCAAUCAUGAUAACAAAGAAUGACAGGUAAAAAUAGAGGUGUGAAUGUUCAUUGCUUAUGUCGAAUCUGUGAUCCUUGUGCUCAGAGGUAAACGUGCGAAUGGUCUCGCAAACAUAUUACAAGUGAUUGUCGAACUUCAUAUGUAUACCUCGCCGGACUUUAUUAUUUCUUCACCGGCUCCUCCAUCAGUGGAGCUAUCACCUUCUCCAUCAUUGGACCUAUCUCCUGCCCCAUCGGCUUCAUCUUCGUGUCGCUCGACCUCCAUUCCAUAUCCGAAGGGGUUUAGAUAUGACGACGGAGAUUCAGCCGGUUCAACGUCGGGGCCGUCUUUGAUUAUAUCUUCGAGAAGUUCUUCCUCUUCGAGGUUCCUGAUAUGUGGAUCCCUAGUUCUGCAAAAAACGGACAUUUGAUUAACUAAUAAACUAACAAACUAUAUAAGAGGGGUUGGAAACUUCGAAGUGUCGUUUUAUAUAGGAGGACCUUUAGUCCCGGGUCUUGGCUAGAACCUAAACUUCGAAGUUCUAUUAAUUUUCUUGCUAAAAAUAAACUAUUAACACUUAAGCAUAUACAAUAGCAAAAUUAAACUAUUAACACUUCAGCAUAUACAAUAGCAAAAUUAAGCAAUAAUCUAAGAAACACUAUUAACACUUAAGCAUAUACACUAUACAAUAGCAAAAUUAAAUGACAAAAAAUAUAUUUCUUCUUCUUGUAACCCUAAACUAAUUUUUCCUCUUCUUCUAUUUCUCCUCUUCUUCUAUUUCUUAUUCUACUUCUACUUCUCCUCUUCUUCUACUACUUCUCCUCUUCUCUUCUUCUACUUCUCCUCUCCUCCUCUUCUAAUUUUUUCUCUUCUUCUACUUCUCCUCUUCUUCUAUUUUUCCUCUUCUUCUCCUCUCCUCCUCUUCUUAUUCUCCUUUUUCUUCUUUUCUUCUCCUCCUCUUUUUAUUUUCCUUUUUCCUAAUUCUACAUAUUACUAACCCUAAUAAUCUAGCACAAACCUAAUAACAAUAGGAAUUAAAUGACAAAAAAAAUAUUUUUCUUCUUUUCUUCCCUUUUUCUCCCUUUCUUCUCCUUUUUCUUCCUUUCUUCUCCUUUUUCUUCCUUUCUUCCCUUUUUAUUAUUUUCUUCUCCUUUUUCUUAUUUUCUUCUCCUUCCCUUUUUCUUCCUUUCUUCUCCUUUUUCUUCCUUUCUUCUCCUUUUUCUUCUUUUCUUCUCCUUUUUCUUCCUUUCUUCUCCUUUUUCUUCCUUUCUUCUCCUUUUUCUUCUUUUCUUCUCCUUUUUCUUCGUUUAUUCUACUGGCCGGAGUGUUGGGGAGGAGGGGGCGGGGGGCUUACCGGCCGGAGGUGUCGACGGCGCGCGGCGAGGAGGACGGCGGCGCGUGGCGAGGAGGACGGCGGCGGCGAGGAGGACGACGGCGACGACAAGGAGGACGGCGGGCAGCCUCACAGCGUCGUCGAGUUCGUCGUUGUGCCCCGCCGGGCAGGAGAACGAUGAAGAAGGAGAGAAGGAAAUGCGAUUUGGGUUGGAAAUUUUCUAACUCCCGCUUAUAUAGGUGGAUCUUUAGUCCCGGUUCGGGGCUCGAUCCGGGACUAAAGACCCCCUUUAGUCCCGGGUGGAGCCACGACCCGGGACUAAAGGCCCUUUUUCGGCAGACCAGAAGGCGGGAAGCAGGGGCCUUUAGUCCCGGUUUGUGGCAAGAACCGGGACUAAAGGUUAGGCUAUUAGUCCCGGUUUUAGACAAAAGCCGGGACUAAAGUGUUGCCUAUAUAAACCCUCGCCCCUGCCCACCAUCUCCCCUGUUUUUUGGUUGUUGAAGUGUGACCAUGUCAUGCUCUUGCCACUCUAGUUCAUGCACAUGACGUGUUCGAUGAAAUGCCCGAGCCACUCUACUUAAGCUUUCUCCUCUCCAAGCUCGACCUCCAAACUCCAUUUUCCUUAAUAUUUGUCUAGGUUUGGCCGUGCACCAACUGCACAAGUGUUUUAAAAGGUUAGCUACUUCAUCCUUUCAUUUGUCACUGCUAGUGUAGCUCAUUUGAAAUGCUCAAAUUAACUUCUUAGAGUCUGCACAUGCGUAGGGUGUCGUCCCGUGCCCGUCCUCACCAUUGUCGAUCGUCCCGCGACGAUCUCGUCGCGAGCACCACCGUGGUGAGCCUCUUGUUCUUAUCUUCUUUUUAAAACAAAAAAAAUCUUACUUGUAUGAUUUAGAUACAUGCUUGUAUAAAUUACUCACUUUCAUUAUUUUUUGUUAUUAUAUAGUGCGAUGGUUUUGGUAUCCGCCUCCGUCGGCCUUCGUCCUGUCUAUGAUUCGGAUGUGGUAUAUAUUAUCUUUUAUAACUAUUUUUUUAUUUAGUGUUUAUGACAAUUAUGACGCCAACGUGACAUAUAUUUUUUAAUCUAGGAGGUAUGUGAACCGGAAAUUCCAACCCACAUAGAAAUUCUUGUCGAGAAGUUAAAUUUGGUUGAAAAAGAAAACAAAUACUUGAAGAAAAAAUUGAAAAUAAUUGAGGAUAAGAAUAUGGAACUGGAGUUGCAUGUCGCUGAUGUCAUCGAUGAUCGCAAGAUGAAGAUCGAUGCGAUGCGGUUGAAGAUGAAUGCAAUGCGCUUGAAGAUGGAUGAAAUGCGCUUGAAGAUUAGGAAUAUUAGAAAAUAUGCCAUUGAUAAAGAGGCUUGGUAUCAUUAUGCUGUUGGGUCAAUUGUUACCUUAGUUGCGAUUUUGAUCGCAUUUUUUGUUUUAUUUAAAUGUUUUACAUAGUUGUAUGUUGUUUUAUGAGAGAACUUUAUGUAUUUAUUUUUUGCAAUAAUAACAUUUGAUCACUACUGUUCUUUGGCUUUAAUGUGAUGAUGAACUUGUAUUAAUUUGGUCAUAUGUUCUCCAAUGGUUUUUUGAUAUAUUUAAUUUCAUAAUAGAGAUGAAUCGCCAAUGACAAUAUUUAAUUUCAUAAUAUGGUUUUUUGAACUUAUUUGAACUCCAUACUUUUUGUGUGUUCAAAAUGCACCAUUCAAAGGCACAUCACAAAAUUUCAACAAUUUCUGACUUCAUUUGGUAUAUUUCGUGCAUUUACUUUUUUUUUUAAAGUUGAGAGGGCUACGACAAAAAUUGGAUGCACUUCGUGUACAAAACGGACAAUCUCUCUCGAAGUAUCAGGGUUUCGAACGAGAACUCAGCUCUUACAAAGAUUUAUUAAAAUUAUUUUUGCGUAUCUGAGAAUUUGACAAAACUAUGAAAAUGAAAAGUGUUUGAAAUUUAGUACAUUCCAUACAUGCAUUAGAUAAAAGGUUUAAUACAUUAUUACAUUAUUGCACCAAUAUUCCUAUCUAUUAUUUCUGUUUUCUUCUAGGUCGUAGCCAUGGAGAAUCUUCAUCAUUCAGUAGGAUGCUUGGGUCAGUUUUCACUUUGAAGGGCGGAAUUUCAUGAAACUUAUUAUAAUCUUCUGACAUGUUUGUCUUGUCAUCUACUCCCACGAUGUUUCUUUUCCCUGAAAGAACUAUGUGGCGUUUUGGCUCAUCGGACGAUAUCUUCUUUUGCUGAUUUCUUUUUCUCGUUUUUGUAGACAUGUCCUUCACAUAGAAAACCUGAGCGACAUCAUUGGCUAGGACAAAUGGUUCGUCCAUGUACGCAAGAUUGUUGAGAUCCACUGUUGUCAUGCCAUACUUUUGGUCUACAACUACCCCGCCUCCUGUCAGCUCCACCCAUUUGCACCGAAACAAAGGGAUCUUAAAAGUAGGUCCAUAGUCAAGUUCCCAUAUCUCCUCUAUGUACCCGUAAUAUGUUUCCAAACAGUGCCCAUUCUCGUCUGUUGCAUCAAAGUGGACACCACUAUUUUGGUUGGUGCUCUUUUUAUCUUGGGCAACCGUGUAAAAUGUAUUCCCAUUUAUCUCGUAUCCUUGGAAAGUACAUAUAGUCGAAGAUGGUGGCCUGGCCAAACAGUACAGCUCAUCUCCAACGGUGUCAUCAUUCAUGAAAUGUGUCUGCAACCAACUGCCGAAAGUCUUCUCGUGUUCCACUUUAAUCCAAGAGUCAGCCUUCCCCGGGUUUUCGGAGCGUAGAAUAUUCUUGUGUCUCACGAUAUACGGAGCCACCACGGUGGAAUUGUGUAGAACUGUGUAGUGUGCUUGAGAGAAAGAAUGCCCGUCCAUACAUACUUUUGCUUUCCUUCCUAGUGUGCCUUUUCCUGUCAGCCUACCCUCAUACCGAGAUUCAGGAACACCAAUCGGCUUAAGGUCAGGAAGAAAGUCCACACAAAACUCAAUGACCUCCUCUGUUCCAUAGCCCUUGGAGAUGCUUCCUUCUGGCCUAGCACGGUUACGAACAUAUUUCUUUAAGACUCCCAUGAACCUCUCGAAGGGGAACAUAUUGUGUAGAAACACAGGACCGAGAAUUCUAAUCUCUUCGACUAGGUGAACUAGGAGGUGUGUCAUUAUAUUGAAGAAGGAUGGCGGGAACAACAACUCAAAGAUGACCAGACAUUGGACCACAUCAGUCUGUAACCCUGGUAGACUUUCUCGAUCGAUUACCUUCUGAGAAAUUGCAUUGAGGAAUGCACAUACCUUCACAAUUGCCAGGCGAACAUUUUCCGGUAGAAUUCCCCUCAAUGCAACCAGAAGCAAUUGCGUCAUAAGCACGUGGCAGUCAUGAGACUUUAGGUUUUGGAAUUUUUUGUCUUUCAUAUUUACGAUUCCCUUUAUAUUCCACGAGAAGCCAUCCGGGACCUUGAUACUGAAAAGGACUUCAAAGAAGAUUUCCUUCUCUUCCUUAGUAAGAGCGUAGCUGGCACGCCCUUGAAACUGUCCUGGAUGCAUGCCAUCUCUUCCUUUAUGACGUUCCUGGUCCUCCCGUGCUUCCGGUGUAUCUUUUGACUUCCCAUACAAGCCCAGGAAGCCUAGAAUUUUCACGCAGAGAUUCUUCGUCAGGUGCAUCACGUCGAUUGCCGAGCGGACCUCAUGGACUUCCCAGUAGGGUAGCUCCCAAAAUAUAGAUUUCUUCUUCCACAUGGGUACGCGCUUAUCGGGGCCGUUAGGAACAGGUUGGCUGCCAGGCCCUUUCCAAAGAUUACUUUUAAAUCUUUGACCAUAUCAAAUACUUCAGCACCAGUACGGAUGACAGGCUUCCCCCGGGGUUCUGCCUUGCCAUUGAAAUGCUUGCCUUUUUUCUUUAAGGGAUGCUUGGGCGGAAGAAAACGACGAUUGUAUGGGUACACAUUCUUCCUACAUUUGUCCAGAUAUAUACUUUCUGUCUGAUCCAAACAGUGCGUGCAUGCAUUGUAUCCCUUGUUUGACUGUCCUGAAAUGUUACUAAGAGCAGGCCAAUCAUUGAUGGUUACGAAAAGAAACGCUUGAAGGUCAAAUUCCUCUUGUUUGUGCUCGUCCCACACACGUACACCUGGUUCGGCCCACAGCUGUAAAAGUUCAUCAACUAAUGGCCUUAGGUACACAUCAAUAUCGUUGCCGGGUUGCUUUGGACCUUGGAUAAGCACUGGCAUCAUAAUGAACUUCCGCUUCAUGCACAACCAAGGAGGAAGGUUUUAGAUACAUAGAGUAACGGGCCAGGUGAUGUGACUGCAACUCUGCACCCCAAAAGGAUUCAUGUCAUCUGUACUCAAACCUAACCAUAAGUUCCUUGCGUCAGCUGCAAAUCUCGGGAACUCUCUCUCGAUUUUUCUCCACUGCCGACCAUCAGCGGUGUGCCUCAACUUAUCGUCUUUCAUACGAUCUUCCAUGUGCCAUCGCAACAACUUCGCAUGAUCUUUAUUUCUGAACAGACGUUUCAACCAUGGUAUUAUAGGAGCAUACCACAUCACCUUGGGAGGAACCCUCUUCCUGGGUGGCUCGCCCUCAAUAUCACCAGGGUCAUCUUUUCUGAUCUUAUACCGCAAUGCAGUGCAUACCGGGCAUUUAUCCAUAUUCUCGUACUUCUCACCGCGGUAGAGGAUGCAGUCAUUAGGGCAUGCAUGUAUCUUCUGCACGUCUAAUCCUAGAGGGCAGACAAGCUUCUUUGCUUCGUACGUGCUAGCGGGCAAUUCGUUCUUUCUUGGAAGCAUCUUCUUCAUCAGUACCAGCAACUUUUCGAAUGACGAGUCAGUCACACCGGUCUCUGCCUUCCACUUCAGCAAUUCCAGUGUGCUACCCAGCUUCUUCUGGCCAUCUUCAAAAUUUGGGUACAACAAUUUGUUGUGGUCCUGUAACAUCUGCUCGAACUGCAACCUCUCCUUUUCUCUGUCGCAACCUCGCCGUGCAUCAGAAAUGACCCGGCCAAGAUCAUCAGCGGGCUCAUCUGGUUCCCGUUCUUCAUCCUGAUCUUCUUCUUCAUUGUCUUCCAUUGCGGUAUCAGCAUACUCAGGGAACAUAGAUCGGUAGUUGUCAUCAUCGUUCUCUUCUUCUUCAUCGUCGUCUUCCAUCAUAACCCCUCUUUCUCCGUGCUUGGUCCAAACAUUAUAGCCCGACAUAAAACCGGACCGAAGCAGGUGGCUCUGAAUGACUCUUGAGGAAGUGUAAUCCUUCUCAUUCCGACAUUCAACACAUGGACAAAACAUAUAGCCACCACCAUGCUUGUUCGCAUCGUCUGCAUCUCGAAAGAAUGCAUGCCUUCUCUGUAAGCGGUUGUGCGUCGAUCACCGUACAUCCAUGGAUGGCUCAUCUGUGUUAUACGACAGUAUAUCAAAUACAAUCACGAUCCUAAAAAUUAGUACCGCACGGUCUAAACGAGGAAAUAUAGUUGCUAAGCUUUUAGAAUAAGUAGAAAUAAAGAGGAAGAGGUUUAAGCGUGGCUCAGGCAUCUCAUAUCGUAGUUGUGUUCGGUGAACUGAAGCGGCAUCGCUCUAACACACAUUUCAACAAACACCUCUAGUGCAUCAAAAAAAGUGGAGAGCUAGCACACACCCACAAUCCUCCAUCCAAGAAAAAUGCAAGGAAGAGGGGAGAGGGGGGCUGUGCUAUAUAUAGGCAGAGGACUUUAGUCCCGGUUUGAGACACAAACCGGGACUAAAGGUGGCGCACAUGUGGGCUGCCCACCGCGUAGCCCUUUAGUCCCGGUUUGGGACACGAACCGGGACUAAAGGCUCCUUACGGGCCGGGACUAAAGCCUCAAGGGAGGCAUUGAGAAUUGGGGCGACGUGGCCGGGCCUUUAGUCCCGGCCCAGAGGCAGGCCGGGACUAAAGGGUCCCGGCCAAAGGCCCGUUUUCCACUAGUGCUAGGGUUAUAGGGAAUUGUUAUACGAGGUUAUCAAAAGUUGUUCGGAGUCCCGGAUGAGAUCCCGGAUGUCACGAGGAGCUCCGAAAUGGUCCGGAGGUAAAGAUUGAUAUAUAGGACGGAUGGUUUUGGACACCGGAAGUGUUUCGGGCGUCGCCGGUAACGUACCGGGACCACCGGGACCACCGGGAGUGGCCCCGGGGGUCCAUCGGAAGGGGGCCAUGACCCCGGGAGGCUAGAUGGGCCAAGUGCGGGAGGGAACCAGCCCCUAGGUGGGCUGGUGUGCCCCCCACACUCAGCCCAAGGCGGAGGAGGUGAAGAUGGGGAAACCCUAGGCGCUGGUGGGCCUAAGGCCCACCUAGGGGUGCGCCACCCCUCCCCCCUGCCCUGGCCGCCGCACCUCCCAUCUAGGGGGACUGCCGCACCACCUGGGGGGAACCCAAGAGUGGCACCCCCCUCCCCUCCUCCUAUAUAUAGUGGGGAUUUUGGGGCUGUUUCACACACAGUUUUCCAUCUCCCUCGACGCAGCCCUGCUCUUCUUUCUCCUCCUCUCUGCCGGUGCUUUGCGAAGCCCUGCCGGGAGACCUCGUCUCUCCAUCGACACCACGCCGUCGUGCUGCCGGAGAUCUUCCCCAAACUCUCACUCCUCCUUGUUGGAUCAAGGUGCGGGAGACGUCACCGGGCUGCACGUGUGUUGAACGUGGAGGUGUCGUGGUUCGGCACUAGAUCGGAAUCACACCGCGAUCUGAAUCGCCGCGAGUACGACUCCAUCAACCGCAUUCUAGCAACGCUUCCACUUAGCGAUCUUCAAAGGUAUGAAGAUGCACUCACCCCUCUCUCGUUGCUGGUCUCUCCAUAGGAAGAUCUGAAUAUGCGUAGGGAAAAUUUUGAAUUUAUGCUACGUUACCCAACAGUAUGGCCCUUGCCACGGAGGUGCCAGCUUGUGGGGUUUCUGUUGGUCCAGUCGGAGGACCAAGUCGCCCUCUUGAAAUGCUCGGCCCAUGACUUGAUUGUCAUGGUGGAGCCAUAGGUCUUACUGGUACAAUGUGGACCGAAUGAGGUCCAUCUCUCUCUCUUUCUCCAGAAGAUCCAAAUUGUCUUGGUGUGCUGCUUCGGCUUCAGCUUCGUUGUACUGCUCCACUCAGGGGGAGUUGUGACGUAAGUCACUUGGCAGAAUGGCUACCGACCCAUACACCAUGAAGAAAUAGUACACUUGGUUGAACGAUUCAGAGUCAUUCGCAUAUCCCACAAGACGGAUGGUAAUUCUUCUACCCAUGCUCGUGAGGCAUAUUUGAGAUCUCUCAUCAGUCGAGGUUUCAAUCCCUGAAGUAUCAUACCAUUCACCCAUUCUACCUACCCAUUCGACUGCGGGUGCGCCACAGAGGCGUAAUUAACUCGAGUGCCUUGGGAGUGACAGAACUCGCGGAAUUCCUCCGAGUCGAAGUUGGUUCCAUUGUCGGUGAUGAUGUCGUGAGGGACUCCAAAUUUGAAGAUGAUCUGUCGAAUGAAGCUGACGGUAGUCGCCCCGUCCAUGCUUUUGUUGGGUUUAGCUUCGACCCACGUGGUGAACUUAUCCACUACAACUAGCAGGUGGCUAAAUCCACUGGUCCUGGUGCACAAAGGGCCGACCAAGUCAAUACCCCACACGGUGAAUGGCCAAGUGAGUGGAAUCAUUUUCAGCAUGGAUGCAGGCUUGUGCGACUGAUUCUUGUAGAACUCGCAUCCAACGCACAGAUCGACCAAGUAUUUUGCUCCCUCGUUGUCUCGAGGCCAAUAAAAACCUGCUCGGAAGGCCUUGGCCACCAUGGUCCGAGGGGACGCAUGAUGUCCAUAGGUUCCCGAGUGGAUCUUGUGCAAGAUCUGUAGUCCUUCCUGUGGGGAAAUGCACUUUUGACUGACUCCUGUAACACUCUUCUUGUACAGCUUGUCUCCGAGUACUUCGAAAGCUUUAGACCGCCGAACGAUUUGGUGGGCUUCCUCUUUGUCUUCAUGGAGCUCUUGUCGGAGCAAGUAAGCCAGAUAAGGCUAUGUCUGUUCGGGUGUGAUGACCAACAUCUUAUGGACGAGGUCGACCACCGUCGGGACGUCGAUCUCAAUCGGAUUAGAUGGACUGAUUGCUUGUGGGGGCUCUUCUGUGAAGGGAUCUUCCUUGACCGAGGGAGUGCGUAAAUGUUUGAGGAACACGCCCUUUGGAAUGACCUUCCGAGUGGAUCCGAUCUUUGUCAAGUCAUCGGUCGCUUGAUUCUUGGCUCGGUGCACGUGGUGUAGUUCCAACCCUUCGAAGUUUUUCUCCUGUUUCUUGACUGUGUUGCAGUAGACUGUCAUUGCUGGACUUCGAAUGUCCCAUUCCUUCAUUACUUGAUUGACAACGAGAUCCAAGUCGCCAUAGACCAUCAAAUGUCGAAUGCAAAGUGAGAUAGCCAUGCGGAGCCCAUACAAGAGGGCUCGUACUCGACCUCGUUGUUGGAUGAAUCGAAGUGGAUUUGGAGCACAUAGUUGAGUCGGGCUCCCCUGGGGGAAACGAUAAUCACUCCAGCCCCCGAGCCAUGGAGCAUUUUGGAUCCAUCGGAGAGCAUGGUCCAAUGCUCAGGGAUGCUACGAGCCGGUUCUUCUUGCUCUAUCCAUUCGUCCAGGAAGUCCACCAAGGCAUGAGACUUGAUCGCCUUCUUGGCUUUGAAUUUGAUCUCCAGCGGGAGGAGCUCAAUCACCCAUUUGGCCACUGUGCCGGUAGCGUCCCGAUUGUGUAGGAUUUCCUCCAGGGGGCGUCACUGAUGACAGUGACCGAGUGAUCUUGGAAAUAGUGGACUAACUCCUUUACUAUCAGGUAGAUCCCAUAAACCAGCUUCUCGUAGUGUGGAUAUCUUUGCUUUGAGGGGGUUAGUACCUCAGAGAUGUAGUAAAUGGGCCUUUGUACCUUGUACGCAUUGCCCGCUUUCUCAAGCUCUACACUGAGUAUGGUGCUAACCAGUUGGCUAGUGGCAAUAAUGUACAGGAGAAAGGGCUCCUGGCUGCUUGGAGCAGCUAACACCGGUUGGGUGGAAAGGAGAGAUUUGAGUUGGUCGAAUGCGACCUGUGCCUCGUUGGUCCACUCGAAUAUGUUGGAUUUCUUCAUCAAUCAGUAAAGAGGCACAGCCUUCUCAUCGAGUCUCAAGAUGAAGCAGCUCAGGGCUGCAAGGCAACCCAUAAGCCUUUGCACGUCAUGGAUGCGCUCUGGACGUCUCAUCUGGACGAUGGCACCGAUCUGGUCGGGAUUGGCAUCGAUGCCUCGUUCGGAAACGAGGAAACCGAGUAGCUUUCUAGCCGCAACACAGAAGGUGCAUUUGGCUGGACUGAGCUUAAUCCCGAAGCAUCAAAGGUUCGCAAAGGUUUCGGCGAGGUCGGCCAGAAGGUCGAAACCUUUCCUGGACUUAACCACGAUGUCGUCCAUGUAUUCUUCAAUGUUCCGACUGAAUAGUUCUUGUAAGCACUUUUGGAUCAUGCACUGGAAAGUGGCUCCGGCAUUCUUGAGGCCGAAUGGCAUCGUGAUGUAGGAAAAACACCUGAACGGGGUCAUGAAGGUUUUUUUAUUUCAUCAGUUUCAUACAUUCGGAUCUCGUGGUACCGAGAGUACGCAUCCAGGAACGACAAUCGUUCAAAUCCGGUAGUUGAAUCUAUGAUUUCAUCUAUGCGAGGUAGAGGGAAGUGGUCCUUCGGGAAGGCCGAUUGAGAUGCUUGAAGUCAAUACACAUUCGUAGUGAACUGUUCUUCUUUGGCACCAUGACCACGUUCGCCAACCACUCAGAGUGGUAAACCUCGUGGAUGAACUCGACAUCUAGGAGCCAAGCGGUCUCCUCGCCAAUCGCCCUAUGCUUCUCCAUGGAGGAGCGGCGCAGGUGUUCCUUGACGGGCUUGACCUUUGAUUCCACUCGGAGGCGGUGCUCAGCUAGUUCCCUGGGAACCCCCGCAUGUGAGAUGGCUUCCAUGUGAAGAUAUCCUAGUUCUCACAGAGGAACUUGAUGAGUUGGGCUUCCUAUUUUCUCCGAGUGAAGUGGAGAUGUUUGUCGCGGAAACACUCGGAUCGGUUGGAUGGACGUGGACCUGGUUCUUCUCACCAGCCGAGUGAAAGGAGGACUCAGUAGCCGGCCGUUUUGACUUGAGAAGGUUUGCGGUAUCCACUUCCUUCUUGUACCCAUCGAUCUCGACAGCGAGGACCUGCUCGUUGGCGAUCCUUGAACCUUGCUGGAGGCACUCUUCAACGACCUUUCGAUUGACAGUCACCGUGAUCACGUCUUUUGUCCCUGGCAUCUUAAGCUUAAGACACACGUAACAUGGACAGGCCAUGAAACGAGCGUUAGUGGGCCUACCCAGGAUGGCGUGAUAGGCACUUUGAAAGUCGACCACUUCAAAGGUCCACCUCUCCUUUCGGUAAUUCUUCUCGCUGCCGAAUACGACAUUCAGGGUGAUCUGCCCAAGUGAUUCGGUCUUCUUUCCGGGGAUGACCCCAUGAAAUUGCAUGUCACUCUUGCUCAACCGGGACAACGGAAUGUCCAUAGCUUUGGAGUGUCGAUGUAUAUGAUGUUAAGGCCACUGCCACCGUCCAUGGGGGCUUUCCACAGUCGGUACCCAUUGACCGCUGGAUCAAGCACCAACGCCUACCUCCCAGGGGUGGCAAUGUUGGUCGGGUGAUCCGAUUGGUCAAAUGUGACGGGCGUCUUCGCCCAGUCGAGGUAUUUCAUGAUAGCCGGGGCUGCCAUGUUCACUUCCCGGUUGAUAACUUUCAAUUGGCUCUUGCUCUCGACAUUAUUAAAGAUCAUGAGGGUCCCCUCGAUAUUCGGGUACCCGGAGGCAUCCUCUGGGUCAUCCUCAUACUCUUUGUCCCCGGAGGGUUCUCCGCUCAUCUCCUUCUGGAGGAAGCGGCAAUCUCGAGUCGUGUGCUUGGCAGGGAUGGUCUCCUCAUCUUUGUCGUUCCUAGCAUGAAUUGGAUACGGCUGAUCCAAAAGGUUGCUCUUGGACUUGGCCUUCUUCUUGCCUACCCAAUAUUUUUUCUUCUUCUUGGACUUGUUUUGGCUUUGCCCCGGGACAAUAGCUACUUCGGCUUUGCCCGAUGGGUCGCCCUUUUGCUUGUGCUUCUUCCCAGCAUUGUCCGACUAAGGGGCUUUGCUGGCUCGGCCUUUGCCGCUGCGGAGGUAGUCUUCUUCUUCGCCAUUCGCAUACCGAUUAGCGACUUCUAUGGCCCAACUAAGGGACACAUCCCUUGAUCGGCCAAACUUGAGGAUGAGUGCCUUCUUUGGAAGUGCACACGGCCUGAUGCUCGGUGACAUUCUCCACCGUGUUGUGCAGUGUGGUCCACCGCUGGCUGUACUCUGUGAGAGUCUCCUUGCUCUUCUCGACAUAGUGUUGCAGCUCGGUCAGGCCGCUUGGACGCUUGUAAGUGCCCUCGAAGGUCUUGACGAACACUCAGGUGAGGUAAACACAGCUAUGGAUGUUGCUGGAGGGAAGCUGAUUGAGCCACGCCCUCGCCAACCCUUCUAACAUGAGGGGCAUAUGCUUCAUUGUGAUGUAGUCGUCGCCGCCACCUAUCUGGACGGCCACUUGGUAGUCCUCCAUGUUGGGGAACGUUGCAUGGGAAAUAAAAAAAUUCCUACGCGCACACAAGAUCUAUCCAUGGUGAUGACCAUCUACGAGAGGAGAGAGUGCAUCUACAUACCCUUGUAGAUCGCUAAGUGGAAGCAUAUAUAUAACGCGGUUGAUAUAGUGGAACAUCUUCGCGAUCCAAAUCGCAGCCUGUCCUGCGAUCUCAUUAUGAUCCGUCCCACGAUCCCAUCACGAUCCGUCCCGAUCUAGUGCCGAACGGACGACACCUCUGCGUUCAGCACACGUACGGCUCGAUGACGUCUCCUCCUUCUUGAUCCAGCAAGAGAGGAAGGAGAAGUAUAUGGGAUCUCAACCAACACGACGGCAUGGUGGAGAUGAUGGUGGAGCAGUGCCAGCACGGCUUCGCAAAGCGCUGCCAGAACUGAUCUGAGGAGAAAACGGAGUUAUGGGAGAGGUAGGGCUGCCACCGUGGUGUGGGAAUUGGUGUGUUCAGACCCUCCCUCUCCCGCACUAUAUAUGGGAGGCAAGGAGGAGGGUUGGGUCGCAUACCUAGCCCCUCCUCCAAGGAGGGGGCGUGGGCCUAGGGAGGUUUCCUCCCUCCUCAUGGCACCUAGGAGGUGCCUUCCCCUUUAGGGACUCUUUCCUCCCAACCGUAUGGGCCCUUGGGGGCUCGCCCAACAAGGCUUGGACACCUCCUUAAGCCCAUGCACGUCCUAGGGGCUGGAGGGAACCUUCCGGACUCCUCCGGAACCCUCUAGAACCCUGUGGAACUUCCAGAAGCUUCCUGGUACAAUAGCGAUAAAACCUGGAACUUUUCCGGUAGCCAAAAUAGGACUUCCCAUAUAUAAAUCUUUACCUCCGAACCAUUCCGGAGCUCCUCGUGACAUCCAGGAGCUCAUCCGGGACUACGAACAACAUUCAUUCACCAACAUACAUAUCCCAAUACUACUCUAGCGUCACCGAACGUUAAGUGUGCAGACCCUGUGGGUUCGAGAACUAUGCAGACAUGACCGAGACACUUCUACGGUCAAUAACCAAUAGCAGGACUUGGAUGACCAUAUUGGUUCAUACAUAUUCUACGAAGAUCUUUAUUGGUUGAACCUCUAUGUCAAGGAUUCAAUUAAUCCCGUAUGUUGUUCCCUUUGUCCUUCGGUAUGUUACUUGCCCGAGAUUCGAUCGUCGGUAUCUCUAUACCUAGUUCAAUCUCGUUACCGGCAAGUCUCUUUACUCAUUCCGUAUUACAAGAUCCUGUGACUAACUCCUUAGUCACAUUGCUUGCAAGGCUUGUUGUGAUGUUGUAUUACCGAGUCGGCACUGAGAUACCUCUCCAUCACACGGAGUGACAAAUCCCAGUCUUGAUCCAUACCAACCCAACAGACACCUUCGGAGAUACCUGUAGAGCACCUUUAUAGUCACCCAGUUACGUUCUGACGAUUGAUACACACAAGGUAUUCCUCCGGUGUCCGGGAGUUGCAUGAUCUCAUGGUCAUAGGAACAAAUACAUUGACAUGCAGAAAACAGUACCAAUAAACUGACACGAUCACACAAGGUGUAUGUUUGGUUGACAUGGAUCAAGACUGGGAUUUGUCACUCCGUGUGACGGAGAGGUAUCUUGGGGCCCACUCGGUAAUACAACAUCACAACAAUCCUUGCAAGCAAUGUGACUAAGGAGUUAGUCGCGGGAUCUUGUAUUACGGAAUGAGUAAAGAGACUUGCCGGUAACGAGAUUGAACUAGGUAUAGAGAUACCGAUGAUUGAAUCUCGAGCAAGUAACAUACCGAAGGACAAAGGGAACAACAUAUGGGAUUAAUUGAAUCCUUGACAUAGAGGUUCAACCGAUAAAUAUCUUUGUAUAAUAUGUGGGAGACAAUAUGGGCAUCCAGGUCACGCUAUUGGUUAUUGGCCGGAGAAUGUCUCGGGUCAUGUCUACAUAGUUCUCAAACCCGCAGGGUGUGCACACUUAAGGUUCGAUGACGUUUCGGUAUAGUUGAGUUAUAGGUGUUGGUGACCAAAGGUUGUUUGGAAUCUCAAAUGAGAUCCUGGACGUCACGAGGAGCUCCGGAAUGGUCCGAAGGUAAAGAUUGAUAUAUAGGAAGUCCUGUUUUGGUCUCCGAAAAAGUUUUGGACUCAUCGGUAGUAUACCAGGAGUACCGGGAGGGUACCGAGGGACCACCGGGAUGGGUGUGAUGACCCAAGGGUUUCAUGGGCUGUGAGAGGAGGCAGACCAGCCCCUGGUGGGCUGGCCGAAGCCUCCCCUAAGGGCCCAUGCGGCUCGAGUGGAGGGAUAAAGCAAAAAGCCAAAAGGUGGAAAGAGUUUCCAAAUUAGGAAGGAGUCCCUAAUUAGCCACGUGAUGUCGUCUCUCUCUCUAGAUCGUUUUCUUCUCUAGAUUAGUUUCGCACCUCUUGGCGAAGCCCUGCUAGAUUUUCCACCACCACCACCACCACGCCGUCGUGUUGGACAAUGCAUCUACCUCUCCGCCCCUCUUGCUAGAUCAAGGAGACGGGGAUUGUCAUCGAGUUGUACGUGUGCUGAACGCGGAGGUGCCAUCCGUUCGGCACUAGAUCGGGAUGGAUCGUGAUGAGAUCGCAGGAAGGGCUGUGAUUUGGAUCGCGAAGAUGUUCCACUACAUCAAUCGCGUUAUAGACGCUUCCGCUUAGCGAUCUACAAGGGUAUGUAUAUUUACUCUCCCCUCUCGUAGAUGAUCAUCACCAUGGAUAGGUAUUGCGUUUGCGUACGAAAUUUUUUGUUUUCCAUGCAACGUUCCCCAUCACAAUUGCCAAGGACUUAAACACCUGCGUGAAGACCCAUGUUACGUGUAACGUUGUAAUUAAAGCCACCGUUUUUAGUAAAUCACGUAGUUAUUAGCAUUAAAUACCCUAGUGACGGUGCUCGGUCGGUCGUGGCACACUCUAUAUAAGCCACUCCUGGGCUCCCCCUCAAGGGUUAAGCAUUUUGUACUUUCAGAUACCCCAUAAGAAAUCACGAGCCUCACGGCUUGAGAUGUAGGGUCUUUACCACUUCCCAGUGGGGCCCGAACUUGUACAUCCAAGUGUAUCCACUGCGCCUAGCUAGACUUCGCCCCUUAGUUCGUACCCCUCGUACUAUUGUCAGGAUCAUUCCCACGACAACGAAGGUGAGGGAACCGAAGAGGAUCUCUCCGCCGAGUGUCAUCAUGUUGGAUUUGCUAGACACGCAGCCCCACGGUGUGCGCCAAGUGUCUGGAAAUGACCCUGAUAAUAGUAGUGGGGGUACGAACGGAGGGGCGAAGCCUAACUAAGCCCUAUGAAUACACUCGGAUGUACGAGUUUGGGCCCCAUUCGGAAGUGGUAACAACCCUACGUCUCGAGCCUUGAGGCUCAUGUUUUCUUAUGGGGUAUGUGAGAUUACAAGGUGCUGAACCCUUGAACUCGAGCCCGGGAGUGGCCUAUAUAGAGUAUGCCAUGACCGGCUAAGCUUCACUACAAGGUGAAUUAAUGCUAAUAAAUAAGGGAGUUACUAGAAACGAGAGUUAUAACUCCUAGCGUUACAUGUAACGCGGGUCUUCACUGCACUUCAUGUGAUAGUUGAAGUCCUUAGUCGUUGUAGCCUAUUCGGUGUCAUCGUCUUGCUGUGGUUCGAGUACCAUGGUGCGUCCCACUGACACAAGGUGAUCCGAAUGACUUCAUGUAAGCCGACUGAGGACACGUUGUAUCGAAUGAGGUCGAAACUGCACCGGUGACUUGUAGGACAUUGAUGUUCGUAUGGGGCCUUAGGUGGGUCUUGGGGAAAAGGUUUAUAGGCCUAUCCCUAAUGUACAAUCCGUAAGGGGUCAAGUACAUGAAUUUUUUUAAGAAGUGGUGUGCAUGAUUUUCUUUCAAAAUUUAUGAAGAUAAUGUACGACAAUCUCUAUUCACACAUAAAAGGUCGUACGACUUUCUCCAAACAUGAUGAUCUUUUUAUAUACUAUUCUUUUCAAACACAUUAACUAUCUUCUGAUAGAGGAACAUUUUAUAUAAAUAUAAUCAGGUUACUUAAAAGUUUGUAAAAAUUUUAGAGCUUCACUAAAAGGUUAGCAAAAACUGAAAAAAGUUCAUUAAAUCAAGAAAAAGAUCACUCGAAAUAGCGGAACUGAAUUUUUUUGCGGAUUAGGAAAAGCUCAUAAAAUUCAAAACCAAAUCACAAAUUUGUAAAAGUUUUCAGUUUCCUAUGAAGUUCAAGCAUUAAAAAAGCAAAUUAAAAAAGCACACAAAAAAACAAAGCCAAGUUUUCAAAAACCAAAAAACAAACCGACCGGAAGGUUCUCGAAGCUUCAUACCCAGGCCGGAAAGCUUCCAAAAACGGGGCCCAUUAAAAACAUGGCUCCUUGUCGGUUCGCUCGACCGCUGAAAAGAAACUAACUCGCCUCGCUGGAUUAGUUCUUCGGCUGUGCUGCCAUUGUGGUUCGGAAAAAAGAUUGACCGCCUUUUUUUCAAUUUUGAAUACUUUUGUUAGAAAAGUUCAUAGAUUAAUUCUAAAAAAAAUAUCGAUUUUGUAUAUUUCUUUCACAAAUAUGAAAAAAGUUCAUAAAUUUGAAAAAAAUUAUAGGACUUGAAAUUUGUUCAUCAAAUUGAAAAAAAUCAUUCAAUUUGAAAAUAUGAUAUUCAUCGAAUUGAAAAAAGUUCAUCGCAUUUUAAAAAGAGUUCAUCAAUUUAUAAAAUAGGUUCAUCAAAAUGUUAAAAAGUUCAAUAAUUUUGAAAAAAAGUUAAUCAAGUUUGAAAAAAGUUCAUUGAAAUUGAAAAAAAUAAUGUAAUUUGAAAAACAAUUGAAUGUAAAAAAAGUUCAUCGAUUUUGAGAAAAAUCAUCAAAUUUGAAAAAGAAAAGUUCAUUGAAUUUGCAAAAGAGUCGUUAAAUUUGAAAAUGUUCAGUAUAUUUCAAAAUAAAUAUCUAAUAUGGAAACAUCAAUUUUGAAAAAAGUUCAUCAAAUUUGAAAAAGUCUAUCGAUUUUAAUAAAAGAUCAUGAUUUUGAAAAUAAAAUAUUGAAUUUUGAAAAAAAUUCACCAAUUUUGAAAAAAGUUCACCGAUUUUAGAAAAAAGUUCACCGAUUUUGAAAGAAAGUUUAUUGAAUUUUAAAAGAGUUCAUCAAAUUUAAAAAAAAUNNNNNNNNNNNNNNNNNNNNNNNNNNNNNNNNNNNNNNNNNNNNNNNNNNNNNNNNNNNNNNNNNNNNNNNNAAAAAAAAUCACCGAUUUUGGAAGAAAGUUCAUCGAAUUUGAAAAGAGUUCAACAAAUUUAUAAAAAAAUCACCGAUUUGGAAAAACGUUCAUUAAAUUAGGGGAAAAAUCAUCAAAUUUGAGAAAAGUUCAAAAAUUGUAAAUAGUUCAUCAUUUAAAAAACAAAAGAACAAAUUUGAUGAACUCUUUUCAAAUCAUUGAACCAGAUCAAAGAAACAAAAAGAAAAAUCUUUGAACCAGGUCAAAGAAAAAAAGCAAAGGAAAAAAGGAAAAAGAAAAAAAGGAGAAUGAAGCUGGAAAAAUACCUGUUUGGGACUGGAGAAUUUGUUAGAAAAAAGAACAGGAUUGAAACCUCGACUAUUCGAUGUUCGUUUUUUUUGAACAUUUUAGAAAAUAAACAGAUGAUAAAUGGCCGGCCAAGCUCGUACCAGUGGCGGAGUACCAAGAGAACAUGAUGCUUCGGUCUGUUAGAUUUUGUAGAAUCCAGCCUAGUAUUUGUGAAUUUUGGGCUCAUGGAAGGCGGGUUUGUUUAUAUCCCUCUCAUGAUCUAUUAAAAUGUUAUAUCUCCCUCUUAGCAAGGUCCUCUAUAGGACACCCAUAGGCGUAAGAUUGAUGAACCUUUGUGUAGGGUCGGCAUGACUUGGUAUAAUGUUUCCCUGUCGCUAGGGUUUAGCUGCACCUAGGGCGAUUUCUUGCCUAACCUGUCCACCAGUUUGAUUCUGACUGAUCACACAACAAUCUCUGGAUCGUUGCCUUGCCUUGAUCGAUCCCUUGGACGCUCGAAGGGAGCUAGGGUUCUUCACCCUAGAUCUGAUAGGGUUUUGUGGAGAACCCUAGCUCCCUUCGAGCAUCCAAGGGAUCGAUCAAGUCAAGGUGAAGAUCCAGGGAUCGUCGUGUUAGAACAAAUUUUGAAGAUUAGGAACAUUUUUUGAAAUUUUGAACAUUUUUUUGCAAAUUUGGAACAAAAAAAUUCCAAACAUUAAUUUUGAAAACAGAAACCUAAUUUUAAACCACAAAGAAUUUAUGAAAUUCUAGAAAAAAUGAAAGCAAGAACAUUUUUUAAAUUCAGAUUUUAGAAAGAAAAAAAGUACAAUCAAAUUCAACCAAAACAUUCCAAACAUUUUUAAAAAAACAAGAAGAAAGUAAAACACCAAAAUAAAGGAGUGGAUUUUUCGUAUGUCUCGCUUGUUGUGAGGAACAGUGAUGCGUNNNNNNNNNNNNNNNNNNNNNNNNNNNNNNNNNNNNNNNNNNNNNNNNNNNNNNNNNNNNNNNNNNNNNNNNNNNNNNNNNNNNGAUCGAUUAUCACCCCCCCCCCCAAGGCCUUGUUUGAUACUAGGGUUUUUCAGGAGAUUGGUGGGGAUAAUCCCCACAGGGAUUGGGUGAAACCCCAUCCUUCACCCAAUCCCCUCAAAUCCCCAUUUAUCCCCAAUACACUAGGUAGGGGUAGUGUAUUGAGUAUUGAGAAAAAUACACUAAAAUUUAGAGAAUUGUGGGGAAAUGUGGGGAUAAAACAUGUCAAAUACACUAGAACCAAAUGGCGUUAUGGGAUAUGUGGGGAUUUAGGGAUUUGACCGGGAUAAUCCCUACUAAUUUUCUGAAAUACACUAGUACCAAACAAGGCCCCAAGGAAAUCCAGCGGGGACUAGGCCUAAUAUAUAGGCUUAAUUAGUGCCCAGUUAUCAGACCGAGCCGUCAAAGCCAAGCCCAAGGCUGCAUGUUCUCAUACGUAGUAUCCAUCCAUUCAUUGACUGAUCUGAUGAUUGACUCUGUUAAUUGAUCCGCACGUUCGAUUUGAGCAGGACUUUUUCCUCCUAGACGCGCCAGUCGCUAGGGUUACAUUGACGCCGCCGCUCCGGCUGCCGCACCGUGGUCGACCGCGCUGCCGUGACUACACGAGAAAAUUGGAUUUUUGCCACUUUAUUCGUUGGGCUUCGCACAAUUGCCACUCUAAAGAUUUGAUUCGCACAAUUGUCACUUAAGUCGUUGCACAAUUGCCACUCUAGAGAUUUGAUUAGCAUGCCAUUAACCCCAUUUAAAUUAUUUUUUACAUUAAUUGGCUAGUGAAAAGACCAGCUUGCCCCUUAGUUAUGUACAUGUACGUACCUGGCAACGAAUCAACGCUACAACUGCAUCUGGCAACGAAUCAAUGCUACAACUGCAUCUGGCAACGAAUCAGCGCUACAACGACAAGGCUUGCGCUGGCUGCCAAUAAUAUAGCUAACUGUCAUACUACGAGUCCUUCGACGUCGCGCUCGAGCGACUCUUCUCGCCGUCUUGCGCCGCCGAUCGCCUGGACGCCGCGUGCCGCCGGCUGGACGUCUUGCGCCGCCGAUCGCCUGGACGUCGCGUGCUGAACCUCCUCAUCCUCCUGGGGCGCUCCUUCCUGGCCCUCAUCCCAGUCGAGUGGUCAGGCGACCGGGACGAGCGACGCGAGCACACUGGCGGGCGGUGACGGCGGUGGAGCGGAGGUAGCGACGGCGGUGGUCGGCUGGAGCGAGCGGCAAACGACGGUGGUCGGGCGGGGCGAGCGACCACGGCGGUCGAGCGAAGGUAGCGACGGCGAUGGUCGGGCGGGGCGAGCCGCAACGAUGGUGGUCGGACGGGGCGAGCGACCACGGCGGUCCGACGGGCGGGCAGCGACAUGGUCGGUCUGCACUCUGCAGCUUGUUCGUCCCUGCUCAUACAGAUAAGCCAUACAGAUAAGAUGUGAGUAUAUACAGUCAGGGGCAGUUUGGUCUUUUCUUGUGCUUACAGAUGUAAAAAGAAAAAGGAAAUCACUAAAAGGAGAGAAGUGGUAUGGUAAUCAACAAGCCAACAAACAGAGUGGCAAUUUUGCAAAGCCAACGUUGAAAAUGGCAAUUUUGAGAAACCACGUAUUGAAAGUGGCAAAAAUCCAAUUUUCUCUGACUACACAAAGUACACGCAUACGGCAGACGCUGGCUAAGCAGAACAUGUCCGACGGUCGGAGCCUACUCUUGACUCCAUGUGAGCGUGCUCGGCUGCUCUACUCCAGGUGAGCCUGCUCGGCUGCUCUACUCCAGCGGGACUAAUGAUUUAUGAAUUAGCUGAAUGUAACACGGACUAUAUAUACUACUGUAGCUGAAUCUAACACGGACUAUAUAUACUCCUGUAGCUACUUAUACACGGUUCAGUAGCUGAAUUAUCAUAUACAGAUAUACUGUACUUAUAAAAGGUUGCUUACUAUUUGGUUCAUUAGCUGAAUUUCUGGCAUAUAUAUAGAGGGAAAAUGGUUCCUAUUUUGAUACUUGUCAGAUGAAUUACAUAUUUGCAUUUUACUAAUAGAAGAACUGAAAACUGUAUAGGUCAUGAAUAAGAGGAAGAUACCGCCGAUAAGUAAUUUUUUCAAGUCAAAUGCUACAAACUCUAACUCAGCAGCUGAAAAUGCAAAUGCAACCGUGGAGGUAGAUGACACACAACAACCCACUGGUCAUAAUGUCCCCAAUCUCAGUUCGGUUGAUAUGCCACCCCCGAGCAAAAUAUUCAGGCAUAUGUGGAAGUUCUAUCCAGUAUUUUUCAGUUGAUAUGUCAAAUAUUUGCAGGCUUGUGGAAACAUUCUAUCCAGCAGAUUUUUCUAGUCAAGAGCAGGCUCACGUGGAGUCACGACUUCCACACUAUCAGUUAGAUGUUCGCAACCAUCUAGAGCUGAGAUCUUCGUCAUCACUUGCCGAUUUGACCGUUGCAUUGCAUAAAACAGAUAAAGCUUCUCUGUACCCAAUGGUUGAUAGAUUAUUGCGAUUGGUUAUCACUCUCUCUGUGUCAACUGCAACUGUGGAGAGAGCUCUCUCGGCAAUGAAGAUUAUCAAGACGCGUCUCCGAAGUAAAUUGGGUGACGAUUUUCUUCGCCAUUACAUGGUUGUAUACAUUGGGAAGGAAAUAGCUGCAAAGUUCAAUGUUGAUGAGAUUAUUGAUUUGUUCGAUCGACCAGCUGGGGGGCGUAGAUCUUCGUUCAAACUAGUAGAAAUGUAGUUUUCUUUUCGUAAAGCUUAUAUUGUUACAUGUUUGAAAUUUCUAAAAUAUUCAAGACUUGAAAUAUUUUUGUGUUAUGUCUCUUGUGUGUUUCAAUGUGUUCUUCGCACCCUCUAUGAUGAAAUCCUCGCUCCGCCCCUGAUCAUUCGGUGCCGUCAAAAUAUGAAAAAUAGCACUUGCAUAGUUUUCCUCUGAAAAAAUGUCAGGCUCCCGGCAAGCGCCAACGUUUUUUCAAAUAUAGUUCACUAAUUUAAAAGAUAUAAUUUUGAAAAUUCCUGAGUAACUCAAAACAUUUUAUUAAUUCCAGAAUGCUUGUAACCUUAAAAAAGUUGAUGAUUCAAAAAAUUUCCAUGAAUUCUAAAAAUAUUCAAGUAUUCAAGAAAAUUGUUCAAGAAUUGGAAAUAUGUUGGCAUCAAAUUCAGAAAAUGUUCACAAAAUAGAGAAAGUGCGCGAAUGCAAGGAAGUCUCUGUGAAUUAGCAAAAUCAUCAAGAAUUAUAUAUUCUUGCAAAUAUGAAUAUAUACCUGAUUUGAAACAACGUUCACAAAUAAAAAAAAUCAUAUUUUCAAAACUCUUACCGAUUUAAAAAAUAUUUGCGUGAAUUAGAAAAUUAUUUACAAAAUAUGCUAAAUAUCAUGAAUUUCAAAUUAUUCAUGAGUGUGAAAAUACGAUUGUGAAGCCAAAAAUAUUGUGUGAAUUUGAAAAGUUAUUCAUGAAUUCAAAAUAUGUUCAAGUAUUGAAAAACAGAAACUUCAAAAUGUUCCUGAAUUAGAAUGGAAGAGCAGAAAAUAAAAAAUGAGUAAUAAUAAAUACAUGAGGAAAAAAAGGUGCGACCCAGUAAAAUAGAGCCAUUUUUAGAAGAUCCGAAUUCCUAAAAUCGGCUUUCCAAAGAAAUCAAUACCAGGACUACCGACUUUCCAAAGAAACUACCUCCACGGUUCCAAAAUAAAUGCCGAAGAUCUAUUAUUAAUUUUGUAUAAAUUUUAUACCCCCUUUGUCACAGUUUAGAAGGCAUGAUUAAAUUUACGUGUGUUUCCAUAAUAAAUAAGUUUAAGACGCAUUGCAUUUAUUCCUAUUAGCUAAUUAGUACUCCGUUGUAUUACUUCCAUAUGCAUACAUAGCGUGAAUACAAUUUUUAAAUUCAUCUCAUAGCCAAUUAAUAGCCACCUAGAUUUUAAAUAAUUUCCAAACACGUUUUUUAAAUGGGGACUGCUACGCAUCUACCGAUGGAUUUGUAGAAACCAUCCACCACCUUUUUAACCGUCCGAUGCAUAAACGUGCACCGUUCGAUCAUCAGCUCGGUCGCAUCUGUCCACCACACAAAAUCCUGAAACAACGUUCCAGUUGCGGAAACAAGCACGCUGCUACGUCAUUCGGUUGACGGGUUAAAAAAUGACUGACGGUUCUUUUGCAACAUAGAUUAUGUUGCAAAAUUUUUUGCAACAAAAGAGCAUGUUGCGAAAACGUUCGUAUAUUUUUUUGCACUAGAAUUUGUUAUAGAAUAUUUUCUGCAACAAGGAUCAUGUUGCAGAAAUUUUUGUAACACAGGUCAUGUUGCAAAAACCUUUUGCAAAGUAGGUCAGGCUGUAGUUUUUUUUUGUAACAAAAGAUAUUUGUUCCAAUUUUUUGAAACACAGACCAAGUUGCAGAAACUCGUCAUUACGCUCUACUUGCACUAUGCGAUUGUAGAAAUCGACCGGCUGAUGGGAAGAGUUUUCGUUGUUAUAUAAUAUUUUCCACAACAAAAGAUCGUGUUGCGGAAACAUAUGCAGAAUUCUUUCUCUACAACAAAAGUCUUGUUCCAUAAAUAUUUUGCAACUGAGUGUUUGUUGUAGAAUUUUUUUUCUGCAACAGUAGAUAAUUCUUUUGCAACAAAAAGUCAUAUUGCAGAAUUUGUUUUUCCAGUUUUCUCUUUUUUGCAACACAUGUGUUGUUGCGGAAAUAAGUUUUGCAACACAUGUAAUGUUUCAGGAAAAAAAAAAUUAACGACCUUGCAAUCUAGAUUCUCACCCGCACCGUCCGCCAUCGACUUCAUAGUUGCGGCCCAACGCACGGACACGUGUCGUGCGCACGAGGAGGCGGAUGGAAAAUGUCCGAUCCGCCAGAUGAUUAUCAUCAUUUCCCUUUUUAAAUCGUGACAAAAAAAGUACUAAACUAACGACAUUUAUUUUGAGACCGGAGAAACAAUACCAGGAUUUCUUUACGGCCUAGUCGGAACGCGUGUGAACAAUCUGCCGCUACGGCCGGCAGUAGAGCAGACAAAUCCCAUGUCUACGUCUUCUUGGGCCGAGCGGAUGUUAGUUAGGCCUUGUGCUAUUUACGAAAUCUUGGUUUGCCUAAAAAAUGUAAAAGGUCUGUUUUGUCUAAAAAUAAAUGUAAAAAAUCUGUUCUCAAAUAUUUUUACCCGUAGCAGUUCAGUCACAUCUAAGAGCAUUUACAGCCCGACUGCCUCCUUCCUUCCUAAAUGUUCGUAAUAUCUGUCCGAUCAAAAAAAGUUGACCCAAUCAAACCUCUCACCUAAUUCCUAUACGUCCAGUCAGACUGACACCCCUCAAAUCGGGAUCAAAUGUAGGAACGAUAUGAGGGGACCCGGACAUGACCGAGCGUGACCGGGCACCGUUUCGUUUCAUAAAGGUCCCAACUCCAACCACCUGAAUAGGAGCUGUCUAGUGUGCUUUUGCUCUGACACACUCGACAACCUAAAUUUUAGUCCCACCUUGCCGUGUCAGCCGGACACGGACUAACUUAAAUAGCCGCGACGGGGGAUAGAGACAAGCUUCUCUAUUAAUUAUAUAGGUGAAUCAAUUCUUGUUGUUUGAAUGAAGUAGCGUGACACUAGAUUGCAUUCCAUCAACUGAUGAUUGUUUAUCGAGUGUCAAGUUUGUCUCAUUCAUGUACAUUGAUAGCCCUACUACAAUAAACAUGACUUUUAUUUUGUGAUCUAAAAAGAGCCGUGCAAACAUAUUUUAUGAUUCAAAAAAAAUCGUGCAAAUGUCAAUGCUCCAUUUGUGAAGGAGAUAGACAUGCCUACGAACUUCUUUGUGAUAAGCACAGAAGAUUCGUAGUAAUAGUCCAUUUGGUUCACAAAGUGUAUAAGGAUGACUGAAGCUUAUUAUUUCUAAACGACUCGGCUAUUUAAGUCGGCCAAUUAGCUCUUAGGCGGCAAGGUCAGACUAAAACAUGCGAAACCCACCGAGACAAGUAGAAAAUGUUAGUCGAUGUCCUACCAGCCCAACAUAGACCUGUUGAUCGAUGUGCAUGUCUUUGCAUGUAUAUGAUGUUUUGAAAAUAGGUUUUAUGGUUGCAAAUGGAAAAAAUCUAAGAGUCACACUAUAUCUCAUCUAUAUAACAUGACAUCAUCCAGUUUGACAUCUAACUAAAAUGAUUUGUUGUAUUGUUUGUUUGUCUUGAUGUUUUUUUUUCGCUUUUACGACACCCAACCCAAAAACGCCCCUUGACUGUGGACGCGUCCGACUGGGCCGGUCAGACCAUUUAUGUCAAACUCUAAACAACAGUCGUGCGCAAAAAAUCCAGAAAAAACUAAUAAGAGUGGCACAAUUCCAACCACAAACAUCUUGUGUGUGCACAAACACCACUAGCCACUACACCACACAACUUGCCAUGACAAAUUAGUUGUGGGAAGUUUAAAAAUUAAUGGAAGUGGCAUAAUUGCAUACUACUUGAAAUAUUGCAAACAAUAUUUUGAUUUUUGAUUUUUUAGAAAAUACAAAUAUUGAUUUGUUAAAACGAGCAAUUUUUAAUUUUUUAGUCAUUUUAUAAAUUGCGCAGGAAAUUUAAAAUUCCCCUAAAAAUAUUAAAUUUUAAAUAAAACUUAAAAGUAAGACCAUUUUUGCAAUCAUGAACAAUUUCUAAAAAAUGAACUUUUUUUACAAUUAAGCACUUUUUCAAAAUGCAAACAUUUUUUAAAAUUCCAAGAAACUUUUUUUUGAAAACUCAAAUUUUUUAACUGAGUUAGUGGACAAACUAGUAUUACAUACAAAAAGUACAUGACUCAAAAGGGUGUAUCUCAUCUGUAUACAACUACGAGAUUUCACAAAAAAGGUGGGGAACUAACUCAAUGGGUUGGGAACUAGAAACCAUAUAAAUGUUGGCUUUAAAAAGACACAUGAAAAACUUGGGGCCCUCCAACUCGGUUGCAUAUCUUUACAAAAACAAAAAAUGGGUCGAAUAUGGGCUUGAAACUUGGACAUUUGAAAAAAGGGAUUGACCCAAAAACAAAAGGAAAUAUUACGCGGGUAAAAUUGACAAUAAAAGAAGAAAAGGUGGCUAGUAACUGCCACAGUCGGGACCCACAUUUGGCAUACUCAAGAUGAAAUUGUACCUCGGAUAUAAAUUGGUGGAUCACCCUAGUUGCAAGUUGAUGUGAACUUCUAUUCGUGGCAGAAAAGUUGGAGCCCAAUUACAAAUCAAUGGUGGACUUCGAGCAGGGGCGAAGAAUAAAGAAGAUGACCUACUCGCAAAUAUUAUGGUGGGCUUGUAACUAAGGCAACAUAAAAAUCCCGAUUGCAAAUACAGGAUGGUCUUGCAACUAGGAGUGGAGAACAAAAAAGGAGCGUAGAACAAAAAGGGUCGAUGCUUUACAAUCCGAGGGUGUACUUGCAAACUUAGGCGACAAUAAAACUUCGCACCCAUUUCUGAGUUGAUGGUGGACUUGUAACUAGGAUGAAAACAAACUACGGGCCGACUUGCGAGUCAAGGGUGGACUGUCAACUCGAGCAACUAUGAGCCUAGUUGUGAGUUGACAGUGGACUUGUAACUGCGAUGGAAAACAAAAUACUAUCCCCAUGUCCAUUUGUGAGUCUAGUGAUGACUUGCAAGCGGGAUGAAAGCAAAAUAUGGGCCCACUUGUGUGUUGUGGGUGGACUUGCAACUCACACAACUACACAAAAGUACAAUAAAAACUUGGAUCCCAAUUGAAAGUGGGUGGUAGACUUGCAAAUGGUGCAAAAGAAUAAAAACGGGUGACCUACUAGCAAAAACGAGGGUGGGCUUGUAACUAAGGCAACAAAAAAGGUCAAAAAGUUGGAUUGCAAGUAGAGGGCGUGCUUCAACUAGGAGCGAAGAAACAAAAAGAUGGUCAGUGUUGGUUGUAAGCCAAAGGUGAACUUCCCAACAUAGGCGAGGAAAAACUUUGAGCCAAUUUGUGAAUUGGUAGUAGACUUGCAAUUAAGAUGAAUACAAACUAUGGUCCUAAUUACAAGUCGAGGGUGGACUUGCAACUGUAAAAACUACGAGCCUGUUCAUGAGUCCAGGUUGGGCUUGCAAUUGGGAAAAAAACUACAAGCCCAAUUGCGAACUCAGGGUGGAGUUACAAUUGAAAUGAAAACAAACUAUGGGCCAAGUUGCAUCUCAAGCAUGGACUUGCGACUCAGAUAACUACACAAAAGUAUUAAAAAAUCUUGGAGCCCAAUUGCAAGUCGAUGAUAGACUUGCAACUAGGGCGACCUACUCACCAAAACAAGGGUGGACUUGUAACCAAGGCAACAAAGAAAAAGGUGAAACAAAGUUGAUUGUAAGUUGAGGGUGGGCUUGCAAUUAGGAUCAAAGAAAUAAAAAGAGUUGGUUCUAGUUAUAAGCCAAAGGUGGAGUUGCAAAACUAAGGAUAUAAUUAAAAAUUUGAGCCCAUUUGCAAGUUAAUGGUGGACUUGCAGCUAGGAUGAAAAAACUUCGGGCCGAGUUGUGACACUAGUAGAAAACAGGGCUACCGUUCGGCCCUCGCCAACCCAUUAGUCCCGGUUCUUCAAGAACCGGGACCAAUGGGGGGUAUUAGACCUGGUUCGUGAGCCCAGGGGGCCGGCCGGGGCCUCGUGGGCAUUGGUCCCGGUUCGUGUGGAACCAUUUGUCCCGGUUCGAGCCACGAACCGGGACCAAUGGUCCUCGCUGCUGGCCCACAACCAUUAGUCCCAGUUCAUGCCACGAACCAGGACAAAUAACUUGCCUACAUAUAUACCCACCGCCGCGGCAGAGCACUCCACAGUGCUCUAUUUUUGUCGAGCCGGCGAGGGAAGGGCAUUUGGGUGCUCUAGUUCACCUCCUAUGCACAUGAGGUGUUCGAUGAAAUGCCCGAGCCACACUAGUUAAGCUUUCUCCUCUCGAAACUCAACCUCCGAGCUCCAUUUUCAACGAGACUUGUCUAGAUUUAGCGGUCCGUCAUGCCUCGUCCCCGCCCCGUCUUCACCGUCGUCGAUCGCCCGCGCCGAUCUCGUCGCCGACACCACCGUGGUGAGCCUCUUAUUCUUAUCUUCUUUCUGAAAGAAAAAAAAAUUCUGACUUCAGAUAGAUACUUGUCUAAUUUUCUUACUUUUAUUAUUCCUUGUUAUUAUAUAGUGCGAUGGUUUUGGUAUCCGCCCCCGUCGGCCCUCGUCGUGUCUAUGAUUCAGAUGUGGUAUAUAUUAUCUUUUCAUAACUAUUUGGUUCAUUUAUUGUUUAUGACAAUUAUGAUGACCAACGUGGCAUAUAUUUUUAAUCUAGGAGGUAUGUGAACCGGAAAUUCCAACCCACCUAGAAAUGCUUCUCGAGAAGUUAACUUUGGUUGAAAAAGAAAACAAAUACUUGAAGGAAAAAUUGAAAAUAAUUGAGGAUAAGAAUAUGGAAAUGGAGUUGCAUGUUGCCGAGGUCAUUGACGAUCGCAAGAUGAAGAUCGAUGCGAUGCGGUUGAAGAUGGAUGCAAUGCGCUUGAAGAUGGAUGAAAUGCGCUUGAAGAUUAGGAAUAUUAGAUAAUAUGUCAUUGAUAAAGAGGCUUGCUAUCAUUAUGCUGUUGGGUCAAUUGAUACCUUACUUGCGAUUUUGAUCGCGUUUGUUGUUGCAUUUAAAUGUUUUACAUAGUUGUAUGUUGUUUUAUGAGAGAACUUUAUGUAUUUAUUUUUCAAUAAUAACAUUUGAUCACUAUUGUGCUUUGGUUUUAAUGUGAUGAUAACCUUGUAUUAAUUUGGUCGUUUCUCUAUUCGUUUUGUUCUGCAAUGGUUUUUUAUAUAUACUUAAUCUCAUAAUAGAGAUGAACCGCCAAUGGAUGUACGGUGACCGACGCAUUUUCGAGUACAUUACGAACCGGGACUAAUGCCCGAGUCAAAAAGGGUUGUAAAUUGAUGAUGUGGCUUUGAAUGGUGCAUUUUGAACNNNNNNNNNNNNNNNNNNNNNNNNNNNNNNNNNNNNNNNNNNNNNNNNNNNNNNNNNNNNNNNNNNNNNNNNNNNNNNNNNNNNNNNNNNNNNNNNNNNNNNNNNNNNNNNNNNNNCAAAUAAGUUCAAAAAAAUGAAAUCCCUUUGUAACAAACGAGUUUCCGUAUGAAACUCUGAUACUUCGAAAGAGAUUGUCCGUUUUCUACACGAAGUGCAUCCAGUUUUUGCCGUAACCCUCUCAACUUUCUCGCACAUGCUAUGUGGGUGAAAUGAUGAUACCAUGCCAACUUGGAACCUUUUCAGAGUUCAUUUCAAAUGCUUUUCAAUUUCAUGGUCUUAUAGCUCAAAAUAAUCAGUAAAUGCAUGAAAAAUAACAAAUAAAGUCAGAAAGGGUUGUCAAUUGAUGAUGUGGCUUUGAAUGGUGCAUUUUGAACACAGAAAAACUAUGGAGUUCAAAUAAGUUCAAAAAAAUGAAAUCCCUUUGUAACAGACGAGUUUCCGUAUGAAACCCUGAUACUUCGAAAGAGAUUGUCCGUUUGUACACGAAGUGCAUCCAGUUUUUGCCGUAACCCUCUCAACUUUCUCGCACAUGCUAUGUGGGUGAAAUGAUGAUACCAUGCCAACUUGGAACCUUAUCAGAGUUCAUUUCAAAUGUUUUUCAAUUUCAUGGUCUUAUAGCUCAUAAUAAUCAGUAAAUGCAUGAAAAAUGACAAAUGAAUUCAGAAAGGGUUGUAAAUUGAUGAUGUGGCUUUGAAUGGUGCAUUUUGAACACAGAAAAACUAUGGAGUUCAAAUAAGUUCAAAAAAAUGAAAUCCCUUUGUAACACACGAGUUUCCGGGUCUAAAGAUCCAGCGAAACCACGUGGCGUGACGCGCAAACACAUGGCGUGCCGCAUAUGUUAUUAGUCCCGGUUCGGGACAAAAAUCGGGACUAAAGAUCAAGCGAAACCACGUGGCGUGCCGCGCAAACACGUGGCAUGCCGCAUAUGUUAUUAGUCCCGGUUUUAGAUACGAACCAGGACUAAAGGAUUGCCUAUAUAAAACCUCCCCCUCCCACCCCUCUCUUGUGUUUUUGGGUGUUGAGGUGUGAGCAUGCAUGCCAUGCUCUUGCCACUCUAGCUCAUGCAUAUGAGAGAAGAAGAAUGUCGGCUGUUGUUAUGGGAGUCGCUCUUCCUUCUUCUCCUUGUACUAGAUAUUUGUUAUGCAUUAGGGGAAGAAGGAAUAGCGACCAUCAUCGACGGUCGAAAAAUCAGGUGAGGGAGUGUCCACCAUAUAUGAGAGAAACUUUAAUAGCAAAAAGAAUUAUCAUAAAAUAAAAUUAAUAAGUAAUUAUAAACAAAACAAAAUAAAAUAAAUAAGUAUUUUGUUGUAAGUAGAAACAAAACAAAAUAAGCUAGCUAGCACUUUGAAUUUAAGUAGAAACAAAACAAAAUAAACAAAAGAAAAAAUAAAAGAAAAAUAAUCAAUAAAUGCAACUAAAAUUAUCAAAGUAUUUUCUGUUAAAAAUCAUUAAAAGGAAAAAGAAUUUUCAUNNNNNNNNNNNNNNNNNNNNNNNNNNNNNNNNNNNNNNNNNNNNNNNNNNUGUUAGAAACUUUAAUGGCAAAAAUAAUUAUCAUGAAAUAAAAUAAAUAAGUAAUUAGAAACAAAAAAAAUAAAAAUAAUAAGUAUUUUGUUGUAAGGAGAAACAAAACAAAAUAAGCUAACUAAAAAAAUAAACAAAACUAAAAUAAAGAAAAAACAAAACUAAAAUUAAUGGAAAAAAAUUAAAAAAUAGAUGUUCUCUCCACGUUGCAGCCGCGGCGGAGCUUAUAAACAGGCUCGGAAGUCCUUCGCUUGGCGAGGUGAGACUAAACAUUCAACCACACCAUGGCUGUGGCAGACAACCGGUACCAAUGCAAAAAAGAAAUAAAAUAAAUAAAGCAAAAAAGAAAACAAAAAAAACUAGGAGANNNNNNNNNNNNNNNNNNNNNNNNNNNNNNNNNNNNNNNNNNNNNNNNNNNNNNNNNNNNNNNNNNUAGGCCGCCACGGCGUGAAUACGACUAGAAACCCAUCCAUGGGCCAGGAUUCAGGCCCGCAGUAGGCCAAGAAGGCCCAUCAGGCAAAGCAUUAGCAAGUAGGCCCGUAAGCCUGCAGCGGAGAGGAGCUCGAGAGGGGUGUGGCAGUGGGGCAUAUAAACCAGUGCGCGCCCCUCUCAACUAGCGAGGUGGGACUAAACUUUGGCCGCGACGCAGGCAGCACACGGGCCUUUGGUACCGGUUCGUGGCACCAACCGGUACCAAUGCCCACCCUUUAGUCCCGGUUGGUGCCACCAACCGGGACCAAAGGCCGCCGCUUCCCGCCCUUUGGGCUGCUGAAAANNNNNNNNNNNNNNNNNNNNNNNNNNNNNNNNNNNNNNNNNNNNNNNNNNNNNNNNNNNNNNNNNNNNNNNNNNNNNNNNNNNNNNNNNNNNNNNNNNNNNNNNNNNNNNNNNNNNNNNNNNNNNNNNNNNNNNNNNNNNNNNNNNNNNNNNNNNNNNNNNNNNNNNNNNNNNNNNNNNNNNNNNNNNNNNNNNNNNNNNNNNNNNNNNNNNNNNNNNGGCUUUGCUAUAUAAGCUAGCAGUUGUGAAAAUUUCGUCAGUUUCUUUGAUUCCUCCGACGACGCCGCCAGGCUGCCCGAGCUCGCCGUCGUCGCCCUGCCCCCGACCACGCCGUCGUUGCCCGGCCCGACCACGCCGUCGUAGCCCUUGCCCCNNNNNNNNNNNNNNNNNNNNNNNNNNNNNNNNNNNNNNNNNNNNNNNNNNNNNNNNNNNNNNNNNNNNNNNNNNNNNNNNNNNNNNNNNNNNNNNNNNNNNNNNNNNNNNNNNNNNNNNNNNNNNNNNNNNNUUGCCCCGCCCCGACCACGCCGUUGUCGCCCCUGCCCCGACCACGCCGUCGCCGUCGCCCUCUACACCGACGUCGGCGCCGUGCCUCUCCUUGGCCAGGCCAGCGCCGCCCACCCUGUCCUCUCCUUUGUUCAUAUAAAUGAUGAUUUUUUUUUUGCAUUUUUAUAAAAAUGUAUAUAUGUAUGUAUGUUCUCUAUGCAUAUAAAAGUUAUAUUUUUAGUACAUUUGGGUACAUUUUAGGUUAGUUUUAUCUAUAUAUGUUCUCUGAUUUAGUACAUUUUAGGUUAGUUUCAUUUUUAGAAAAGUUUUAUAUAUUUAGGAAAAGAAGGAAGAGAAGGAAGAAGAAGAAAAAGUUUUAUAUAUGCAAAAGUUACAUUUUUAGAAAAGUAUUAUAUAUAGCUAAGAAGAUAACGAAGAAGAAGAAAAACAAUGAGAGGAGAAAAAGGAAAAUAAGAAGAGGAAGAAAGGAGAAGAAGAGGAGAGGAAGAAGAGGAGAAAUAAAUAAGAAGAGGAAAAAAGAAGAAAAAAUUCCUUUUUUUUUCUUCUUUCUCCUCUAUUCCUUUCUUCUUCUCCUUUUUUUCUUUUUUUUUUCUUCGAUUGCUUCUCUUCUAUUCCUUUCUUCUUCUCCUCUUUUUAUUUCUUCUUUUGUCUUCUUAUAUUUUAUCGGGUAUGUCGUUGUCGAUAUACCCCCUCCCGAUCGAACUUCAACACGAGGGGGGGUACCGAUAUACCUCCUCCCCGAUAACAUUAUUUUUCCAUGUAUAUGUAUGUCGCGUCGUUGUCGAUAUAACCCCCUCCCGGAUAACUUCGACAUGAGAGGCGGUCGAUAUAUAUACCCACUCUCGACCGUGACAACUUAUACCACGGGAGCACCCCCCUCGGCCCUCUCGCUCAACCAAAACUCUCGAGGACACCCAAACCCUAGAGAAAAAAUGAUGUUGGUCUCCUACCCCCUCCCGCCGCGCCCCUACCCGACAAACUCUCUCGAGGCCACCCAAAUUUACCAAGUUAAAAGAGUGUUGUCGUCGAGGCCACCCCAAACUCUUGAAGCGUUGUGUCGAGGCCACCCCAAACCCUUGAAGCGUUGUCUAGGCCACCCCAAACCCUAGAGAAGCAGCGUCGAGGCCACUAACAUGAUUCCUUAUUUUGAUUAGCUAGCUAGUUCUACGUUUGCCACUAAUAUAUAUCCAUCUGUACCAUGUUUGAAUAAUAAUUGACAUGUUGUAAAUAUUUGCAGAAACUACGGAUCACUCCCGAGACGAAAAGGAAGAAGCGAUGUUGGGGGAGAUAAUCGCACAAGGAAGUGAUGUCAUUGCGUCGUUUCUUAGAGACACCGAUGGUCUGGAAGAACCGGGUGAAGAAGAGGGCUAUGUUCAUGAUCAUCUGGAAGGACCAGGUGAAGAAGAGGGCGUUCAUGAUGAUCUGGAAGGACCGGGUGAAGAAGAGGGCGUUCAUGACGGCUCCGUUGACCGAACCGAGUCCGGCGAGGUAUAUAUAUAUUAGUUAAGCCCGUGCUGACUAGUUAAUUGAUGCAUUCAUUGUUUUCAUAUGUACACAUAUUAAUUAACUCUCGUCUUUCUUCUUUUUUCUCUAGCCCUCCGGAUCGACCUCAACUUCGGUAAAGAAACGAGGCCCGAAGAAAAAGUUGCGCUCGGAUGAAAGGUUUGAGAUCACAGCAAUCGCGCGCGAUGGCAAGCCGAUUGAACCCAUCCGGACAAGGGAUGCAUUUCGUGCUCAGUGCGGGGUUCUUGUUAGGGACAAGAUCCCGAUCAGUAUCCAGCAAUGGUUAAAGCCAAAGAAGGAAGACCCUGAGGUGCCGACGUCUUAUGUCUCCGAUAAACAGAAAGAAGAUCUUUGGACAACGCUUAAGGAAAAUUUCACCCUACCGCCAGAGGAGGAUCCAGAGAAGCGAGUUAAAGAGGAAUUGAUCAAGUCUCAUGCUCUUAAGAAGAUGGCAGAACUAUUAAGGAGGUGGAAGAAUGAGCUGAAAACGUUUGUCGACAAAGAAGAGACACCAGAAUUCACUGGCCGGUUUGAGAAGAUCAGAGAUCAAUGGCCCGCAUUUGUGGCCCACAAGACAGCGGAAAAGAGUAAGAAGAUGUGAGCGACAAACAAGAAAAAUGUUGCGAAGAAGAAGCAUCACCAUCGCACGGGGUCAGGUGGUUACCUCAAAGCCCGACCUUUGUGGGACAAGGCUGAGAAUGACUUGAUUGCUAAAUGGGUCGAACCAGAGACAUUGAGAUGGCUACACCGUUGUCGAACUUGGUUCUUCGGGGUUGGCGGAACCUUGGACCUUGUAUCAGGGGAGUGCGUUUGGACAGAAGAGCAACUGCAAAUACCCGUCAGGAAGCUUCAGCACUAUAUCGCCGCAACACAGGAAGGGGCGUUCAUUCCAUACAGAGAGAAUGAUGAGCUCACAAUGGCCCUCGGCAAUCCUGAGCACCCUGGACGGACACGAGGCACACCAGGCUCCCUUCCCUGGAAGGUUGGGUUUCCGGACGCACGGGGUUACAAAACCCAGGAGAGGAGGAAGAAAGCGGAGCAUAGCCAACUACAGGCGCUGCAUGAAAGGGUACAAGGGCUAGAGGAACGAGAAGCAGAUCGCAGCAAACGACCUGCCGAAGCUUCCCCUGAAGCUACCCCGCCAUCUCAGCGGAGAAGCAGUGUGGCUUCCACCGAGCAGACUCAGCAGCUGGAGCCUGUCUUCACGUGCUACCCCGUGGAUGCUAUCACAGAGUCUCAACAUUGCCACCUUAUGACGCAAUGGAUGACAUUCAAAGUCAAGGCGGCUGUUGGCUCUGUUAUACCUAAUGAACCUGGCUCAACCUACCACGGCCAGCCGAUUCCAGAAGGAUAUGCUAGGGUGAUGGUGGAUCAAAUAACGGAAGGAUUUGAGGACCUUGAGCUUGACCACCCUACGGGUGAAGGGGAGAUUCGGUUGGGUUCUUCUCUGAAGACUCUAUGCCUAUGGCGGAAGGAGCUCAUCCACCUUCCGAACUGGACACUUCCGCCUCCUCCUCCGGCGAGUCAGGGCCCGCCUCCUCCUCCGCCUCCUCCGGCGAGUGAUCAGGGCACUCAACCUCCUUCUCCGGCGCGUGACGGCACUCCGCCUCCUUCUCCGCCUGCGCCGGCGCGCCCGAGCAGCCAGCUGCCUCCUCCUUCUCCGCCUCGUCAACAAGGGCUGAAGAGACCCGCCGCCGCUCCGGCUCCUCCGACGUGUAGUCCUUCUCCUCCGCCUGGUAAGAAAGGAAAGACAGUCGCAGCCGCUCCGUCUGCUCCGACGUGUAGCAAUACAGCCAGAGGCAGGAAAUACAAAUACGGUCCUUCUCUGAAGCCUCUAGAGGAGUUACCAUAUGAGAGGAGCCCGGAGGAAAACGAGAAGAUCGUGGAAGCCGAAGUGAAGAACUUCUUUGAAGGGGUGAAAGCAAAAAAAUAUCCACCUCCGGAGGAGAAGAUAUAUCCGGUAAAGGCAAAGCAUACUCUGGCUGCCCUGAAGAAACCACCAAAGUCCCCGACGAAAGGCAACUAUGAGCGCAUUAUUACAAAGUCAUUUACCGAAGCGCAGCGGUCGGGAAGUACUGUCAGUGAUCAAAGGUUAGCAGAACGACGAGCUGGGAAAAAAGUUGCCCAGCUCAGCGAACAAGCGAACCAAUCGUUCCCCCCACUCAAGGUGUCUAGCGAUAUCGUCGCUAAUCAUCCGGGGAUCUUGUUGCCCGGUACCAAUCCUGCAAAUUACCUGCCCGAUGAUGCACAUUUUGAUUUAUUGGAGGUGGACGAACACAAAUACGUGUACGGGAAGCCUCACGUCAAAGAUGAAAGAUCUCUAACAACGAUGAUGCGAAGAUUCCAUGAUUGGUACAUGAAAACUUGCAAAGAGUCUAGGGGGAGUAAUAUUUUGAUGCUGGGAGUUAGAAAGGAGCAUGACCUCGUUGGACUUGAACUGUUGAUGGUUCCAUUUGAGGAGUUCUUCCCGUUUUUCAAUCUAAAGGCCCUCGAUAAAUAAAUGAUCACUUGCUACUGCCUGUAAGUAGUACUACUUCUGUCAUUAAGUCUCUAUAUAUAGGUCACCUCUUUCAUUGCAUGUAUUUUUAAUUAUCCUCACUAUAUUAUAUGCAGAUUGAAGAUCGUCGAAUUGAAGAAAAGACAAAUCGGUGAUAUUGGGUUCAUUAACACAAAUCUCGUAGAUGCAUUUAUGAUUAAAUCUCAGGCCAAAGAUACCGAGGCCAACCUGCUACAAUCGUUUGUAUUGAAUCAAAACAAAGCUAUAAUACUCUUCCCUUAUGAAUUCCAGUGAGUGUUACUGUCUUGUGCACAUUCGGUUUCCCUUAUGUGACAGCCCGAUGCCGACGUUCCAGAAGAUUCCCUUUUCUUUCCGUUUUCGUUGUGUGGGUAUUUUCAUUUGUCGCAUCAUCAUCGCAUCAUUCACAUCAUCUGCAUUGCAUCGGCGUCUCCGUUGCCGCCCGUUUUCAAAACUUGCAUUCGUUAGUAGUUGCCGGUUCUCGUCGUUGUCCAUUCUGAGUCCAACCGCACUCGCACGCGCCCGCGGCAUCGUUCGAAACCCUGUUUUAAAAGUGUGUUUAAAACUUUCUCUGAUCGGGGUGAAACUUGGCAUGCGGUCAUAAUUAGUUAUAGCUAGGCCGCCUGUCGAGUUUCGUCGCGAUCGCAGACCGUCUGCUACCCGAACGGUCGUCCGUAGCGGCACCGUAUUCGGUCUACCGUCGGACGUUUGUCAGUGUUUUAGAAAUCGUUGCCGCGCCGCCCGUUCUCCCUCUCGUCUCCGGAUAUCCCCUCUACACGGCCGUGUACCCAUACCCGCGUUCGGAAUCGUCCGAAUCCGACCCUGCGGUUGGAUCCGGAACGAAAUUCCGGGUAAUCUAGCCCCCCAUAUGUCUAUAAAUACCCCUAGUGCAUUUUAGACAGCCCCCUCACCCCCUGUGCCUUGAAAUCCGUGCAGCCCCGAAACCCUAACCCUGAGCCCCUCUUCCUCCUCCAGCCACCAGCCCAUGGGGCCCGAUCUGAGCCCGCCCGAGCCCAUCCGCCGCCGCCGCUCGCAUGCGCCCCCUGCUCCCAUCGCGACCUCCUCCUGUAGCGUGUUGCUGAACCCCCUGCCGCACCUCCCCGCCGGCCGCCGUCGGGUGCGCAGCCCAGGAUCCUCGCCGCCGCGGCCCCGCCAGCGCGCUGCCGCCUGCCCAGUUCUCGCCGUCGUUGCUGCUCUCCUCGCCGCCUGCCAGCGCCGCCUCAAACCCCCGGGGAUGGACGGAUCCGGAGCUCCCCGUCAUGGAUCCGGCCUCCCCCGCCUUCCCCCUCGCCGGAAGCUAUGUCGCCGGCCGCCGCGACAGCUCCAGCGCCACCGUCCGUCGCCAGCGGUUGCCCUGGCCUGGGCCGCACCAGCUCCCUCGGCCCAGUGGCCAACUCCUUCGCCCCAGGCCCAGGCUUCGGCCUCACCCGCGGCCCACCUCCAGCUUCGGCAGCCAGGCCGGCUGCCUUCCACUGCGCCCCUCCAGCCCAAGAGCCCCCCCCGAGGUGAGAUCCAUCCCGCGCCCUUGGCGCUAUUUACUAAAUUGCGCCUCCAGAUUCGGCCCUUUUGCAUUUAGGAUAUUUCUAUGAUUAAAUAAUUUCAGGAAUUAAUAGAUAUUUAAAACAUCCGUAUCUUUUAAUCCGUAAGUCGGAACCAAGCGUGUAAUAUAUGGUUUUCGCGUAGUUUUACUUGUAGAUUACGUUUGUGCACCUUGCGUAUUUGUUCGAUUUAGUUUAGCGUGCCAAAUGCAUUGUUUACCGUGCUGUCUAUGUAGGAUAGACGCCGUAUUUGUUUUUCGCGCUAGACCGUAUUGUCCGAAUGCCGUUUUAGAAAUGCCCAUAUUUUAGGGACUAAUUUGCCAUGUAUUUUAGAGUGGUCACACNNNNNNNNNNNNNNNNNNNNNNNNNNNNNNNNNNNNNNNNNGUGUAGGGAUUUGCCGCUAGAUUAUUUCCCGUGCUUAGGACAAUGUCUCGCAUUUACGUGUGGUAUUAUUUUUGUUGCGCAACCCCACAUAUUUUAUAUGCUUUCGGAGUAGAAAAAUCCAUGGAAUUUUUCUGUGCAACUAGUUUUAGCAUUAGAGCAAGUUGGUUCGCACGAUAUUUUGCCGUGAUGCCCUUUUGUUUAAUUCGUAGGAUUUAUUUUGUGCUCCGUUUGAUUAAGUUGUCAACUAGGGAGUUGUUCUUGGGUGUUUGGUCUAGCCCCUGGUAUUUUGGUUGCAAUAGAAAUGCAUGUUUAGGUGUGUUUUGAUUGCCCUCAAGUUGCUAGAAAUAGUGCUGUUUUGGACGUGCUGAAAUAUUUCUAAGUCUGGAAUCUGUUAUAUUUUGUUGCUGUCUUGUCUUGCUUCUAUCUUGAGUUGUGUAGCUCUUUUGAGGUUGGUCCAAUGGAGUUAGUUGUACCCCUUGUGUUUCUCUAGUAUGCUGUAAAGAUUCAUGCCAUUUGGAGCCCUGUAGCUAUAGGUUUUUCUGCUUUCAAUAUUGCUUCAGAUCAAAAACUGCACUUUCAUGAGGUGUAAUUUUCACUAAGUCUGAAAUAGUGUGUGAGAUGCCAUUUUGUGUCUUCUUUCNNNNNNNNNNNNNNNNNNNNNNNNNNNNNCUUUCCCUAGUGAUCCAUGUUUCCAUGCUAGUUGUUGUUAGUUGUUUGUAGUAGUGCUUCUUGCCCUCUUCCGUGGCAUGCCUUGCUUGAGUUUAUCAGAGUUGUGUAGCCCGUAGUUGUGGGGCGUAGAAAAUGCUAUGUGGCUGAUUUUGGCAGAUUGUAGUCAGUUCUUGUUUUUCUCGUAGUUUUUUGAUCCGAAGCUCCGAUUUGAUCGUGUCCUAUAUGGAACUUGCUUAGAAUCUCGUGUAGUUUCAUUUUCUCUUGCUGGUUGUAUGUUUUGAAUUGCUCGUAGGCGUCGUUGCACACAUAUUGCAUUCAUGCCAUCAUAUCUUGCGGUGCUUGUAUCUUUUGAACCGUAGCUCCGUUGGAGAUGUUCUUUAUGUGUAGGUUGCUUGAAAUGACGCGUAGAAUCACGUGAACCACUUUGUUUUGCCGUUUAACAAACCUAAAACGUGAUUAGGACAAAUCUGGACAGAAUUAAGAUUUAACAUGUGGGGUCAUAUUGGAGAUGCUAUAUAUCGUUUCCGGUCUCAUUUAAAGUGCCUAGCUAGGUAGAUUAAUUUGUGCUUCACCCUCGUGCCAUGUUUAACAACAUUUAAUAUAGCCGUGUACAUGAACGGGAGUGAACUAAAUAAUUAAAUGUGGAGUUUCGUCGAUAUGCAAAGUUUCACUUAAUGUGUAGUGUGCGAUUGUUGUGAUUGUCAUGCCUCGCAUUAGACCGUUCAUGCAUCAUAUGUGUCUUGCAUCGUGUGGUGUAUAUGCGUGUUGAUGCUUGUUUCCGGUUUGCUCCGUCUCGAUAGAGUUCCGCAAGCGUUUCGGAAUGUGAGGACCCGUUCGACUAUGUUGGUUCGCCGACUUCACGGAGUCACUCUUCUUCCAAGCGGGAUCUCAGGCAAGAUGAUCAUUUCCCCAGAUACUAUUACUAUCAUUGCCAUGCUAGUUUUUACCGUUGCUACCGUUUAUGUCUCGUUGCCUACCACAUGUUAAAUAUCAGCCUCUCAUCAAUGCCAUGAUUACCUUCAACCUGUUCAACCUAGCAAACCACUGAUUGGCUAUGUUACUGCUUGCUUAACCCUGUGUUAGCGUUGCUAGUUGCAGAUGCAGAUGCUUCCAUGUGAUAACAUGGGUUCCUUGUCUUAUCACCAUACUUAAUGCUAUUUAAUUUAAUGCACCUAUAUACUUGGUAAAAGGUGGAAGGCUCGGCCUUUCUAGCCUGGUGUUUUGUUCCACCUUUGCCCACUUAGUUUCCGGCUACCGGUGUUAUGUUCCAUAAAUGAGCGCUCCUAACACGAUCGGGGUUGUUAUGGGGACCCCCUUGAUAAUUCGUUUUAGAUUAAAGCUGGUCUGGCAAGGCCCAACAUUGGUACUACAUUUGCCUAAUCACCUAAUAAAAUUGCAUAGGGACUUUCCGGACCCCAAGGAUAAUUUAAUCAACCCCCCGGGCCAGUGCUCCGCAUGAGUGUUGGUCCACCCACCUAGCAGUCGGCGGUGCCACCUCGGGGCAACUCGAGGUUUGGUUCCCGUCCACUUUGCAUAAACGGUGUGUCCUGAGAACGAGAUACGCGGCUCCUAUCGGGUUCGUCGACACACCGGGUGGCCUUGUUGGAUUAGUUUUACCUUUGACGAGAUAUCUUGUGCAUCGGGAUUCCGGUGAUGCUUUGGGUAAUCUCAGAGUUGAGGUUUUCCACUAGGGAAUCUGACGAGAUCGCGAGCUUCGUGAUUGAUGAUUUCUAUGCGGCUUGUGGUAAUUUGUGAUGGACUAGUUGGAGCACCCCUGCAGGGUUAAAUCUUUUCGGAAAGCCGUGCCCGCGGUUAUGUGGCAACGUGGAAACUUUGCUUAACACUCGUUCUAGAUAACUUGAAGUUAAAUUAAUUAAAACUUGCCAACUGUGUGCGUAACCGUAACUGUCUCCUUCGUGAGUUCUUACUCCGAUCGAGGACACGGUGGGGUUAUGUCUGACGUAGGUAGGUGUUCAGGAUCAUUCUUUUGAUCAUCAGUAGACACGUCCGUUAUGCGUAGAUCUUCCCUCUCUUAUUUCUUGUACUCGUAAGUUUAGCCACCAAAUAUAUGCUUAGCCGCUGCUGCAACCUCACCACUUAACCAUACCUCACCCAUUAAGCUUUGCUAGUCUUAAUACCUUUGGAAAUGAGAUUGCUGAGUCCCCUGUGGCUCACAGAUUACUACAACACCAGUUGCAGGUACAGGUAAGGGUUACUUGACGCGAGCGCGUUGAUUGUUCAUUUGGAGUUGCUUCUUCUUCUUCUUCAUCAUCGAUCUAGGAUGGGUUCCAGGCCGGCAGCCUGGGAUAGCAAGGAUGUUCGUCGUUCUUCUUUUCUCGUUUGUUUUCGUCCGUAGUCGGACCCUGCUCUUUCUAUUGAUGAUUAUGUAAUGUACUGAUGUGACUCUGAUGUAGCUUGUGGCGAGUGUAAGCCAACUCUAUAUAUAUCUCUCUUCUUUUCAAUACAUGUACUUGUAACGAUAUCCAUUCUUGCGACACGACGAGAUGCGCUUCUAUCCCUGACGAGGCCCUCGUGCCAAAUUGAGGAUAGGGUCGCAUCUUGGGCGUGACACCUUAUUAGUCAAGGUUAUAGUAAUGUAAUUGAUGAGUUAUGCAUGCGUGCGCAGCUUUCACUAUAUUCUCCUAGAGAUUAAGCUUGAGCAGGGACUAGUAACCGUCUUAGACUCGAAACGAAAAGAUCCCGACGAGUAUGCGGACAUGACUGAAAUUCUAGAGAAGAAAGUUAAAUCGAUCAUUAUCGCACCAUAUCGGCAACUUUGUUCAUUUCCUGAUAUCAAGUAAUUGUUUUCUUUGUCUGACAGGGUUUGGAAAAAAUUCACCGCAAAAACUCCGGGACUGCCGAAGAAGCUGCAAUUUAGACACCCGAAAGUAAGUACUAUAGUAGCAUGUUCCACGCAUCUCCUAGUGAUUCAAGCGCUAGUUUCAUCAAUACCAUUUAGCAUGUUUGCUAACUAUCAGUUUGAUUGAUCUCUAUUUCUUGUAAAGUGGUUGUGGCAGGAACCAGGGAAUGAUUACUGUGGAUACUACAUUUCCGAGUCCAUCCGCCACGUGACCUGUGAGCUGGGCUACUCUGACAAACAAUAUGACGUGCGUAAAUAAUAAUAUUCACAAUUUUAUUUUAUUACCAUCAUUUUUGUUCAGUUUCAUUUAUUCAUAUAUAUGUAUUGACCCCCUUCUUCAAAUUAGAUAUAUCGAAUGCGGAAUGAACUCCUACCAGCAGAUCGUAUGCGAGGAAUUCAAGAGGAAUUUGCGGCAUUCUUUCUUAACCACGUGAGCGCUAAAGACGGAGAAUAUCAUGUGAACCCUAAUGAGUUGAAUUUUAAUUAGGAGAUUAUAUUGUAAGAGAUAAUUAUAUUGUAUAUAUGUAGCCAGUAGCGUCGGAUAGAUAUACGAGAACUUGUUGUUCGACCAAUCUCUCAGAGAAGGAGAGGUGGUCGAUAUCACUUCUCUUUGUAUGCAUAUGUUCAUGACGAUUUUCUAUUUCCUUCAUUUGCUUACUAGCUAGCGUGUCUAGUCCUCUCUAUACGUAUAGUAUGCAGCGUCAACCAAGCACGGAGAUAAGAGAGGACACUUCUCUCUAUUCAUUAGCUAGCUAACACAAUAUAUGAAACACCUAAAUUAACCCCCCAAAACCCCCUUCCCCCCCCCCUUUCAAAAAAAACCCAUCACCUGAAAUGCUGACGCGUGGAUGCCUUUUAGUCCCGGUUGGUGUCACCAACCGGGACUAAAGGCCCCCCUGCCCGGGCUCGCCGCAUCGGCCACGUGGAGGCCCAUCUGUCUUGGUUCGUGUAAGAACCGAGACUAAAGGCUAAGGGCAUUAGUAACGGCCUUUUAGUCUCGGUUCCGAAACCGGGACAAAAGGCCCAUUUUCUACUAGUGUGAGUCGAGGAUGGACUUGCAACUAACACAACUACAAAGGAUUAUGAGCCUAGUUGUGAGCUGAGGGUGAACUCACAACUGAGAUGAAAGAAAAACUACAAUCCCUAAUGCGAAUUGAUGGUGGACUUACAUCUGGGAUGAAAAACAAACUAUGAGCCUAGUUGUGAGUCGAGGGUGGACUUGCAUCUCGCACAAUUACACAACACUAUAAUACCAGUUGCGAGUCGAGGGUGGAGUUACAACUGGGAUGAAAAGAAACUAUAGAACUUGUUGGAAGUCGGAGGGUACACUUGCAACUGGGGCAACAACAAAGCUAUACGGUUAGUGCAAGUCGAGGAUGGAUUUGUGAAUGAGAAAACUACAAAACUAUGAGCCCAGUUGCGAGUAAAGGGUGGACUUGCAACUAUGAUGAAACAAACUACAAACCUAUUUGUGAGUCAUGGGCGGACUUGCAACUGGGACAAUUACAUAAAACUACGAUCAUUUGCAAGUUGAGUAUGGACUUGAAACUGGGAUGCAAACAAACUACAAACCGAGUUGCGAGUAGAGGGUGAACUUGCAAAUGGGACAAUUCAAAACUACACGAUCAAUUGUGAAUCAAGGGUGGACUUACAACUAGGACAACUACGAGCCUAGUGGUAAGUCGAGGGUGGGAUUACUACCGGGAUAAAAAUAGACUACAUGUCGAGUUGCACGUAGAGGCUGAACUUGCAGUUCGGGUGACAAACAAACUAUGGACCCAAUUGCGUGUCGAGGGUGGAGUUGUAAUUGGGACAACCACACAAAACUCCUAUUCAAAAGCUUGGAGGCCAAUUGCAAGUCGGUGGUGGAUUUGCAACUCAGGUGAAGAAUAAAAAAUGGUAGCCUAGUCACAAAAAAUGAGGAUUGACUUGUAAUUAAGGCAACAUGAGAGGUCAAAAUAAGCCUGAUUACAAGUAGAUCACGGGCUUGUAAUUAGGAGCAAAGAAAUGGAAAAAGGGCCGAUGCUAGUUGUAAGACGAGGGUGGACUUUCAAACUGAGGUGGCAAAAAAAACUUUGAGCCCAUUUGCAAGUUGAGCGUGGAGUUGUAGCAGGAUGAAAACAAACUGCAAGCCGAGUUGCGUGUUUAGGGUGGGCUUGCAACUGGGACAACUCAAAACUAGAAGACCAGUUGUGAGUCAAGAGUCGACUUGCAACUGGGACAACUAUGAGCCUAGUUGUGAGUCUAGGAUGGACGUGCAACUCGGAGGAAAACAAACUACAAUCCCAUCUGUGAGUCAAGGAUGAACAUUUAACUAGGAUGAAAAACAAACGGGAUGGACUUGCAACUGGGACAACUACACAAAAAUAUGAUAUCACUUGCAAGUCGAGGGUGGACUUUCAAGUGGGAUGAAUACAAAGUAUAUGCGGAGUUGCGAGUCGAGGGGUGGACUUGCAACUGAGACUACAACAAAACUACAAACCCAACUGCAAGUCGAGAGUGGACUUGCAGCUAACUAUGAGCCGAGUUGUCGGUCAAGGGUGUACUUGCAAUUGGUAUGAAACAAACUAGGCCUAGUUGCGAGUUAAGGGUGGACUUGCAAUUGGGACAACUACAUCAAAAUUAUAAUACCAUUUCCAGCUGAAGGGUCGGUUUACAAUUGGGACAACAACAAACUAAGAGCCCAAUUGCGAGUCAAGCAUUGCCUUGAAACUAGGAUGAAAAAACACAUGCACAGUUGUGAGUCGACAAUGGGCUUGCAAUUGGGGCAAACUACGAUCCCAUUUGCGAGUCAAGGAUGGGCUUGCAACUCGGAUAAUUAAAAAACUAUGAGCCCAGUUGCAAGUCAAGGCUUGACUUGCAAUUGGGAUGAGACAAACUAUGUGCCUAGCUGUGAGUCAAGGGUGGACCUGCAACUCGGAUAAAAAACACAUGCUCACGUUUGUGACUCGAGGAUUGGCUUGCAACUCAGAAUCUACGAGCCCAUUUGUAAGUUGAUGGUAGACUUGCAACUAGGACAACUAAAAAGUUAUGAGCCCAGUUGCGAGUCAAGGAUUGACUGGCAACUGGGAUGAAACAAAUGAUAGGCCCAGUUGCUAGUUAAGGGUGGACUUGCAACUAGGAUGAAAAGACAAACAUAUGCUCCAGUUGCAAGUCAAGGAGUGAACUUGUAACUCGGACAACUAUGAGCCCCGUUGCGAGUCGAGGAUGGACUCCCAACUAGGACAACUAGGAAUCUACAUGCCGAGUUGUGAGUCAAGGGUCGACUUGCAACUUGGAUGAACAAACUACAAGCCCAGUUGCAAGUCCAGGAUGAACUUGCAACUUCAAUGAAAAACAAAACGCAGGCAAAAUACUAGGGGCUAAGGUCGGCCAGUAAGACGAUGGGGGACUAGCAACUCUGAUGAAAAACAAACCACAAGCCCAGUUGCUAGUCAAGCAUGGUCUUGCAACUGGAAUGAAACAAACUACGUGCUCUAAUGCGAGUCAAUGGAGGAUUUGCAACUAGAAUCACUACACAAAACUACGGGCUACAAGUUAGUAGUUGGGUGAUGGACUUGGAAGAGAUGGGGACGAAACUCAAGAACAAAACUCGUCCCACAUGUGGAUGUUGAACUCACCAGGUUUCGCAUCUUGGCAAAAGUUCCCUCAAACAUCCAUGAUACAUGUUUUACGGAAACAUAUGAUGUACUUGGUCACAUGGAUAGAACUCCAAAAAUAAGUCAACUUCAAAAACAUAAGAAAAAAGCUUAAUUUCUGCAAACAAGAACUACAAACAACCCCGUAUCUGAAGAAUAGCAUAUGUAGUUGUGGCAAAAAUAAGUAGAUCUAAAAAAUCACAAGGUCCACGUAAAAGAAAGUAGUUGGUUGCGCAUUAAACAGAUAACAAAACUAAAUUAGAUCUACCAUGUAGACCCAAAUAAUCUGCUCUAUAACUUGAAAACACAACACACACAAACUCCUGCUUAUAAGAACAAUAAGGCAUUCAUACAUUCUCCUCAUUGAUCUUAACUCUACAUAUUUCUACCCUUCAUCUAGACAAAAAGAACCUAAAUCUGCUCCCAUUAUAUAAAAGGCUCUCGUGUGGGUGGACUCAUACAAAUUCUUCAUCAAGCCACAAAAAAUGUACAGUGAAAAUAAACAAAAAUACCCCCCCCCCCCAAACGACGACAUAUAUGAGCCCAUGUGAAAAAAUGCGAGAACCGACAGAUACAAACGGGGCAAAAGGGCGUGCGGCAAAAAAGAGCGAGCCGAUAUGCACGUAUGAUUGAGUUUGUGCAAACAGUAAAGCAAACAUAUUGGAUGGUUAUAGACUUCUUGCACAAGACAUCACUACGAUUAGCAAAUCCCAAUAGGAAAACAGUCUAGUUACACUCUUCUCUAACUACACAAUCGAACCAAAAAUGAAAUAAAAACCAGGGAAUAAAAUGACACGUGGUACUCCACUAAAAAAUAUAGCCCAAAAAUUAUACUCAAGACACAAACGUAAAAACCGGCUCACUAAAGGUCAUAUCGGGCCUCACUCCUUUACAUGGGAUGAACAGAAAAUAUGACACAAACAAUGGUACGACUCUUUUUUUUUUUUUGCAAAGAGCAAUCACGACUUAUAAGUGCAUAUAAGUAAUGGUAUACAAGUUAGAUGACACUGUCAACUCUCAGCUACUCCCUCUGUUCCUAAAUAUAAGUCUUUUUAGACAUUUCACUAAUAGACUACAUACGGAUGUAUAUAGACAUAUUUUAUAAUGUAGAUUCACUAAUUUUGUUUCUUAUGUAGACUUCUAGUAAAAUCUUUUAAAAGACUUAUAUUUAGAAACGGAGGGUGUAGAUGAGAAUUAUAGUAAAACCAAUACGAAACAGGAUUCCAAGACCGCGCCGUGGAAACGACCCAACAUAAGACGCACCCACGAACAAGUCAACAAGUAGACACAAGAGUACAAGACACACACGGAACGUGCAUGACAAAAGGAACUCGAAAUACAGAUUUGCACAACAUUUUAAGUUAAAAGAUGAAAGAGUGAAAAAGUUUCAUGAAUUAACACAAAUAAAUAAAUAAGGAAUAAAUGGAAUAGAAAAAAGAAAAAUAAACGAUAGAAUAGAGAAAAUAAAUAUAACUAUAAAAAAACAAAAAUAUGAAUUUAAAAUUGUUCAUAAUUCAAAAUAAAUAAUGAGAUAGAGAAAGUAAAAUAAAAAGAAAACAGAAACAAAAAAUCAAAUAUAUGGCGUGGAAUGGAAGUGAGAAAAACAAAACAAAAACUUGAACCGAAUCAUAGCACAAACUUGAAAGGAAAAGAAAAACGCAGUCGGCCGUCAAAAGAACAAAAGCCGAUAAUAAAAUGGGCCCAGACCUAGACAAGGGGCACAUCCCUGAGCGGACAUGCGAACAAAAAAUAGCCCAACUCGAGAGACACAUCGACAUGUUAUUUAUGAGUUGCGCAUAUGCCUAAAAAGUUUAUCAAUUGCACAAAUCUUAUAACAAUUUGAUCCUGUGGUUGGAGACUUAUAUGUGAGGUAAGUAUAUUACAUUUAGAUAUAUGAAAUCGCAAUCCCUAAAAUUUAAGGCCUGCCUCAGACGUUUGUAAAUUUGCUGGUUGGAAUUUCAUAAAAUGUUCCCGUUUUUAGAAAAAGUGUUCAUGAUUUUAAAAAAUAUCAUGCUUUUCUAGAAUAUUUCAAUUUUUUCGAAAACCAAUCUCAAAUUAAAAAAGUGUCCGCGUUUCAUAAAACACACAGUUUUUUGAAUGCAUGCAAUUUUUCAAAAAUAAUUCAGAGCUGCCCUGCGUGCUGGUUAUUAAUAUUUGAUGCUGCUAAUUAAUAAGAAACACUUGUUAGCUCAGCCGGCUGUAGAGCAUGGUUCGACCGGAUUUUGAUUUGAUGGUUCAUUUCGUCUGACCUUGAUAAAUUCAAAGUUUAAAAUGGAUUUUUUCGACAGAAAACACAGCUAAUAAUGGAAAACUUUGCAUUACUGUACUAUGCGGCCUACACGUGUACGGUUGUCCGUUGCCUUGCGCGGGUUGCCAUGCACGAGCAAGACGACCCCCCGCGGUGCUCGUUUUAAGAAGCCACCAGCAGCAGCUGGAGCCCGUCCCAAGUCCCCAAUCCCAACUGUCGCCGGACGGAAGGCCACCAAAAAGCCGGUACUUUCAACAGCAGAUCCAAGAGGAGAGGACCAAGCAAAGGCGUACAGCACCCGGAGCCCCCGCAUCUCGAUCGGAACAACCAGCGCGGCUACACCGUCUGUACCCUUCAUAGUACUACCACAUCGUACUGGAGUAGCUGGCACUGGCAGUUCCUUCUCAGUCUCGGGAUUUGGAGCAACUACGGCGGGAUCUCCAGCUGCUCGCCCUCCAGUGAUUGGCAUCAGUGGCUCCCCAUGUGGCAUGCUCCCCGCCGCGCUCCAGCUUAGCUAGCUAACACGUAGUACCACGGUCGGUAGGAGCACAGUGCUCGCUGCUGCUGCCAAUACCGGCGGCACGACGUGAAUGCCCCCAGCUGCGCGCGCACAUAGGCAGAAGGCUGGAAGAACCAUCGGUCUCGGACGGACGCGCCGCUCAAGCUAGAAGAACCCGUGGGCCUUGUCCCGUUCCUGUCCUCCCCAUUUCUCCUCGUCUCCUCGAACCGCUCCUCCUACCUACUCCAUUGUUUAGACAGCGCUACAGCAGCAUCGUGUGACCGGGUACCGGAGCCCGGAGCUACACACGUAGCGCCUGCAGGUGGAUGUCGGUCGGGGUUCGGAACAUGCAUGCAUGGGGGCGUUGUACUGUACUCCUACUCCUACUCCUACACCUACUCCUACAUGUGUGCGUGCAUGUGGGAGGUAAGGUUCGGGUUCACUUCAGCGUACGUUUUGGCUGGUCAUGUGGGAGCAGAGCAUCUGCAGCUCUCCCCUUGCGAGUGACCGACCGACCGACCUGCUAGCUAGCUAGUACUCCACUGCAAGCGGUGUGCUGGUGCGGUGGCGGGUUGCGCGGGCGCGCGCUAGCUGCCGGUGUGGUGGUGGCCACGUACGCACGCACGCACGUACGAUCCAUGGGAUGGAAUCUAAGGUGAGCGUUGGCGUUGCUCGCACUUCGUCGGUUGGAGGACGGACGACGAUCCGCACAAUAUAUAUAUUGUUAGUCCGUGUGAGUGUGAUCCCAAACGUGGCCCUAUCAACUUGGUCACGUGGCGCCGUGGAUCCAUCGCGUUAUAGUACAAGGCCCUGAUAUGCAUGGAAACAUCCUGAAGAAGAAAAGAUACGCGGUAUCCCAUCCUCGAGCUCUGUUCAAAAUGAAGUGUUCCUUGUUACAAGCAAAUACUCCUAGAACCGUAGAAGUACAGUUGGAGUCGAGCGCAAUGGACAUGAUUACACGAAGACGGACGGGGAGCAAAAUAAAAGCUAAGCGAGAACAUUUUUUCCUUGAUGAAGGGCGUUGAUAUAGCCUAGAAGGAUUUGCAUAUUUGGCCUCUCAUAGCUAAAAAUACGCAUAACCAAUACAAACACAUACACACCACAAACAUCACGCCGGCAAAGAGAAAACCUAUAGAAGGUCAAAGCUAUAUUUAGCCGGUAACGAGGAUAACCUAGUAUAGUGAUCGAGUUAUUGCUUCACAAGGAUACCAGAAGUCCCGCCUCGAGUUUUGUUAGAUCGUGAAGCAAAGGAAACGGUGUACGGGAACUGAAGGUUCACUCCAUAUCGAUUCAUGUAAGUGUACAGGUCAAUACCGAUGUCCAGAUCCUGCUACUAUCAUUGAAUGGAAUAGUUCAAGGUCAUAUCUUCGUUUUAUACCAAACCUGCACGAUCACACGCCUAAGUAUUAUAGAUUUAUUGAUUGUUAGAAGUGGUAGGAGCUUAAUUAUUAGCGAGAGCGCUCGAGGCGGAAUGGAGGGGGCGACCACGGUGACCGUGGCGACCUUCCACUCCCGGGAGCGGGCGGAGGCCCCAUGGCCGGGCGGCCGCUUUUGGGUUUUGGCCGGAGACGGAGAGGAAGAUGAGGCCGAGGGUGGAAAGGUCGUUGCGACGGCGGAGGUACCCUCGCCAUCAACAUCUGACAUUGUUGGUGAGUUUUUUCAGGACGGAUCGGAUGAGGAAUUGGCCGGAUAUGCGGAUGCGGCGGUACCGACGGACGUUCAGGUGUGGCGAGGGAGUCCGACGGACAUGGUAGAGGUGGCGCAGGUGCCGGUUCACCGGACGAAGGCGGCGGCGGCGGUCCGGCCAUGGAUAGAACCGAUUCCUAAGGUAUGGCUGCCGAAACUGACUGUCUCAGAUUGCAUUUUACCCUCGUCUUGGCAUACGGUGCGCUGUAAGAAGAAGAAGAAGCACUAGUGGAAGAUGGGUCUUUCGGCGGUCGGAAAAACAAAUGACCAUUAGCCCCGGGUCCAAGUAAAACCGGGACCAAUGCCAGGCAUCGGUCCCGGUUCAAUUUGCCAGGGCAUUGGUCCCGGUUCAUUUCGUUUUAUUAGUCCCGGUUCGGGGCAAAAACCGGGACUAAAGAUCCAGCGACUGCCACGUGGCGUGCCGCGAAGCAGUAGUCCCGGUUUGUGGCCAGAACCGGGACUAAAUGGUGCGCUAUUAGUCCCGGUUUUAGACAAAAACCGGAACUAAAGUGCUGCCUAUAUAUACCCUCGUCCCUGCCACCCUCUCCUAUGUUUUUUGGUUGUUGAGGUGUGCAUGUCAUCCUUCUAGUUCAUGCACAUGAAAUGUUUGAUGAAAUGCCCCAGCAAGACUACUUAAGUUUUCUCCUCUCCAAACUCGACCUCCAAGCUCCAUUUUUCUCAAUACUUGUCUAGGUUUCGCCGUGCACCAACUACACAAGUGUUCUAAAAAGUUAGCUACUUCAUACUUUCAUCUCUCACUGCUAGUUUAGCUCAUUUCAAAUGCUCUAGAGGUAGAAUGGUUUGUGGGUUUUAGUGUAGGAGUGUAUGUGGGAGUUAUUUUGUUUUAGAUGCAAAAUUUGAGCUUAAAUUAACUUCUUAGAGUCUGCACAUGUAUAGGGUGUCGUCACGUGCCCGUCUUCACCGUUGUCGAUCGCCCGCGCCGAUCUCGUCGCGAGCACCACCGUGGUGAGCCUCUUAUUCUUGUCUUCUUUUUAAAAGAAAAAAUUUCUUACUUGCAUGAUUUAGAUAGAUACUUGUAUAAAUUACUUACUUUCAUUAUUUUUUGUUAUUAUAUAGUGCGAUGGUUUUGGUAUCCGCCUCCGUCGGUCCUCGUCGUGUCUAUGAUUCGGAUGUUGUAUAUAUUAUCUUUUAUAACUACUAGUACAAAUGCCCGUGCGUUGCACCGGGCAAGAAAAAAAUGUUGGUAGUAAACGUCAUGACAAUCUCAACCAAUACAUAGGACCAUAAUCAAGCACAUAAUAUUGUUAAAGAGUACAUGUCUAGAUUCCGUUGUAAGCUAGAAACUGAAUGUCAUUUACAACCAACUAUUUAUUUGCAUCUAGUACAAAUGUCGUGCGUUGCAUCCAGUAAGAAAAAAGUACCCAACCUGCUUGUUGUGCCAUUAUGCGGUAUUAAUUGUAAUAAAUGUGUAUAAUAAUGUUAAAUGUUCGCGGUUCUAAUGUGUUCCAAAAUAAAAAUUCAAGAUUUUUUAAAAGAGAAACAUUUUUGUUGUGAUAUAUUACAGUUUAUUUGUAUUUUUUUGCAUUUUUUAAUGCAUAUACAUCCCUCACGCACUCAAGGAGACAAAAAUCUGAAGCCCAUAUUUGUCAAAAAAACCUGAACCAGUGCAGUGCUUGAUGCGAAUCUCAUAUUUGUGGAAAUAAAAUAAUAAAAGCACUUCAAUUGCCAGUAAAUAACAUGAUAAUUUGAACCAAUACAUAGGACCACCAUCAAGCAUAGAAUACUGUUAAAGAGUACAUGUCUAGAUUUCGUUGUAAGCUAGAAACUGAAAGUCAUUUACAAUCAGCUAUAUGUAAUUGACCCAGCUGGUCUAUAUCCAAUGAAUUAUGAGAAACCCUUUCAUUUGGUAGUUAUCUAAAACUACCACCAGAGAUGCCAUCCAACAGCUAGCCAAUAGCGGAGCUUCUUUUUUCAGAAAUAGCAUGCGCGUCCUGUUUGAGCAAGUAGAAGUUAGUACGAGCAAACAAUCAAUCUUGAAAAAAGAAUUUGUUAUUGCAAAAUCUUCCAAAUCGUACUAUAUUUACCAGAUUUAAAUUGAAUUUUCCUGAUAACUGAUGAAUACAAGUACAUCGGCAGGCAUGUUAUCUUCACAUUCAUUGUCCCUGAAUGUUAAUAGUUGACCCAAAAUUAGUUUUCUGAGUUUAUAUCCAUCCUGUACAACCAUUAUUUUUGUAAACGAAUGGCAUCAAAAUUAGAUGUGUCAUUAUAAUAUUAAAUGAUCUAUACGGUUGCGAUAUUUACCGUUAUAAAUGGCAAAUGUGGUCUUUCAUCUUCCCAUGUGGACAUGAACAGGGGAACAAUAUAACCAGAAAGUUCCCUUAUAUAUUUCAUAAUACAUAUGUUAGUAAUUUAAAUUUAAAUUCAUUUUCAAAACAACAAAUACUCAUUAUAUAAUAUUCAUCUAUUCAAAAAUACCUGUUGUAAACAGGAAUAUCAUCUAGGAUUUUUUGAUGCCAUAGGAGAAUAUUCUCGUUCCAUUUAGACCGAGGGCAUGUUUUUGACAUUGCUUUUGGUAAGUGUUCUGCAAUCCAUAUAAUUUCGUGCACAUAUUUUGCGAGUGGGUUGCAUCUGUAAAUGGGAUUAAUUGGAGCAGGGUCCAAAAUAUACAUUGUUCUGGUCUCUUUGUCCAAUGUGAAUAGAAUGAAAUCAUUGUUGGAUUGUACUGGAAUAUGGAUCUGAAAUAGGAUAUAUACAUUAUAGGUGUAAUAAUAAAAAAUUGUAAUGUGAAUAGAACAAAAUAAUUAUUCGAUUGUACUGGAAUAUUGAUCUGAGAUAGGAUACAUAUAUUAGACGUAAUAAAAUGUAUGGUCCAAAGUAUAAAGAAGCGUUCUCACCGAUUUGCAGUUUGAAACAUUAUAUUUGAUACCACGCCAACUACAAACAGAAUUUGCUAGUUGUUCCACAUCUAACUUUUUACGAAAAUCUGGGUGUCGUCCAAAAUCAGUAGUAAUCUAGUACAUAAAAAUAAUUGGUUAGAAAGGUGAUUAAAAAAUUAAGAAUAUAGAAAAAAAGGAAAUAAUGAAUUUAAUAACAUACCCAAAAUUUCAUAUCAAGAUAAUGCUUCAUUAUCAACCGAUUAGUUUCUUUUGCCGUUUGGAUGUCAUCAAACAUAAUCUUCCGUACAACCAAAUUAAAGCAAUCUCUGUCCAUUGGUAAAUCACCCUUUUAUCAUUCCUUGUAGUUUUUUGAGAGACAAACUAAUUGGAUAUGGCUUUGAACUUUGGACCCAUACUUUCCUGAUGAUGAUAGCAAUUGAGAAAAUAUAAGAUAAUAAACCAUUAAGAAAAUAAGUUGUUAUACAAUUGCAUUACUAAUUUGAAAUGACUUACUCUAAAAUGUCGGUGUAAUUGAUUGACGUAAUGAACCUACAGAGUGCACUUGUUUACUCAUUCAAGCACAUAUUUGAAAGAAUAGAUAUCAAUGAUCUGUAUUUAUUUUCAAUAGAUACUAGGAUUUUCGGUUUUUAUUCUUUUAUAUCAUCUAGACUUUCCAAUAUUUGAAUAUCAUCAACAUCUCCCACCGUAUCAUCAUCACUUUGUUCAACGCUCGUAGUCAUAUCUGCAGUGUUUGUUUUUCAACGUAAUAGUAUGCUGGCUAAUUUAUACCUAAAAGAAGUAAUCAUCUCCUGCGCAACACAAAAAAAUAUUCGUAUAUGUUAAAAAAAUAGCAUAGUUUUUGUAAAAUUAACAUACUUCUUAUAUUGAAGAAAGAAAAUAUAUACCUGUGUAAUUGUGUAGGGUAGAGAACAACCCAUGAAAUAUUCCAUAAAUUUGAUCAUAAACAAACCACAUGAAGAACUAUCUUUUUGAAUUGGCUUUUGUAAUUGUCCUGUGAUCUUCCAUUCAGUAAGAUCAACGUCUUUCCAAUCAUCACUUACCAAGUUAUGACUUUUAAGGUGGUCCAAAUGAAAUUGUAUUCCUCGUAGCUAAAAAAGAAAUAGUUAUCAGAAAUGAUACACAUUAGCGAACAAUGAAUGUAUGUCAUUUACAUAUAGUAAUUAAAUUGGUGUUGUAACUAACCGUAAUAGCGAGAUCCUCUCGGUCAAACUUCCAGCACAAUGAGUCGAGUACUUGAAUCUCACUCUUUUUUGUAUUCGAAAUGGCUAAAUACCAAUGUGUGUUGUUCGUAUUUAUUGGAAGUUCAAUCUAUAAUAAAGAUAAUUAGUUUUCUUAAAAAAAUUGAAACCUAGAACAUGUAAAUUACAGUUAUGGAUAUUACCAUGUCAUGCUUCAUAUAUUUUUUGACAAGCUCUGUCACAAAGGCACUAUAUUGUUGUAUGCCAUGCUCGCCAUCACGUUUAAAUAGUGAGGUAACAAAAGGACUCUCAAAAUAUACAAUAUUGUCAUUCUGGAGAUGUAUUUGGUCCUUUAUACAACAUAUAUAUGCAUUGAUCACCUAUAAUGAAGAUUCAAAAAAUACAUUACUAAUAGAUAUUAGGAAAUUGGAACAUCUUCUGUUUGAGUAAGGGUACUUACAUCAUCAUUGACCCACUCUUUUUCAUCUAGCAGACACAUUAAUUGCUUUUGUAAGACAAUACUUCCAUCUAUCUGAACCAGCAAUUUUUCCCAGGAUUUGACUCUAUUGCUAUAUGAGCACAUAGAUCAUGAUCAGUUAAUGUAUACUCUGCAAAAAACAAAUAAUUUAAGAAUAUAUAUUGGAAAUGAAAAUACACAUCAUAAGAAAAACAAAUACCAUGUGGGAGGUAAUAAUAUGUCUGAUCAUCUUUGAUCUCUUUAUUUGAAUGUGGAUCCUUAAAAUCAUGUAAUGGAAAAUCAGAAGAUAUUGUGGGAAAAUCAUAGACAUGAGUUGUCAUUUGAUAACGGGAUCACAUCAUUAGGAGAAUGAUAUGAUGGACAAGAACCAACCUAUGAACGUAGCAUAUGAUCGUGUCAGUUUAUUGCUAUUUUUUCUGCAUAUCAAGUAUCUAUUCCUAUGACCAUGAGAUCGUGCAACUCAUUGACACCGGAGUAGUACCUUGUGUGUAUCAAACGUCGCAACUUAACUGGGUGACUAUAAAGGUGCUCUAUAGGUAUCUCCAAGGGUGUCUGUUGAGUUGACAGGGAUCAAUACUGGGAUUGGUCACUCCGUGUGACAGAGAGGUAUCUCAGGGCCCACUCAGUAAUACAACAUCACAACAAGCUUGCAAGCAAUGUGACUAAAGAGUUAGCCACGUGAUCUUGUAUUAUGGAACGAGUAAGGAGACUUGUCGAUAACGAGAUUGAACUAGGUAUGAAGAUACCGAUGAUUUAUCCAGCGCUUUAGUGUUGCGCCAUGCUGGCGGCGUGACCGACGACCGUGAACCGUGAUCGACAAAGGUGCCUAGGAAGAAGGCGUGCAAAUGUGUAUGUCAUACACCGAACAGUCAUGCGUAAAUAAAGGGGGUGAGACAACGAAAUACGUUUUUGGGGGAGGGGGCAGUGUGCGACAUAAGAUCGUCGAGGGGCCAUUUAGUAAAAAUAAUACUCCCUCCUGUCCUUUUUACUCCACAUAUUAGAUUUGUGUCAAGUCAAACUUCAUAAAACUUGAUCAAAUAUAUAUUGAGAGAUAUCAAUAUCUACAAUACUAAAUACACAUUUCAUGAAACUACAUUUUGUAGUGAAUCUGACAAUAUUAGUUUGACAUUGUGAAUGACGAUACAUGUUUCUAAAAAUUGAUCAAAGUAAAGAUACUUUACCUUCGAACAAAGCUAAUAUGCAGACUAAAAGGUGUAUGACCGUGGUCACCUUGCGGCCGGAGCACAAGCCGGAAUUUCUUGCCUCUGAAGCUAUUGGGCCCCUCCCAAUGCUCCACCUUGUUCAGGUGCUAAGACUGCCAUGUAGAAAAAAUAUCUGAUGUGGCAUGAUAUUUAAGAGGGGAGAGAUGGAUGUGAUGACCCCAGGAAGAAAUGAUGUCAAGCGUGUGAACCUAGGCAAAAUACUUAAGUAAAAGAAAGCCCAGCAAUGCAUGAAGAACUUUAGUUGCUAAAUCAAUAAAUAGAGUAUGCUUAGCUACAACAAGUUAAGCACCUGUACAUUGAAGGCUUUGGUUGCUAAAUUUUUAAAUAUGCUUAGCACCUCUUCUUAGAGCAACUCCAAUGGGGCGACCCAUUUCGUCCGGGGCCGUCAGUUCGAUUUCGCGAGGACAAAAGUGAUGGCCCAACGCGCGGACCCAUUGCUAAAAUAUUUUCGUAUCAAAUGUGGGACUAAAAUGGGGCGGCGCGGACGCGAAGCGGACACGGCCCUUUUUUUUGUGCAAACUUAAUCUGUAUUGCACUGUCCUUUUUUUCUCUCUCUUUCCGGCGAUGAUACGAAUUGCAAUAAACAUUCAUUAAAUUAAAACCAAAUUGAGAGAAAAGAAAACAUCGUUAACAACACAUGCACACCUUUACCUCGUGGGGAGAAACAACAUAUUUCUCAUCUUAUUCCGAGUGACUGUAUAUUCAAACGCGAUUUCAUUAUGUGAGCACUAAAGCCAUCGUCAGUAACACAAAUGUGAUGCCAUGUGAAAAUAUAUUUUGUUCAGAGCGUGUCUUAUUUUCUCUUCCGUUGCAACGCACAUGCUCUUUUGUUAGUUCCUCUAAUCCGAACAGGCCCUUAAUAUGUAAGAUUAAAAAGGACCGGACGGGGUACCACCGUCGUCACCCUCGCCGCCGGAGCACAAGCCGGAAUAUCUUGCCUCUCGGGCAAGUAGCGGAAACACCGGCGUAUGCACAUACGCACGGGCCCCCGAACCUUCCAAAAGGUCCAUUUGGACCUCAUGAUUUGCCAACUCAAUCCCCCUUCCCUCCCUCUCUUUCCGUGCCCGCCCACGCUCCCCCACGCCGUCUGACCCUCUCUUCCUCGCCCCAAGCAACGCAUNNNNNNNNNNNAAGCAACGCAUCUCUUCCCCUCUUCCUCUCCCGCUCGCUCGUGCAGAUAUUCUAUACGUCCAUGCGCGGCCUUAGCUGCAUCCUUGUCCGGCCAAAACAACCCCCUCUACAGCCUACACACGAUGCAGCAGCUAGCAGUGGCAGCACUACUACUAUUCUGGACGACGCAGCCGGCCACUUGCAUUGGCGUAUGGCGCGCAACGACCUUGCAGCUGCAAGUAGCGGACUCAGUAGCGGCUGGCCGGCCUUUGUUUAGCAUGGGCGCAGGGCCCGUAGCGGAAACCGUGUCCCGCAGACAAGAGAAGACCGCCGCUUUGUGGCCUCCAGCUCCAACGUGCGCGCGCUUGCGUGGUCUUCUCCUCCUCCACGGGGAGAAACAAGCAAGCAACCGGACCGAGAUCUACCGUUGGAACUGUCAUAACUGAAGUAAAAGGUACCACCCCUAGUAGGUGCAAUGCAACGUGAGCUGCUGCCUAGUAGUACCACAACCUGCCAAAACCAUUUGUCGUUGGCUAAUCAAGCGAGCAGGACUGACAUCGUGGGCACAAAUUUGGAACAACCCUGCAGGCUGCAGCUGUAGGUUGGAGCCAAGCAAAUGCAGCUGGCCAGUUGAGGUUAGCACCCAAGAACAUGGCGUGUUGCGGACCCACCGAACUAAUGGAACCUUCCAUCUAAUCACACCGGGCAAACGCAACGAUGAUCAUGCGCUUCUUACCACGAGCGGCAGCCACAGCACAGCACAGCAGAGAGCGCGUCCAGGCACGAACCACUCCACUGUCAAUGGACCCAGCCCUGCCUGGAACCAACUCGCUCCUGUCCCUGUGCUCCGCGCGCGCGCGCUCAUGGCCAACAAUAAUUCGUGCCCCGCGCCCCACACGACACAAGCCCCCCAACCCCAACCCCAACGAACCAAUCAAUCAGUCGAUCGAUGGUGCAUUUGGAUUCCACGGCACCAAAUCUCUCUUCUUCUUCUUCUUCAAUCAAAGGAAAAAAGCACCAAAUCUCACAAUCCGAUGAUCACCCCGGUAGUACGUACGAACACCACUUGCGAUGGGCGAUGGGGAAUCAAGUCAUCAACAACCAAGCAAUCCAAUCAUAGAGGAAUCGAUUGAUGUAGUAGAGUAGUAUGUAGGUAUGAAUCACAUAUACAUGCUAUUUUUUCAUAUAUGUUGUGCCAUGAAAAAUCCUUCACAUUAAGACACCACCCACCCCCCACCACUUAUUUUUCUGCACGGACGAACACGCUCGCCACUUCAACAGCUAGGGUCUGUUCGUCUUCUGUUGUUGUUUGAUGUACUACAUACACUCGGAAGAAAAGUGAAAAAAAAAAUGGGGCUGGGAGAAGAAACCAUCGAGGAAAAGGAAAGAAUAAACAGACGGAGGAAACAAUCUGGGCAGAGCAGAGCAGCGCAGAGCGAUUGAUGGAUGCACGAGAAAGAAGAAACCAAGCUGGGGGCAUGUACCACGCCGUCACGGGCGGUACGCGCGCAGCAGCUAGAAGAGCUCCCAGUCGAACCGCGGGAUCGGCGAGGUGUUGUUGUUGUUGGCGGCGGCCGGCUUCGUCGUGGUGGUCGCGGCUGCCAUGGUGGUGGUCGCCGUGGCCGAGGACGUCGACGGCAUUGACGACAGCAGGUCGAACGUCUCCCAGCUCGCCGUGGGCGGCGCCGCCGCAGCCUUGCCGGUCGCCGGGGCCGGCUGCUGCUUGAACUGCCGCCGCUGCGAGACGGGCGGCGGCCGCGGCGGCAGGUGCAGCGACCUGUCAACCUUGGGUUGGCCAUUGCCGUUGCCGUUGGACUUAGGCGCGGCCGCGUUCUUGGCGUGGCCGUGGCCGUUGGCCGUGUUCUUGGCGCGGAUGGCGUCAAGCGCCUCCACGUACUUCUGCACCCGCUUCUCCUGCACCACCAAAGAGAGAGAGAUUUAGAGCCGGCACGGAUUCAGCUCGCCCGCCCCGCGGCUAAUUAAUGGGCUCGUCAACGGAAUCGGCGGGGAAUUAAAUUCGGCCGGGUUGCCGUGCUGACCUGCAUUCGCCGCUGCACCUUGACCUCGCCGUCGGCGGCGAUGGCGUCGAGCUUGACCAGCUCCGUCAUAAGCGCCUCGGUGAGGGCGACCACGUCGGCCUCCACCACCUUCCCGCCCUUGCCCACGAUGGUCUGCAGCGCAGACACCUGCAGUGCACCGCCACCCAAAUUCGAUCAGCACAGCGCCCUCCCAAAGUCGAUCGGCGGACGGCGAAAGUGAACAAGGGAAGGAGCACGAGCAGAGUGGUCGUACCUUGGUGGCGAGCUUGUCGACGUCGAGGCUGAUGCGGGAGAUGGACUUGGCGGCGCGCUGGGCCUUGUCGGAGCGGCGCUGCUCGAUGAGGCGCUUGGCCUGCGCGUCGGGGUCCUCGAGCAGCAGCAGCUUGGAGCGGUCCUUGACGCCGGACAUGUCGAGGAAGGCCUUGGAGUCCAUCUCCUUGCUCUUGUAGAGCACCUUCUGGUCCUCGUGGUGCAGGCCGGUCUUGUCCGACAUCAUCUUCUUCAGCUCGCCUGCACCACCAAUCACCGUCACGCCCACAAUCAGCAGCUAGCUCGAGUCGAGUCAGAUCAAAUCAAAAAAUCCAGCGGGCGAAGCAAGGCAAAGCAAUUGAUUUGAUUUGAUUCGCGUGCAUUACCGAAGGAUGCCUGGGAGUUGAUGUAGAUCUCGUGGGAGACGCCGUUGAACUUGACCUUGAGGCGCACGGUGGGCACGGGCGCGCCGGCGGGGGCGUCCGAGUCCGGGCCCCGCUUCUGCACCAGCAUCCCGCCGGGCCGCACCUCCCACUCGUCCUCCUUGAGCGCCUCCUUGGCCGCGGCCGCGGCGGGAGAGACGGUCUCCUUCAUGGCGUCCAAGAAUGUAGCUUUGCCCUUGGCGCGCAUCAUCUUCUCAUGGCACGUACUUAUAUGCCUCCCGCUCAAACAAAGAAUCAGCCGAGCAACCCUAGCAGGCAGGCUGUACUACCGCUCUCGGCAACAACCAAGAACAAACCGACGACGAGGAAGGAAGGAAACGGAGGUCUCAGCAGCCCCGAGAAUCUCUCCGCGGCCGACGACGGCAACCGAUUCCGCCUGCUCUGCCGGGGCAAGGAAGGAGUUUGCCGGGUCCGGGCAAGACCAGGAGGCGCGAUCCUCUCCUCGCUGCGGCUGAAUUGGGGAAGGAGGA
rnacentral:lncRNA from 1 species